rnacentral:lncRNA from 1 species
GAGAAACCGGCCAAGAAGAUGCGGAAUCGGGUCGCGACGAUCCGCCACAAGGAGGCAGAGGAGGAGAGGGCUGCUGCCGUGCAGGCAAGGAGGAAACGAUCAGGUGCCGGGAGAUGAUGGACCCCGUUUAGAUAUGCUCUUGCUUUAUACGUUCUGAUCAUCUGUGAUAAGCUUUGAUCAUGGAUGUAUUAAUUAUGAGAUCCAGGAAAGUGAAUUUUAAUUUUGCCACCGUUUAGAUAUUUUUAAGCUAGUUAAUCAAUUCAACAGUUUUAUUCCAGAUUACCCCGUUUUGUUUGUUAACUCCUCCCUUUUUAUAAUGAGAUGAGAAAACAGAGCACCUGUCAAAAAUAACAGCUGAUAAGAACAACCAUGUGAUGAUUGGUGGGUGGACAUGGACUCGAUUAUUCAGACUAACUAAACACGACACGUCUGACCCGAUACACCAACUGACACCAAUUAAUGGACUCCCACAUCUGAAGUCAAAAUUGAAGGACACGGUAGCAUCUGAAACACUAGAAAGAAACCUAGCUAACGCCAUUGUACUAGACUACUAGUGCCUAAACAAACAAGAAUGAAAAAAAAAACAGGCCGCAAGAGAAGUCCAAACUCUGUGUGAUAUACCAUCCUCACCGGCGGCCAGACAAACUGCUUGAUCAGGGCAGAAAACAGAGCGGCGUUUCAGCACGAAGAGAGGAACACAUAGGUUUCAGGCAACCAAUGUCAAAAAUAAAAUGUUUUCUUUUUGUCCUUUUCAAACUGAGUACCGGCCACACAUGCACAACACCCAUAUUACAUGGACAGGGCCAACUCGACUGUUGGUUACACAGCAAACUAACAUACAAAUUGACUGGAUGCUAGCUGCCAUCUACACAGUGGACUCGCAUACAAAUUCACUGAAUCCUCGCAAAAGCAAUGACGCCUACAACAAGUUGCAGCAUGUGCAUACUUGCUCCAUCAUGUGCAUUUACACUAGGGUGACAUGACGUAAUUCAACCAUGCAUCAACCCAUCAACGUGGUAACAAAUUAACACUUUUACACAAUAACAAGGUUAACUUCUGACAGAGGCUAGAUAUGUUUUAAGCUUCUAUUAUCCAAAAAAUACACAUUUGUUCUCAGCUUGGGCUACGAACUAAAAUUCAGUUAAGGGAUUAAUACACAACCAAAUCAGUGACAGUGCUGCUACAACAGCCAGCAAAUAGUGUCUACUUUGCAUGUGCACACCCGAAGAAAGACCGCCCAAGGACGAAAGAAAUCAAUAGAAAAUUCAGAUGCCAGCAAGGAUACAUCGAUGAUAGACCGAAGCAUUUGAUGCGCCAAUGUUCCUGCCUCCUGUGUUGUAGCACACCACCGAACCGAACCAAUUAAACUUCAUUAUCUAAGAUUUUCUUCGAAAUGUGCAUUCCUUCGAAAAAAUUCCUAUAUGGUUCAACCCAAUCAAUCAAAUGACCAAUGUAGAAUGAAUUCCUAAGAAUUCAAAUCCUUCACAAAUACUUUAAAAUAUCUUUGAAUCAAAGAGGCCCUUAAGGGGCUUGUGGGUGACUCAUAAUUUCGUGUGACAACAUUGGUGCCACGUUGCAUAUCUUGUGUUUCAUGCUCGCACCAAGUACAUCGGCAUUGACUAUUACAUUGUGAGAGAAAGGGUUGCUAAGAACCUUCUUGACAUUUCGUUCAUUCCUUCCAAUGUCAUGUUGCGGAUGGCUUCACGAUAGCCUUACCCUAAGAAUCUAAAAAGAGUACCAGCGCAAUCUCAAUUUAUCCAAGUUGUGACUGAGAGAGGUUAUUUUAGCAUGCUAGAUUUUUUUUACUUGUAGAUGUACGCGAGUGGUUAUUGGUUAGAGAUGAAACCAAAUUGUGUUACGAGAAUACCAAAGGUUUGUUUAUCAAGAUUGUAACAAACGACCUCUAUGGAGGUUGGAACACUACAAUCAAUCACCAAUGUUUACAGUUCCGCUCGCAACUUGGACACUGACAACUGGUGCCUUGUCUUAUCACCUCUCACCGUGAGAGCGUUCAGUACCAAACCAUUGAGCGUGGCCUCAACAUCGUUCAACCUUACCACCAUCAUCAUUGCUAAGAUAACACGUCAUGUCCUAGCAAAGGUCACCUCUGUGGCCAGAACUUCGUCAUGCUUGUUGAAGCGGCAAAACUGAAGAAGGGCUCCUUGGAUCAUUUUGGUCAUCUUUCCUUUCGGAUAGAGCUACUUCCUAGAGUCGAUGACAUGCCUUUGGAGCCUCCAGCCUUUCCCUAAUUUCCUCUGGACAAAAAAAUGCUAGGUUACGGCGCAUGCCACUUUACGCCAAAAACACAUGGCAUGCGCACACACACACUCACGUGCAUGUCUUAAGUUAUCAAGUACUCCCUUCGUUUUUAUUUACUUCGCAUAGCUUUGGUCAAAGUCAAACUUUAUAAAUUUUUAACAAAGUUUAUAGACAAAAAUAUUAACAUAUAAACAACAAAUCAGUACCAUCAGAUUCGUUAUUCCAUACACAUCAUAUAGAUUUGUUACGAAAAUGUUUACAUUGUUUACUAUAAACUUGAUCAAAUUUUACAGAGUUUGACUCCAAUCAACUCUAAUAUGCAGAGUAAAUAAAACAGAGAGGGUAUGAGAUACGACCUUCCUGUCUCUGUUGAAAAUAUUCAAAUAUAUUUCUGAUAAAGGGUAGCUUCUGACAACAACACAUCGUCAAGCUUACAAAGAAGUUUCUCAUAAUAAAAAUCUUCAUUUAUGAAAUAUAAGAUAUGAUCUUCUAGUCAAUCUAGAAAAUAGUCAAAUAUAUUUUGAAAAAGGGAACAAAAUUUAAGACUAGCUUGUGAUGAAAACGCACAUCAAGCUUACGAAGUUUGUACGCUGUGUCAAUUGUUUAUAACCAGUCUUAUGUAGGAAUUAGUAUCUCCUGAACAAGAUAAUACCUUACACCUCGCGGCAGGAACUCUAGGGAAUUGGUUGUAGUAUAUUACUUUUGCUAAAAUUUUGUUGUCUUUGAAUUCAAAUAUGAGACUAAGGAUCAGAACUGCAUAUGAUCGGUUGUAUUAGAUUAUUAUUUAGUUAUAAUAUAUUUCUUAAGUUGUAGUUCUCAUGCAUGUUGAGAGGAAUAAAAGUAGUAGUAGGGUUGAUAAAGUGGAUGUGUGCAUAUAUAUAGUGGGAAUUAGCACCCUCCUAGUUAUACCAUUGGAUGUGAUGGGAGCGAUCUCCAUCGGGUCGUGCCUCAUCGGAAGAAGUUGCGAUGACCGGUAUAGCAGAGAGAAAAAUAGGCAGAAAAAAAGGUUCACGUGAUAAAACGCUUGCAAAGUUUUAAACAGGGUAAAUCGUGGUAGAACUUUUGCUAAAUGGGGUAAAACGAAUGAAAUCUCACUAAAUGGGGUAAUUUAUGUCAAAACUAUCAAAAUACGGGGUAAAAACCGGAAUCCACUCAAAAAAAAAAAGUAAAUGUGGUAAUCUUUUGUGACUGUUAUGAAAGUGGUAGUUCAGUGGGGAACAAACUCCAAAUAUGAUAGUUUUUUGUUAAAUACUUGCUAAGGUAGAUGUCAUUUAGUUCUAGCCAAAGGUAUGCCUAACUGUCACACACUUGAGGUAGUACUUGCUGAUGCAUAUUGCCAAAUUAAUGGAUUUUGUAGAGAUAAGUUUGCAGCACAGUCAUGUUUUUUUGUGUGUGCAACAGUGUUUUAGAUAGCGGGCUAUGCAAAAUAGGGACGAUCCUUCAAAUCCGCAAUAACACGUUAUAGCCAACUAUUAGCAGACUACUGUACAUGAGUAUCAUUUUGUGGCACUCUGCUCAAAAAACAAUAGCAAGGCUAUAGCUGAGCUAUCCACUAUAGCUGGCUAUUUACAACUAUGGGCAACACACGAUUUCUGAAGAAGAACAGUCUAAAUGGAUUACAGCCACUUAAAUUGCCAUUCUAGAAUUUUAGAAGAAUCACGUCAUAAAAUUCACAUUACUGAAAUGGAUGUGAAAUGACCGGCGGAAUAGUAGGUCAAGAUAAAUCACAACCUCUGGGCGUGAAGAAAAUUCCACUUGGAAUGUAAAGCACCGGCCUUUUGUUAUCAUUCUUGCAAGUGUCCGUGUCUAUACCUGUGUGUCCAGGAAUCAUGCAUGUAGUUGCCAGGCUUGAAAAUUCAUCAUCAUGUCAUGCUCAUGCCAUUGGUACACGUACGCUAAAUGUUUCUAUAUAUUUACAUCGACAAGCUUGGAAUAACACCACUCUUUGAAGUUUCUCAGUUAUUACUUGUAGAGCAUUCAACACGUAGGAAAGUUACCGGCAGAACAACCCCGAAAAAUUUCACACCGCAAGAGAGUUUUUACUAUUUGGAAAGUGUAAUUAUACAUGCUGACAUUUACCCCAUGCCUGUCAUUUUUUCAGGCUUCUUUUCUCUAGUCAGAUCCAGAUAAGUAUUUUUUUUUCUUUUCCUAGUUGACAAAUCAAAGCACAAUAAUGCGAAAGCUUAUUUCAAUGUCUGAACCUGACCUUUUACCGUUAAUUUGUCCCGUGCAAUCAAACAACACGUAAACAAGAGAAUCCAAGGGUGCUGAAUGGAUCUUUCGCAACUAUUCUUGCACCUCAUGCGCUAUAAAUACAUAUAUACAUGCAUGCCAAGAGCAGCACAGCAAACACACCAAAUCGUACACGAUCAAACAUGCAUUUGAAACCAGCCUUGUGUUCUGCUACGCUGCUUCUGGUGCUCCUGCUUCCCCUUUCUGCGAAUGCGUCGAGCAAAGUAAGAUUGACACAUGAAACUUAAUUAAACUUUGCUUGAUGUUUUUUUUCUCUCUAGCAUGUUCGUGAAACUUAUUUGUAUUUUGGAAUUUCAGCUCUAUGUUGUGUAUAUGGGGGAGAAGCAGCAUGAUGAUCCAUCCGUGGUUACCGCGUCACACCAUGACGUACUGACCUCUGUUUUUGGAAGGUAUUUUGCAUGCAGUUCUUGUUGUAGCUUCAUAAUCUUGUAUUAUUUUCCUUAAAUAUAAACGACCUGGUCUUUGGUUCACGGGCGUCUCUUUCUGCAAAGUACAGCAAAAAUGAAGCCCUGAAGUCUAUAGUAUACAGCUAUAGGCACGGUUUUUCUGGAUUUGCAGCUAUGCUAACCGAAUCGCAAGCUGAGGUCCUUGCAAGUACGUGAUAGUUAACCAACCUAAUCCAAUUCUUCACACAUGCUCUAUUUACAUGCAUCAUAAUCGAUGGAAACCAAUUAACAUGUCAAACAAAUGCAGAAUUCCCUCAAGUUCUAUCAGUGAAGCCUAACACUUAUCACAAAAUACAAACAACCCGGAGCUGGGAUUUCCUUGGCCUCAACUACUACCAACCACCCUAUCGCUCAUCCGGUAUCCUGCAAAAAGCAAAGUACGGUGAAGAUGUCAUCAUCGGUGUCAUCGAUUCAGGUAUGUUAUCGCAUCGAAAGACAACUUCUAUUUAUAUGUAGUCGCAACUUAAUUAGCAUAUGGAGAUCGAUCAAAUGGUCCAUAUACAAAAGUGACUUUGUACUCCUAACCUAAGAGUAUGUACUUUCACCCAUCAUGUACCACAUUGUUGUAGGCAUAUGGCCUGAAUCGCGAAGCUUUGAUGAUAGUGGCUAUGGUCGUGUGCCCGCCCGGUGGAAGGGCACAUGUGAGACAGGUCCAGGAUUCAAUGCCACAAACUGCAACAGAAAGAUAAUCGGCACACGCUGGUACUCCAAAGGUAUUGACCCCGAGAAUCUCAAGGGGGAGUACAUGUCCCCGAGAGAUUUGAAUGGCCAUGGCACACACGUAGCUUCGACCAUCGCCGGUAACCAUGUGGGGAAUGUGAGCUAUGAAGGCCUCGGCUUCGGGGCGGCGCGCGGCGGGGCGCCACGCGCUAGGCUGGCCAUCUACAAGGUAGCAUGGGGCCUCCGUGUGGAAACCGGUGAGGCAGCUAUCGUUAAGGCCAUUGACGACGCAAUACGUGAUGGUGUAGACGUUCUGUCGCUCUCACUAUCAGGUGGCGGCGAGUCAUUCGCGUCACUGCAUGCCGUCUUGGGAGGGAUUCCCGUCGUGUUCGCAGGCGGAAACCAAGGCCCUGCGCCGCAGACAGUGGCAAAUGUCGGGCCAUGGGUCACAACGGUUGCCGCCAGCACCAUUGAUCGAUCAUUUCCGACUGUAUUGUCUCUAGGAAACAAGGAAAAACUCGUGGUACGUACCCCGUAUAUGCAUAUAGUAUGUAGUCUUCAUAAUGUUAUUGUUUGUUUUGCUAAAUCCUGGGCACUGAUUUCCUCAGGUUUCAAUCAAUUUCUAAAAAGUACAACUUUAGUCUGUGAAAAGUGUAGCAUGCAAAAUGGGCAACAUACACAUUUCAUAAUCGACCUAGACUUCAAAUACCAGUCUCUGUGACUUAGACGAACCCUAAUAGCUAGCUACUGUGAAAUUAACAGGUUUAACUUCUUCUUUCUUUUUUGCUGAUCAACGUACUAAAAACACGCAGGGGCAAUCACUUUACUCCGUAAACAUUACCAGCGACUUCGAGGAGCUUACCUUCAUCAGGUAUACAUUAAAACAAAUCAUAAGUAUAAUAAACUAAUUAACAGAUUGAUUCAGCUCUGCUUAAUUACCGAAUGUUUGCUUUCAUUUAUUCAAGUGACGCUACAACCAAUUUCACUGGGAAAAUCGUCCUGGUGUACACGACGCCUCAGCCAGCAUUUGCCGAUGCCUUGAGCCUUAUCCGGGACAGUGGCGCCAAGGGCAUUGUCAUCGCGCAGCACACUACAAACUUACUCGAUGGCCUGGCCACAUGUAAUGACCUUAAGGUCCCUUGCGUGCUGGUGGACUUUGAAGUUGCACGUAGAAUUGUCUCUUAUUGUACCAACACAAGGUGAGGGUGACUCCUUUAUUUUCAUUCUACAGUGCCGCUUUGUUUGAAACAGAGUUGAAUGUGUAGAGGCCUUGAUUUCCUCGUCCAAAAGUUGAUCGUCUGUUUCAUGGCAUGCCAGAAAGCCGGUGAUGAAAGUGUCACCGGCUGUGACCUUCGUCGGAGACGAGGUGCCAUCACCAAGGGUCGCUGCAUUCUCGUCUAGAGGCCCAAGCGCCACAUUCCCUGCGCUACUAAAGGUAUCUCGCCUUCUUCUCGCGAUCCUCUUUUCAAAAAGUCAGUAGAAGUUAAAAUAGAAAUAACAAGAUACUGCACUCUUGGCUAGUUAACAUUUCUAUUAUUUACUGCUUCAAAACUAACAUACUGUAUAUAUAUUUGAACAGCCUGACGUAGCUGCGCCUGGAGCGAGCAUCUUGGCCGCCAAGGGCGACUCCUAUGUGUUUUUGUCUGGGACAUCCAUGGCUUGCCCUCAUGUCUCGGCGAUCACCGCGCUGCUGAAGGCGGUCCAUCCCGAUUGGUCCCCUGCCAUGAUCAAAUCUGCCAUCAUCACCACAUGUACAAAUUGAUACCUUUUCAAUUGACCUUGUAUUUAUGAAAAUAUAUAAGGCCGUUAUAUAUGAUAAUCUCGGUUUUCUUUCAGCGUCCGUGACCGACCGUUUUGGUGCACCCAUCGAAGCAGAGGCAACCCCACGAAAACUGGCUGACCCCUUCGACUUUGGUGGCGGCCACAUAGACCCCGACAGGGCCGUCGACCCCGGCCUGGUUUAUGACAUAGAUGCUAAAGAGUUCAGCAAGUUCUCGAACUGCACAUAUGUAAACACAAAGGAGAUGUCAUUCGAUGAUUGUGGGAAGUACAUGGGACAAUUAUACCAGCUCAACCUCCCGUCCAUUGCCCUGCCGGAACUCAAAGGCUCAAUCACGGUUCAACGUUCCGUCACAAAUGUCGGGCCAAAAGAAGCAACCUACCGGGCGGUGGUUGAGGCACCAACCGGGGUGGCAGUGUGCGUGGAGCCAUCGGUGAUCACAUUUACCCAAGGUGGUGGUAGACACGCGACGUUCAAGGUGACCUUCACAGCAAAGAGGAGGGUACAAGGCGGGUACACGUUCGGCAGCUUGACAUGGUUAGACGGCAAUGCUCACUCGGUGAGAAUUCCCAUUGCAACUCGCAUCGUGAUCCAAGACAUGAUGGCAGUUGCGGACGUAUCUUAAAUUUUCAAGCAUAUGUGCAUAUGUGCUUGAAUUUAUGUUAUUUCAAUAUAAAUAAGAUGUCUCAAGUGUUCGGUUUGUACUAUUUUUUUUUUACCAAAAGUUGUAACGAGAUACUGCAAUUAUCUUUUACAAUAUUUUACUACUUGUACACACAACAGUACACAUGCGUGCAUGUACGCCACUGGUUUGUGAGUUAAGCACAUAUCGACCUGUGAAAAUUUGAUUUAACUCAGAAAGGUAUCGUGUCAAAAAACUGCAGAUGUACGUAUUGUCAUUGAUAACCCGUAUUGUCACAACAGGGUUCUCCGGUUCAAAACUACACUAGAUGCACAUGACUUGGAGGUACAACCAUGAACAAAAGUAUCACAAAAGGGUUUUGAUACGAAAUCAUCUUAUCGAGCUCUACAUAUAAUCAUUGGGAACAACAUGUUCAUAGCAACAUCUAUUCUCCAACAAUCAUGAUCUUAAACUAAUGUCUAUUAAUUACAUAAUGUAUCCCAUACAUCACAUGUGCCUACAGCGGAUACUCACAAGUGAUUGUGGGAUCAUACAUAAUAUUCAACAGAAAUUCUCAGUCACAGCGGCAAUGAAAAUAUUCUCUACUGUCUGAAUAUUACUUCAGCAAACCAUAUUUAUGUUCAUAAACUAUUAUUACCUCUGUCCUAAUAAAAUUGUCUUAGAUUUCUCUAGAUACCAAUAAUAUCUAGCACUAAACAUGACUAGAUACAUCUAUAUCUAGAGAAAUUUAAGACAAAUUUUUUGAAACAGAGGGAGUAUUACUAUGAAACAUUAAGCAUAGCUCCCAAACAAAUAUUCCCCAGGAUUUGCGCUCACAAUGUCCCUAUGGCAUAUUUUUGGUGCUUCUCCAAACUUAGACACCCACUAGUAAUUAACCAGUAUAUACCUCCCAACUUGUAUCAAAUUACAAGACAAGUGCUGCAAUACUUCAAUUUAGACGACACGAUUCAUUAAUACAGUACAAGUGCUGCAUAUCAAACCGCACUUGCAAGUUUCAGCUUCAGGUGUGAGAGUGAGAGGAAAGAAUAUGUCAUAGAUGGCCUCAAACAUAGGAGGAGCUAUGAGCGAGGCGAGGACAAGUUGGCAAACUACCUUCCCAAUCCUGCGCUACUCAUUCGAUGCUCAACUUGAGCCAACAUGUUCAUUACACUCCAUCCAUGUCGCCUUUGAAAAUGGCUACUUUUUAGAUUUCUGCGGUUUGAAGAUGUUGGCCUUGUAGUAUUUCAGCUCGGCGAUGCUUUCUUUGAUAUCGUCCAUCGCCCUGUGACUUUUCCCUUUCCUAGGAGUUUGCUUCCUUUCUGCGAACGAUGAUGACAAAUACACAGGGUCAGACCUCCUCUGCUAGUUUACAUCAGAAAAUGUCUCAAGAGUUAAACUUGUCAUGCUUGAGAAUGUAAACAUGUUAGCACAAGGCUAAGGACUCAGCAAUGACCACGACAGCACUACAAUUGCUUGCUCAGUGGGUAUCAUAGAUGCGACUUUUUUUUCCGUAUUUCCGUAGACUCUAAAAAUGUACAACUAAACUGGUGCUUGAAUAUAACAGGAACAUCAAGAAUACAAGGUUAGUUUACCUUUAGGGUACCACCGGGUGCACAAAGCCAUGAUACUGCUCACAUCAACAAUCACGUGAGAGAAGAUGGCUGCAAGCUGUGGCAUAUACUUCUGCUUAGGAAAAAAUAGCAAAUAUAUUAUUUAUUAUCCACCAAAAGCUAAAGGAAUACAUCGUGUUUAAACUGGAAAAAAGAUGUCCUUGUGAAGGAAAAAUUAAACACAUUGUAAUAUGUAACAAGGAAUAAGCAAAUUAUUUUGCAUGACGAUAAACACAUUGUAAUAUGUAACAUGGAUAUCAGUGUAGCAAACUAUUAUCGAGCACUCUCCCAAAUAAGGCAGUUUGAUCUAAUACUAUAUAAUUCACAACUAUAUUUUUUUUCUAUUGACUUAAUGAGCUGAUCUAUAACAAGCCGAAUAAAUAAUACAAGAAAAUCAACUAAAUUUAUUUCAUGAAUUGAAUUAGACCAUUCUUGUGGCAAUUUUGAAUGAGCCUUUUUCACCCUGAGGGCAAGGAGCCUCCCCCGCAUUUGGAAAACCCAAACCGAAUUACUUGGAUUUUCAUGUUUUGAAAUGAGAAUAUUGACCAAACAAUCCUGAGAUCGCCGACUUUUUUUACUUUACUCAAACAAAAAGCACAAGUUUGAAUUAAAAAAAAACAGGAUGGAAAUUCUAGUUGACAAGAAAUAUAACUCAGUAUCGACAGUUAUUCUUUUUACUGAAACUGUUAAUCCUGCUGAAGGGUAAAAAUAUUUUGUAACAGUGACCAGUCGUGCAUUCAUGGAAAACAAAUGUCUUUCCUUAAUCCUAGCUGCAUGACUAUUCCUGUCUGUGUGACAGUACAUCAAUCCUAGUUACAGCAUAUCAAUCCUAAAAGACAUUCUUUACUGACCUUUAGAAAUAGUAAAUCUACGUAAACUGAAUUCCCAGCUAUUGAUGGAGUGCCUGAACCUACAUGCUUCAUGAGGAAGUCUAACACCUGCAAAUAGGCAACUAGAAACUUCUAUUAGAAACCUUUGGCCAUUUUCUUUUAGCAAGCCAUCAAUAUGUACUGUUUUACAGUGCAUAAAUGAUUAAAAACUGUAUGACAUAUCAUUCUUAGAUGUGCAAGGAACUGAUGUAUCAAGUGGUAAAGCAGAAGCCCUAUUCAGAGAAACUUAAGAGCUUGAGAUGUGAGAAUUACAAUAACAUUCACGGAUAUACUGAUAUAGAUCAUGCUGUAACAUGUACACUUGCAAAACUUGGUGUAGCUUGAACAGUACCAAUCAGUUUGUUACUUUUCCUUUGCACAGGAUGUAUUUGGUCAAAUUUUUGCAAGAAACCUUGCAAGCAUACAAGUUAUAGCAUGAUAUCCAUCUAAAACAUAUAAAUUUUUUGCAAAAUUUUGGAGUGGAAAAAUGUAUUUGAAAUAUAGGUGAAGUGGAGAGUUUUUGCGACAUAUGCAAUAUUUUUGCUAAAAGGGGAGGUUUGGGAUAGCAGGAUUUGUAUGUUGGAUAUAUGUAUGUGACAUCUCACAAGUAACAACUGCAGUGUUACAAAAUUGAAAGGGACAACAAGUUCACAAUUUGGGGGCAUCCACCGGUAAUUUCCUAAAUAAGAAAUAGAAUGGCUAUUGGCAAUUCAACAUUUUACAGAAAAAUAUUUAAAAUCAAAUGUAGCAUACUAGCUUUAAUCAAAAAUAUAUUUUUUGUAUAUUAAUAAAUAAGAAAGAAAACAAUCUAUAAUGAUCAACUCAAAUCAUGUCAGAACUGUCGAUUCUCAUGAUAAUGCCAUGGUGUAAGAAGGCAAGUAUGUAAUGAGUUAAAAGAGCACAUGAAAAUGAAGUUAUGCAAACUGUAGAACUUUUGAAUAGCAAAUAGCACUCAAAAGGAGUUCUAAAGUAGCAAGAGGUUAAAGUGCAACAGAUAGAUAAAUGAUAAGGUUAUGGAAUCAGUUGCGAAUACUGUAACUUCACUACCAUGUUUGCAAUCAAAUUUUCAGAAAAAUAUGAUGAUAACCAUAAAAAUCAGACAACAUACCUGUUUCUCCGCGUCACCCUCAGAAAUCUCACUCUGUAGUACUCUCUCUGUCAAUCCUAAAUAAGUUCAGGGGUCAUCAGAUUUAUAUUGAGAGAACAACACCCAAUAAGAAAUGUUAUUUGGAAAAUAAAGAUUAUUUACCACUAGAUGCAUGAUGGGUUUUACACCAUUCAUUCAUAUUAUCUAAGCAAGCUUUGCUCUGACUUAUAACCAAGUUAGGACCCUGCAAAAUGACAACAAUGUUGAAGUUCCCAAUGAGAUGAUGACAGACAACUUAUUCUACACUGAGAUGCACUAUUUCUGCAUAUUGACAUGAUAAGUAGAAAUCCAGUGUGAUUUUGACAUUAAAUAUUUGAGCUAUUACAAAUAUCAUAUUCUACAUGGAUCAUCAGCAUUCCAUUUGCCAUUAAAUACUUCUUAUACUCAGGUCUGUGCAAAGGGUGGGUUUGGACUUGUAUUGUGAAACAGAGGGAGUACUGUCUAGAUCGUCCAGAUAAGAUAUUUUUUUUUCCAAACUACAGUUUAUGUAGCACAGCUGCUAGGAACAGAAUCAGUAAAAAAUCAAUAUACAGAAAACCAGAGUAAUUCAGGGUGUUCUUGAAUAUUCCUGUAAGCAGAACUAGUUACAAGAACACCAUCAUAUUGUACACGAUCUAUGUAGAACGAACUAAAGGUAUAUGAUUUCAACAGCCACCUCUAUUUGUUUUGUAAGUUUACCAUCGGUUACAAUGCAAGCUAUCUCCAAUAUCCGAUCUUUCAAAAUAUCCAAACCUACACAAUCCAGUAUUGAGUGUGCCAAUUAGUCAUAAUUUUAUGCAUAAGAUAAAGGUAACAAAACAAGAAUAGAUUCCAAAACUAAAUUUGAUUUAUCUAUCCAUUAAAAAAUUAUAAAAAAUUGAAUAAAUUCACAGAAGUAGCAACUAUAAUCAGAUCAGAGAUCAAGGUAUUUAGCAAUCAUCAUCAAACUUCUAGGAUAAGAAAUGCCCUUCAAUGUUUCAGACUAACUCAACAAGUUUGGGGCAUUGGAGAUAAAUAAUCCGUAGUUUGUAAUUUUGUUCAGUUGAAUCCCAGAUUAUCGUUUUUUGUUAACUAAAGUCAUGUAUCAGUAAUUUAAAAUAUGUUUGUUUCACCAUGAGCCAUCUAGUUCGACCAUUGACUACUGAUUAAACCAGAUGUCACUCCAUUCUUAGCCACUAGAAGAAAGUAGAGAACCCUUCCCAAAAUAAAAGAAUGAGAAGCUAACUAUCUAUGCUAGCCAAUGGAUUGCAUCCGAGUAAAGAUAAUCUACCAGAAGACAGUGAUAUAUUCCAGAAGGCCUCCUGAACUAUCUAUGCUAGCCAAUGGAUUCAACAGAUUGGACUAUUCACUGUCCUGCUGAAGAACUUCCUACUGGGCUACUGGCUACCAGGCAUUGUCCUUCAUUAGCAGGUUACAGAUAAUUGGACUGUGAUUCAUAAGUGGCCAUGUCACAAAUUUACAUCCCCGGCACUCUGAACUAUUAUUUCGUAGGUCCAAAAUUUUAAUAGUCACAAACAUACCAAAUUCUGUGCAGAAAAUUAAUUAUUCUGAGGCAGAAUAAAAAAACACAAAUUGUUACGAAUAAACAAGUAAAUGAAGGUGCAACAUCAAAAAUAGAUUCUCUUAUGUAUUAAUAACAUAAAACAAGUUAUGGUAAUUGAAUAAUUCACCAGUCAUUUCCAAGUCUAUCCACACUAAAGGCAUCCUGUAACCACCAGAUGAUGAUGCAAGAGCUCCUCCAUUACAGCUUACUAUUGUUGUGUCAUUUUGCACACAUUUAUCUGCACAGUAAAUACAGUUUACAACCCCAUUAAUGACUAUACGGCGAGUAAGAAACAGAAAUAUUAUAGAACAUAAACAUGUAUAUCCUUGUCUUCAUCAAAGGGUUUUUCAAAAAGCCAUAUGUACCCUGAAGACGAAAUCUAAAGAAAGGGGAAAACCAUAUCGGACAGAUCAAAAAUGUGAUCAGUAUGCUGGUGAAUACGCUUAAGCAAAAAUGUCACACUACAAUCUAGUGAAAACUGUAGGGGUGGCCCAACAACAAACGGAGGUAAAAUUGAUACACUGCACUGAACAGUGGCGGUAUGACCUCUUGCGGCAAUGGCAACUCUCCCCGUGUCCCCAGUCAUGACGGUAGUUACCUAAUUUGUUCCAAUUUGGUUUCAGAGCCAACCGCUGCUCCGGCCUCAAUGAGCAGCAGGGAGCAGCUGGGCUUUUAAUCAUGCUAUGACUUUACCCAUGGCAUCGGCAUACCGAGGCACGACCCAUUGGGUAGUGGCAUAACCAGGUGUGGUCAUGGCACACAGAUUAUCGUUCACAUUUGCAAAUGUUGCAGAUGCACACUUAGAUGAAAUGACCAGGAUGGAUAUUAUAUCACCGAACCACCCGACAAGCUUCUUUAGAAAUGACUAAAUGAGCAACAAUCCAAAAUGUGACAUGACAGCCCAAGCAAACAUGGAUAAAUAAAUUAUAAAACAAAAAUAUAAUACAUCUCAUCUUUUCAGAAUAAACACUCCAUGAAAUUAACAGAGAAUGGCCAUAAAACAGAACAUCAAUUGAGCCCAGGGAGGUAGUAUCACAUCAUAAGGCGGUUAUGUUCUUGGCAAUAGUAGCUAUGCAUCAAUCUGUUUCAUAUGAGUUAAAAUAGGCCCAGUGAACCCAGGCAAACUACAAAGGAAGUAACUGCUUCAACUGAAAUUGCAGGGAUAAUAAUGAGUUAUGCAUUCAAUUCUCCACGCAGAAAAAAAGAGAAGGAACAAAACUGAAGUAAUCUAAUACUUUGGAGCUACAUCCUAGAAGAAACGAAGUACCAACCAGGUUUGCUCGCAGCAGUUUCUUGUACGCUGGUAGAAGAUGUUUGGGUCAAUUGGCUAUCGUUCCCUCCAUCAUCUUCGGCAUCCAGAUUAAGAAGCGAGAACAUGUUCUCCGGCUUACUCAUUUCCCAGUUUCCUUGUGCCUGGUAAAAUCCAGGCACCUGUUCCUGUAUCAGCCAAACACCCAACUCCUCAAUUAAAACGAGCCUUCGUAUAGAAGAGAACAAAAAACAGAGAGACAGUAACAUAAUAAGUACCAAUAUUCGCUGUAAUCCAACCUAGCAGAGCUAGCGUGCCCCGAACAAAAAGGCUAACAGGAUUAAUGGAAGAAAGUUGAUCAUCGGUUGCCCCCUAAUCGAUAUUUAUGGUGUUUGCUUACUUCUCCGGUUUAAUCAUUUGCCUCUUCUAUCUAAUUAUAGUACCCGCAAUCGCUUUAGUUGACAGCCGCUUACACUCUGUUUCUCUUGUACAGUGCCCAUUAAGAGUCCAUCGCUCUUACUGCUAGACCUAGUUCAACGACCAAAGCCAAAGCCAAACCGACCUCGAUGUCUCCCCAAAUCGAAGGAACGAACCUUGUGCGCGGGCGCUGAUGGAGGUCCGCCGGAGGAGGAGGGCGAAGGUGCCGCGGGCCGCUGCGGCUGGGGCAGGAGGAGACGCCGGUGGAGGCUGCCCGGCGGGGCGGCGGACGGGCCGCGGGCUGCUGCAGCUGGGGCCGGAGGGGACGCCGGUGGGCGUCGAGCUCGGGCUACCUGGGCCGCGCCUGCGAAGCAGAGGCAGCGGCGGCGGCGGCGGCGGCGGCGAGGGUCGGAGAAGGGGAUGGGAGCAAGAGGAGGUCGUCCGAGCAAAACUUUUCCCUUUUUGUUUUUGUUUUUGGAGUAAAUAAAAUAAAACACAUUUUUUUUGUUACUCCUGCUUCCUCUUCACACGUUUUGAGGAUUGGUCUCCAAAACUACAUGUUUUCUUUUUAAAAACAUCCACUCAUUUAAAAAUUUGCGUACAUCAGAAAAAUAUGUCCCACUAUUUAAAAGGAAAUGUUAUUCGGUCCGAAUCCAUAUUGCUUGUUGCUCGGGCGGAUGUAUCUAGACAUUUUUCAAUGCUAAAUAUAUACUAUGUUUAAGAGACAAGUAAUAUGGAACGAAGGAAAUAGUAUAAUUUAAUAAAUUCUUAUUUUAAAUAUGUUUGCUUGGUUUGACGAGAUGGUUAAAUCAAUCAUUAUUUGAAAAUGUCUGUCGUGUACUAAAUAAUGUGUUCGUCAAGUAUUCUAGAAAAUAUAUACCGUGUCUUUGUAAAAAUCUCAUGUAAGAAAAUAGAAAAAUAAAAAAUAAAAAAUAAAAGGGAAAUAAAAAACCAGAAGGAAAAGGAAAAAAAGGAUGGAAAAGGUGAAAGAGAAAAGGGAAAGGGAGAACAAACUAAAGGAAAACAAUGAAAAACCCAAAACGUUACUUUUGUUACAGAUCUGCAUCAGUUACUGGUUUUGCUAAUAUUUCGCUUUUUAAAUCUCGUCGCCGCACUCCCCACUCUCCCACUCCACUUCCAAUUCUGCAUAAUAGGAUUGUCGAAACAUAUUGGUCUUCUGCAAUAAGAUCCACACUAUCAAUGUAACUGUUACAAACUUUGUAGAUGAUCUUACACACCGGACUGCUAAAUUGGGGGUGCCACAUCAAAAGGUCGACAUCAUGUCAUGGUGCCAAUACCUCUCCUUUCGCUUAAGCGCAGAGUUGUAAAGUGUUGCUUGCGGCCCCUAAUGCAUUCUGGUGGCGAUCAUAUCUCCUCGAUGAUUCUUCAAAAAGAAAAGGGAAAAGGUUAUCUUCCACUGGCCGAUCCGCAUUGAUCCAUCCGCCGCCCGCUCGUCCGUUGGAUCUCGCCUCGAUCACGAACCAUUUCCUGAAACUGGCUCGUUGUUUCAGAAACUGGGCCGCCGUCCUCCAGAUCUCCACCUCCUCCGCACAGCCAAAUCUCCACCUCCUCCGCCGCCGGAGAGGUCGUCCACCAGAUCUCCCCGAUGGCGUUCCGCCGACUCCUCUCGGCCGCAGUGCGCCGCCGCUCCGCCGACUCCUCUCGGCCGUAGUGCGCCGCCGCUCCGCCGCGGCGGACGCCGGCAACCUCGUCGUGGACAGCAUCCCGAAGUACCUCGCAUGACCUACUUCGGGUACCCCACCGACCGCUCGGCCGCGACGCCGGUCGUCCAUCCGGUCGCCGCCAGUCGCCCAUGCUGCCCAUGAACGUUCCAAAUUUUUUUCGCAACUUGACUUUUGUUUGAAAAUAUUCCUGAAACAUGACCUUUGUUGCAAAAAAUUCCCCCGUAAAAGUACCUAUGUUGUAGAAAGGCGAAUAAAAAAAAUCUGCAACAAGCAAAUUGUUUCCGAAACUCGACCGUUGUUUCAGGAAUUAAACGGGUUCAAAGUUUAUUUCUUGCAACAAAGCGAAAGUUUAUGCAACUCAGCCAUCGUUUCAGGAAUUAUGGAGUGUCUGGCCAGAGCGGAUCGGGCGGCUAUGCGUAGAUCGGACGGCCCUUCAAGUGGCGGAUGUUUAGCCUAGUUCCGCUUCUGCCAUCCAUUACGUGCCCCCUUUUCAACUUUUUUUCUCCAUUACGGUUUUCUCAGUUUCCUUUUGUUCUUAGGAUGCAUCCUUUGAAUUUAUAAUUUAUUUUCAAGCAUUUAAACAAUUGUAAAGAAAUUUAUUUAAAACAAUUUAUUCAUGUAUUUUUUAAAAGUGUUUUAAGCAUUUUGAGAUAAAUGUUCAUAUAAUUUUGUUAAAUUAGUGGCAUAUUUUGUUUUUAAAUAAUUAUUUUGUUUUCAAAAUUAUUUAUUUUUUCCCCAAAUGUUAUUCUUUUUUUAGGGCUACCCAAAUGUUACUCGGUCCGAUCCAUACUAUUCCCCACUCUUUUGUAGCUUCGUUGGCCCUCGAGCAAAUUCACCAAACCCACUCAGUUUCGGCCCGCUCGAUUGCCUUCCUUCACACCAUAUUUGGCCAAACGGGCUGGCCCGGCACGGCACGACAUGGUCCGUCCAGACAUGAAUAUUAGUCGGGGUGCCUUGCCGGCCCACGUGCGGCGUCUUAAGGCCCAGGCAUGGUAUGGUUACUAAACAAGCGAAUACGUUGGUCCGUUUAGCACGCUAGGAUGCAUAUCUUCAGCAUAUUGGGCUCACUUUUAAACAUAUUAAGUUGUAUUUUAAGUAUAUAUAUAUAUAUAUAUAUAUAUAUAUAUUAAAAAUACAUAAAAUAAAAUAAGGAAAAAGCUUACCUUCAACCGGUUGAUCGCGCUCCCUUCAUUGAUCGGACGGACCAGACCAACCCCACUUCUGCGUGAGCUGCGACCGUUUUUCUGAAACAAAGCAAUUGUUUUAGGAUCGUCUCCCGCANNNNNNNNNNNNNNNNNNNNNNNNNNNNNNNNNNNNNNNNNNNNNNNNNNNNNNNNNNNNNNNNNNNNNNNNNNNNNNNNNNNNNNNNNNNNNNNNNNNNNNNNNNNNNNNNNNNNNNNNNNNNNNNAGGAUCGUCUCCCGCAGCUGAGAGCCCACUUCGUGUUGCUCUCUCUUGCUGCUUGAUCUAGGAUGGCGACCGUUUUUUCUGAAACAGAGCAAUUGUUUCAGGAUCGUCUCCCGCAGCUGAGAGCCUGCUUCGCGUUGCUCUCUCUUGCUACUUGAUCUAGGAUGGCGAUCGUUUUUCUGAAACAGAGCGAUUGUUUCAGGAUUGUCUCUCGCAGCUGAGAGCCCGCUUCGCGUUGCUCUCUCUUGCUGCUUGAUCUGUUGCGGUGGCCGGCGUCGACUCCAAUAGGUAUACAUGCUCAUCCCUUGCCCCGUCCGCCCCCAUCCCCCCACCGAGCGCAGCCGCCUGUAGAUCGCCAGCGUGAGUGCAGUCAUGUUGGAUCUCCGCCGCCAAACGCUUCCCGACGAAGAGAAAUUUCUGCAACAUGGUCAUUGUUUCCGAAAUACGACCAUUGUUUCAGGAAUUGUUUCUGCAACGUGUUCGUUGUUUCAGUAUUGUUUUUGCAACAUGAUCGUUAUUUCUACAACACGGUCGUCGUUUCAAGAAUUUAUGAGUGAGGAGAAGACGAGCGGGACAUGACAAGCGAUCGAUGACUGCCUGCAUGUAGAUUCAACGGACAGCGAAGUGGUAAAUGUAUAACGCACAUCUAUCAAUAGACGCCUAACAGUCCUCAUAAAAUAAACAGACAGUAUUAUACCUGCCCACGUGCCCAGCCUCCAGCUUGAGGCACAGCUCAAAGUGUGUUCUGUGCUGGCCCGGUCCGUUUAUGUCAUACCAUGUCUGACAAUCCAUGGCGUGCCGUGCCGUCGUGUUUGUGGGCCGGCCCGAAAAGCACGGCCCGUUUGGAUAGGCCUGCUUCACACCACGCAGAACGCAGCCCCAAAUCUCACCGCCGCACUCCCCACUCCUUCGCCAAUUCCGGCCAAAAUCCGGCUGUCCAGCCACCACCAUGGCCGCCGGUGUCAGGCAGGUCUUAGACUGGUUCGCCGGAAGCGAGGCCAUCCUCAGGGCCGAGCGCGCCGUCCUCUCCGCCAGCACCACCGCGGGCGGCGAGGACCGCAUCAGCGCCCUCCACAACCACCUCCUCAGGGACAUCGUGUCCCGGCUCCACGCCAGGGACGCCGCCCGCACCGCCGCGCUCGCCUCCCGCUGGCGCCACCUCUGGCGCUCCACGACGCUCGUCUUCCACGACGCCCUGUCCUGCCAGCCCGAGCACGCCGCCGCCGUGGCCCGCGCCCUCGCCGGCCACCCGGGCCCCUUCGCCACCGUCAGCAUCAGAUACUGCGACUUCCGGUGCCAAAGCCCCGAGCUUGCCGAGUGCCCGCGUCUCCUCGCCGCCAAGGGCGUCCGGGACCUCGUCCUGGUCAACGCGCCCGCCGACCUCGACCACCUCCCCGACGCGCCCGCCGAGGUCCUCAGCUGCGCCCCGCUCCGCCGCCUCUUCCUGGGCUACUUCAGGUUCCCGGACACCGGCGCCGGCCUGCCCGGCAGAGAGGAGGGAUUGUUCCGGCGCCUCCGGGAGCUCAUCUUGCUCAGCGUCGACAUGCCCGACUACGACCACCUCGACCGCCUGCUCGCCCGCAGCCCCGUUCUCGACACCCUCGUCGUCGUCCAAAGCCAAAUCUUCCACCACAUUCACCUCCGCAGCCAGAGCCUCAAGUGCGCGCUCCUCUGGAGUUACUACGUGCAUGAGGUCGCGUUGAAACUUGAAAGCCUGACACGAAGCCGAGCCCGAGCACCGUGGUUCCGAGUGUCAAGAUACUGGCGUUGAAGGUGAACUUUUGGUGUCCGCAAGGAGGUCAAGAUGCUGGCCAGCUUCCUCAGAUGCUUCCCCAACAUUGAAAUGCUGCACAUCGAGGUGACGACACUCACUCACAUCCAUCCAUUCAGCCAGUCGUUGUCGAUUUCUCCUUCAUAUCGUCCUUCAUUUCUUAGUCAGGUGAAUGAUUUGACUACGUUGAUCUUUGCAGUCUCUCCUAGCCGAUGAACGCACUAGGAAGCACAAUGCCAAGUUCUGGCGAGAGCUCCGUCCUAUCGAAUGUCUCAAGUCGCACGUCACCGAGUUGAUCGUCCAUGAAUUCCGGGGGGACCGAAGCGAGAUGGAGUUCCUCAAGUUUGUCGACAGGAGCGCGAACGAGAUUUGGUGUUUGCUCGUCAGGACCACCGCAGUGAAAUUCGCUUCGACGGAUGAGUUCGAUGAACUGAUGACUAAAAUGGAAGAUUUUACGCACCGAGGGUGGGUCUGCGAUCACUCCAUAGUGGUGGUGGGUAGGUGUUAGUGUUCUGAGGUAACAUGUACUUCUUGAUGCCAGUGCUCUGAGGUAACAUGUACAAGCUGGGCAGUAGUCCUGGUAGGAAACAGAUUAAUGCUUAGCUACUAUUGCCAAGAACAUGACUGCCUUAUGGUGUGAUAAUAUCUCCCUGGGCUCAACUGACGUUCUGUUUUAUGGCCAUUGACUGUUUCAUUUCCUGGAGUGGUUAUUCUGAAAAGAUGAUAUGUAUUGCGUUACCAUUUUGCAAUUUAUCCAUGCUUGCUUGGGUUCAGUGGCGGAGCAUGAAACAAAAUCAAGAACGGGCCAAGGGCAGGCCAAUAUCUGGGUCAAUUUACGGGUUCAGGUAAACAUUGACAAGAUAAUCUGAGAUUACUUCCUUUGAUGCUUCUUAUUUCUUUCAACGAAAUUCAGUAGUAUAUGUGAUGACCUGAGAUUAUUACAACUGGAGCAUGGACAGAAGUCUAAAUAAAUCUUCAGAUACCGAGCCAGAAGUGACAUCUCAGAAACAUGAGAAGGUCCAUUCAUGCUUCUAUCAUCAUGUUAUGAUUCUCGACCGACAGGAGACAUGCGAAAAAUAAUACUCCCUCCGUUCUUAAAUAUAAGACCUUUUAGAGAUUGUCUAUAAACUACAUACGGAUGUACAUAGACAUAUUUUAGAGUAUAGAUUCCCUCAUUUUGCUCCGUAUGUAGUCUCCUAGUGAAAUCUUUAAAAGGUCUUAUAUUUUGGAACGGAGGGAGUAGUCAUGAAAAUAGAAACACAACAAACUCCGUGUUUUAUAACAUAAUAAUAAAAAUGAAAACAAAAACUGGUAAUAUUACACUGCAGUAAACAGUAAACAAUUCUAGGAAGCAUAAAAUUCAGUAGCACACUACACACCAGAGCAUGCAUCUCUCACCCACAAGCAGGCACGCAUACAAAUAGUUCGAGUCUGGAGAGUACAGAUAAUAAUUAAAACACAUACAGAGAAGAGUGAAAUAAUCCAGCUUCUUUCCAGUUGACGAAAGUAAAUGAUCACUUGCUUAUGGAGUUGAGGCAGCAACAAACAGCUCCAUCUUCUUCCUGUCCAUGCAUGGCAUGGCUGGUGCUUAAACUCAGGAUCGUUGGGGUGCUUUCGGAGUUCUCUUCUCACUGGGCCUGGGUUGCAGACUUGCAGUCACCAUUCAGCUCGACAUUCUUCAACUUGGAAAGGUAGAGGAAUCGAGGAAUGGUCUCCAUUUUGGCGAAGGGCCAAACAAUCCACUCAAGGUUGGGAACUGUCCCAGUUUCGAAGGUAAUGUUAGCUAUGACGCUGUCAUCAACUACCAAGGACUUGAGGCUCUUGAACUCCUCUUCCUUGAAUAUGAGCCCGUUUCAGGCAUAUGAAUUGCGCCGAAGCCUGAGGCAACACAGAGCUGCACGUUUGCCAAGGAUGCACAUAUAGUCUUCUGCAACCCUCCUCCUCCCAACCCUAGCCGCCCCUCCCCCUCCCUUCCUCGCCGUCGCGUGAGGCAGCCGCCGGGCAAGCCCGGGGCGCCAAGGAUCGUGGCUGCGGGGCCUUGGCUCCCCUGCCUCUGCGAGAGGAACCCCGGAUCUAGAGCCGCGGCUCCAUGGUCGAGGCACGACAAGCUAGCAGCCGUGUGGACAGUGGAUCUAGCGUCCUGGCCGCGCGGGCGGUGGGAUCCAGUGGUCGUCGACGGCCGGCGGCGGCUUCUGCGGUGGCCGGUGCACGUGAUCUGGCGCAUCCCCUCCUCCCCUGUUCGGCGUGCGGGCUAGCCUGGUCGGGUCGCGCUUCCUAGGGUCGCCGGUUCUGUACAGGAGGCGAUGCUAGUGGUGGGGAUCUAGUUCGGGCGAAAUCCCUGGCCGGCCAUGGCCGGCCGCAUCGACGGCGACGCCUGAGGGCGCCGUUCCCCUCCUUGGAGGCAUCGGUAUGGACUGAUCCCCUCACUUCCCCUCCCCCUAGGUCUCCCGGGCGAAAGCCCUAACUUUGUUGGGCGGCGGCGGCGCUCACGGUGUCAUUCCCUUCUUAAAGGUGUCGCUUUGGGAACCUUGGGGCUGGGUGGCGCUUGUGGGUGGUGGGCGACGGCGAUGGUGCGGCCCUAUCCUAGCAUGGAUCUGCGUCCAUUGUUUGAAGAUGGACUCGCGUAGGUGGAGGUCGUCGUUUGGCGUCAUGGUGGCGUCGAUGGCGGAGGCACCUGUCAAGGCUGGCACGUCAAUCUGCUGUGAAGAUGAACCGGUGGAAGAUGGUGGCGGCAAUACAUGUGAGUGCGUCAGACCGGUUUAUGCCCCGGACCCGGUAUGUGGCUCGGUCGGGGCCUCCGGCUUUAGAUGUUAGGCUUAGUGAGAGGUCUGGGUAUUUGGCCCAGAUUGCACCCUUCAUCAUAUGGACAGGAGUAACGGCAGAUGUUGUCAACAUGACAGAUUCAGACAUAUUGUUGUAUUAUUUUGUAAGGUCCUCGGAAAUAAUCAAUAAAAUAAUCGCAUGCAUCUUCCAAAUACGGAGACCGAGGAUCAUCCUCCUUUUCUAAAAAAAAUUAUAGUCUUCUGCCAGGUAAGUCAUGCUCAUUGUUAGCAUAGCAACUCCCCAUUUUUCAAGUUUAGGAGCCCUCUGCUCCAAAUUUCAUUCAACAUCAACAACUAAAUCGGGAAAAUCGUACAUAUUUUAUGAAACCAUGUGCGAUGGCUCGAAUCCAUAGUCAAUCCUACUUUCGAUAGGACCGGUUGACAAUUGAAUCUAAUUUUUUCUCAUUAUUUGAUUAUCCAUAAUAGUGCGUAAAGAAAGUCCGGAGGAAGAGUGGCCUUGAGUUUCUCGUCCCUUUGCCUUAGGAUUUGUUAAUUCUCUUUCUCGAUGGGACGGGGAAGGGAAUCCGAUUGUCGGCUUUUUUUUUCCUCUAUUGAUGUUCUACGAACAAGAAUCUUUUUUUUCCGAAUUAAAUGGAGAAUCCAGGAUCUUUUAUGUUUUUUACCUUACUAUGUCGCUAGAUACAAAACAAUAAAAUAAAUAUUAUAUAUACAAAAAUACAGAUUUUGAUGAAAUUCAACAAUGUACUACUCCCUCCGUCUCAUAAUAUAAGACGUUUUUGGACGCUACACUCAAUAAAAAUGAACAGCACAUAUAUAGCUUUAGCGGUGAACCAAGAUAGUACAAGGAAAAUCGAAUACCACACUACACACCAGAGCAUGCAGCUCACACACAGACAUGCAGGCACAAAUAACAAUCCAGGUCUGGAGAGUACAAAUAAUUAAGCAAACAAACAAAUGCACCCAGGAAAGGUGCAUGAAUUACACAAGACAGAUAGAAUUCAGAUACAAUGAGGAGCGAGACUGAAAGAUGGUCAGGCACUCCUACAGUCAGCUGCCUCUUUAUUCAGGAUGAUAAAUGAGUGGGGCAAACACCGGGCGAAACAAAUUUCCAGUUGAUGGAGAGUAGUCCAUCAGUUGCUCACAGAGAUGGAGGCAGCAACCGUAGCUCCAUCUUCUUGGUGUCCACGGCCUGGCUUGUGCUUGAAAUCAACACUGUCUGGCAGCUCUUCAUAUACUUGUUUCACUAUAUCUGGGUCGCAGUCACCAUUGAGCUCGAGUUUCUUUAACUUGUCAAGCAAGCGUACUCCAGAAAUAGACUCCAUUUUGGCGAAGGACCACACAAUCGUCUCGAGCCUUGGAGUUGCUGCUGUGUCGAAGGUAAUGUUGCUGAUGACGUCGUCGGUGACAACGAAUGACUUGAGGCUCUUGAACUCUCCAUCAUUGAAUGUGAGCCCGCUUCCGGCAUAGGUAUUGCGCCGAAGCCUGAGGCAACGCAUAGCUGCAAGCUUGCCAAGGAUGUGUAUAUAUUCUUCCUCCAGGUAAGUCUCGCUCAAUGUUAACUUGGUAAGUUGAUCAAGCUCUGCAAUCCACAAGAGGAGCCCACUUCUAAUGCCACUAAUGUUCAGGCUCUGAAGAAGUUUUGGAGGUGAAGCUAAUGGAAGAGUAUCCUCGGCUUUGGGUGCUUUGUUGAUCUGGAUUGACAAGGAGCGCAGGCAACCGUGUAAUUUUUCAAUCUGUUGGAAUAGAACACCCAAGCCACCUUUCUCAGCGGAAAGAAUCACACCCAGUUUCCUCAGCCGCAACAGAUGACCAACAUCAGUUAAAUCAUUAACAUUGCCGGGAGCUUCAACAUGGGAUAGUGUCUCCAAUUUUUCCAUUCCUUUAAUGCCUCUGGGAAGGCGCACGGCCAUAAUCAAAUCCUGAGACCCAUCGGAGCUGUUGCGGGAAGACCCUUUUGGGCCAGAAAGCAGAUGCUUUAGCACUGGAAGCAUGAUUGAUCUAGUGGUGAAGGCCCGUACCGCUGUCUGCCGGAUGUCCAAGGUUUCCAGACACUGCAGCUUCUCGAUCUGCUUGGGUAGUUUAGUGAUAUCUGUGUUCCUGAGGCUCAAAUACUUCAGCAGUAUUAUUUUACAGAUGCUCUUCAAAUGUUGCUUCUUUAAGCCCCUGCAACCUUCUAGAUCCAACAUCUUCAUAAGCUGCCACUGAGAUGACUUUGCCAAGUAUGGUAGAAAUGCUACAAUGCAUUGCUAUCAGCUGCUUCCACAGAACGGUCCGCACGAGAUGGCUGCAAUUGCACCCCAGUUCUGCUGUGAACGGGGAGGUGGCGAGCCAAAUCGGGCGGUAGGUCCGUGUCCACAAAGUUUACAUCUCUAGCAAUCCUGUUGAUGACUUCACGAACAAUGCGAUGCAAUGUAAAGGUCUUGAUCUUUCCCGUGUCACCGAUCUCCACAGGUUGAAUGAGAGCUCUUGAGAGGAGUGCAUCGAAACAGGAAUCAGCUUCAUCUUCUGCACGAUUCUCCCUUGACCUUAUCAACCCUUCAGCUAUCCAUCUUCUACACACGGUUGUUCUCCUAAUGGGGUCACUUUCUGGGAAGAUGGUUAGGUACAACAAGCAGCUCCUGUACUUGGCAGGCAGGUCAUUGUAGGAGAUCUUCACCAUUUGCUUUCCCACACUUUUGUUUGCGUGCCGACAACCCUUUAAGGUUUCAUUGAUGUGGUCUAACUGCGUUUUACCUCUUCCAGGGUUUGCAUAUACAAGUUGUUGGAACAUCUUCAUUGCAAAGACAUCGGGGUGACAUAAUCGUAAAAUACUACCUAUAUCAUAUUCACCACCGCAAGAAGAACUAACAAGCUCAUUGGUAUUACCGUAGAAAGCUAAAAAUAGACUUUUUAGUCUGAGGAUUUUACAAGUGGACUCUACUAAAUCAGGAUCCCAUGUGGUAAUGACUAUAGCACUACCACGAGAGCCUUGAGCAGUAACAUGUAACAGAGCAGACCUUAUGUUAUACCACUCUCGACUAGAAACUUCUGCAAGAAUGAUCAAGGAUCGUUUACCUUUGAGGAACCCCUCAAGUUUAUUGGUGAGUUGCAUGGCCUCAUCCUCCUUGUCAUCACCCAGUGAUGUUUCAGUACUUUUCUCUGCUUCCACCCUGAGCACGUCUUCUUGUUCAGCUGGAUGGGGCGCCACUUGGUGUAGUAUUUCCUGCAGUAAUACGACCACAGAAUCCAAUUUGAUCCUGUUGACCCAGGCUUUGCAACUAAAUGAGCUGAUUUCCUGCUCAUAUAGUUUCUUAGCCAUAAGAAUUGUGAAAUCAUCAUCCCGGAUGUACUCAUAUAUAUCACUGUAUUCAAUGUAUUCGUAUUCAUCCCAGAUCAUCAGGAAUAUCCUCGGGCGUGAUUCCCUGUUUGCCAACUCCUCAACAGCUCCUUCCUCACACUCACACAACACGGACUUGAUGGUCUCAUCCAUGAUUUUCUGUUCAUAAGUCACUUUGUCAUCCGACCACGAACAUCUGACAAGAAGAGCGCGUCUCCGAGCAUCUUCCUCCUCGGCUUCAGGUCCAUCUGGGGCUUGUACAUCCUCAUUCAUGAACAUCUCACCUUCUUGGCCAGCAGCCGGUGGCACGGUGAUACCGUACCUCAGCUGCUUGUGGCCCACAUCAUGCGCCUUGACCUUGAGCUCCCGGAUCCGUGUUGCAAUCUGGUGCCGCUCUGGGAUGGUGCGCACAUACCUUAUGAUGGACUAUGUACACAUGACCGAGACACUCUCCGGUCAAUAUUCAAUAGCGGGACCUGAACGUUCAUAUUGGAUCCUACAUAUUUUACGAAUAUCUUAUCGAUUGAACCUCUAUGUCAAGAAUUCACACAAUCCCGUAUAUCAUUCCCUUUGUCCUUCGGUAUGUUACUUGUCUGAGAUUCGAUCGUCGGUAUCGACAUACCUAUGUCAAUCUCGUUACCGGCAAGUCCCUUUACUCGUUCCGUAAUACAAGAUCACGUGGCUAACUCUUUAGUCACUUUGCUUGCAAGGCUUGUUUGUGAUGUUGUAUUAUCGAGUGGGCCCCGAGAUACCUCUCCGUCACACGGAGUGACAAAUCUCAGUCUUGAUCCAUGCUAAUUCAAUGAAAACCUUCGGAGAUACCUGUAGAGCACCUUUAUAGUCAUCCAGUAACGUUGCGACGUUUGAUACACGCAGGGCAUUCCUCCGGUGUCAGUGAGUUACAUGAUCUCAUGGUCAUAGGAAUGUAUGACAUGCAGAAAACAAUAGCAACAAAAUGACACGAUCAUAUGCUACGUUUAUAGUUCGGGUCUUGUCCAUCACAUCAUUCUCCCAAUGAUGUGAUCUCGUCGUCAAGUGACAACACUUGUCUAUGGCUAGGAAACUUUAACCAUCCUUGAUCAACAAGCUAGUCAACUAAAGGCUCACUAGGGACAUUGUUUUGUUUAUAUAUACAUGUAUUUAUGUUUACAUUCAAUACAAUUAUAGCAUGGAUAAUAAACGAUUAUCUUAAAACCGGAAAUAUAAUAAUAACUUUUUAGUAUUGCCUCUAGGGCAUAUUUCCAACAGUAAUAUGCCAAGUGUUUGAAAGAAGGAGUUCAAUUUUUCAUACUCCCCUCCCCAAUCGGAUUGGACAACAAUGAUCUUACUAUCAAAUUUGUGUUCAACGAGUGCUUGAAAAUUGUGAAAGACUUGAAAAACAUCAGAUCUUUUCUUGAGGAGAUAGAUCCAAAAGUAUUUGUAUAGUCAUCAAUGAAGCUCACAUAAUAAGUAUGUCUAGCAACAGAACUAGGGGCAGGACCCCAAACAUCAGAAAAAAUGAGCUGCAAUGGUUUUGUAGACACACUAGUAGAUAUGGGAUAGGGCAAUUGAUGACUUUUAACCUUUUGACAAGAAUCACAAACUGUUUCAAGAUUACGCUCACCAACAUAGAGGAGCUUACUUUUCCUAAGCGCUUGUUCUACUAAAUGAAAAGAUGCAUGUCCUAAUUAAUCGUGCCACCUAGCUGAAGAUAGUUUGGUGACACCAUAAGCUCUUUUAUUGGAUCUCCUAAGCCUGGGAAUCAACGGGUAAAGCCCUCGAACACAUCUACCUCGAUAGAGAGUUUUCUUCGUGACCUGAUCCUUGAUACAUGCAAAAAAAUAAUCUAAGAUGGAAUUUUAGAUGAUUUAUAACUGAAUGACCAACAUGCUGAAUCCUCAUACCUGCUCCAUUUGUGGUGUGGAUAUGUUCUUGUACUUGAUACUUCUCCCUCAUCAUUACAUUUUCCAACUCAUUGGUGAUGUGGUUGGUAGCACCACUGUCGACGUACCAGCUAGUGUCGACUCCAUAGGAUACUUCUGCUCUAUUGGCUACUUUCUCAUCUUGAGAUGAGUCCUCGUCCUCCUCAAACCUGUACCAACAAUCUUUGGCAGAGUGUGCCAUCUUGCCGCAGAUCUGGCAACAAAUUGCAGCAGGACGUGAGUUGUUUUUGGAGCCGUUCCGACGACCCCUUUUAUUGUUGGAGGAGGGUCGCCCGAUGUUGUCAUCGCCGCCGCGAGGGUUAGGGCUGUUCUUACCCUUGUGCCGUGAUGAGCCACGGUACGUUGAGGAGCCGCCGCCACGACCACGAGCUGCGUUGGCGGAGGACUUGAAGGCGCCGUCGUUGCCCGAGCCGUGAAAGGGGACUACCCACCGAUUAAAAUUGCUCAUCAUGGCAAAAAGAUCUUUGAGGGAGACCGGUGCGGUGUGCACGUCGAGAGCGGACACGAGCGGCCGGUACUCCAUGUCCAGCCUAGCAAGGAUGUAGGAUACCAACUCAUCAUGCUUGAUUGGUUUUUGCACGACGACGAGCUCAUCACCAAGAGCACGCAUGUGCGUGAAGUAAGCCGUCGUCGACUGUUGCCCCUUCUGUGCGUUCGCCAGGGUGAUAUGCACGUUGUUGAUGUGGGCUAUGGACUGCAAUGAGAACAUGUUUGCAAGUGCAGUACAGAGAUCAUGUGCAUGGGCAAUCGAAGUUACCUGCACGAGGACCUCUUUUGACAGGUUGUUAAGCAGAUAUCCGAGUACAUGUUGGUCCUCCUUGUCCCAAACCUGAUGGAGAGAGUUUCGCGACGCUUCUUCCUUCCCGUCUUUGUCCUUGGUGACGACCAUCGGGGCGGGUUCCAGCACGGUUCCAUCGGCAUAGCCGAAGAACCCCGCACCUCGGAGCUGGGGCGUGAUCUGGGCACGCCAUAGCACGUAGUUGCUUCGGGUGAGCCUUUCCCUGAUCUGACCACUAAGACCGUUCUAGAAGACGCUGGAGGAGGACAUGUCGAAGCUCUUGGGUGGAGAUUGAAAGAUGGAUGUAAUGGAACAUGCUAGGCUCUGUAUACCAUGUGGAAGAUGGCGGUAAGCGUCAUGCUCUGUUGGGAGCCGCGCCUUCGUGUUAUAUUUUUUUAGAAAAGGAGGAAGACCCCCGGGCUCUACAUCUGAGCGAUGCAUGCAUCCAUUUUAUUAAUUAUUCACAAAAGACCUUACAAAGUAAUACAUCAGUAAGACUGAAGCCACCUCUAGGCAACAUAUGUCGCUACUUCUAUGCAGUUGAUGAAGGGAUGCUGAUAGUUUGGGCCUAAUACCAAACAGACCUCGCAACUAAACCUAACAUCUAAGACCUCAGGCCCCAACCAAGCCACCUGUCAGGUAUGGGGCACCCACCGGUCCGGCGCACACUGAGAGGUCACCGCCGCCAACUGCCACCAAUCCAUCUCCAGAACUAUACUAACGCAUCCACCUUGCCCGGUCUAGCUGCCGCCGACGCCACCACGACGCCAGACAGCGUCGCCCUCCUGCGCGAGUCCAUCUUCGCACAUCGGACGCCUAAUCACCAGGGCGCCACACCAUCGAGAUCCGUCGCCUUCAAUGUGCAGGAUGAAGCAUCACUCCACCGAAGAAAACAUCCACUAGUCCCCCGAGCCCGCGUACACCUCCAAGAAUGACGCCCCCAAGGGGGAGACGACACAAGCGCGCCGCCGAGCCUUCGUGUUAUAUAGCAGGGGCUUAUCCCUGAUAUGCAUACAGGUAGUUGAGAGGAUUACAACUUGAGAUGCAAGAAAGAUCUAAUGAGAGAAUAGAGACGACAACUAGCUAUGGCUACAAGAUUUAAAGCCUUUUACGAUGACAACAUGCUCUCUAUGUUCCACUUGCCACUGUCUGCUCAAGCUUACCAGGAGCUGCUUUCAGUUCAAUCUUUGCUUCAAGAUCUAGAUAUUGACCACCAGGCCUCUGACAGAUGGGUAUGGGGAAAGGAUGCUAAGGCCUACACAGCCAAGAGAUACUAUACUCAUAUUCACAGCAGUAUUACACCAAACCCUUUACUCAACUGGAUCUGGAAGAGCUGUUGUACCAUGAAGAUUACGAUGUUUUCCUGGAUGCUCAUCAUGGACAGACUUAACACCCAAGACAUGCUUGAACGGCGUCACUGGAAUGUUUCAGACUCCAAUCUCUGUGUUCUAUGCCAUGCUAGAGUCAAGGAAGACAGAGAUCACUUAUUCUUCAACUGUCUUUUCAGUACCAGGGUCUGGAAUUACCUGCAGAUCACAUGGCAGGGUCCAUCCAUGUGGAGUGCUACUGUAGCUGCUAAGCGAGACUUCCAUAACCCCUUUUUUGCUGAGGUGGUCUUCACUGCAUGUUGGAACAUCUGGACUGUCAGAAAUGCCAAGGUCUUUAACCAGGAGCAGCCAAAGUUCAGAAAAUGGAGAUCUGGUUUCAUCCAUGACAUUUCCCUGUUAGCUCAUAGGAUUAAGGCUAGUUUCAGGGAUGAUCUCUUUAAAUGGGUUUCCUUUUUGCCUCCUUGAGGUUUGUAACCUUAGCUUCCCAUCCCAUUUGUACAUUCUAAUUUCUUCUUGUACAUACUACUCUUAUUUAUGGGAAUAAAAGAAAAAAGGUUGUGGGGGGUUUUCCCUACAGUAGCCGGUCAAAAAAAGCUAUGGUUACAAGAUUUCCUAUAGCCAACAACCAUCCGUGACCGGCCCAAGUUACCUCCUCGUGCCAACUAACUCUGAUGGUUUAACACGAGGGUGUCCCCUCCUAACAGGCUAUUCUUUUUGGGGGAGAGGAUCCAAGUCCUCUCAUAAGUCGUGUUGUUCUUUGAUUGAGUCUGGUUGACGCGUGUGGGUAUGAAACGCUGAUGUUAGCGGACCCGGAAUUGUGUAACAACUGUCGCCUUCCUUGAUUUGAAGGUCCGACCGAUUCUUGACGAGCAGUUCAGCAAUGUCUUCUCUCUCGUAGAGAACGGGAUAGUGGAGCGCCGUUUGCCCUUCGUUAUCAUCUACUACCGUAUCGAAAUAUAAGAUGUGCAUCUUACACUAAAACGCGUCUAGAUACGUGCAGUCCAAAAAACGCUAAAACAUCUUAUAUUUCGAUACGGAGGGAGUACAUUUUAUUUUCUACGGUUUACAGUUAACAAAAGAACUGAUGUGAAGAAAGAAAAAAACAGCAAUCCACAUGGUGCAAGGUACAAGACUAGGUGAACUUGACUACACAUCAUCAAGGCAACAAUAAUGCACAUUUAGUAAAGUGCAAGAUGUCAUUGAUGUAAACAAACUUAUGAUUCAUUUCCUUGAUCAUCAUGGGCAUCGAAUGCUGCAAACUUCUUGGUGGAAUAUAUCUGCACAAAGGGCUAUGGGGAGUCUCUUUGUCCUCAGGUCUUCCCACGUCCAAGUAAUGCAGCUAUGGGCUACAUGUCACCCUUUCCUUUGAAGAACAAGACAUGUUCAGUAAAUUAAAUUUGACAACAAAAGGACUUGACAAGUGCAACGAAGCAGGAGUAAGGACUCAUGCAUCUACUAAAGGUUCGCAAGUUUUUUGUAAAUGUAUGUUACCUUUGCGCAAUUAGACAAUUCGUCACACGCCCAGUGCUUCCAUGCCCACUGGCUUGAAGAACAAAACAUAGAACAUGGUCAGUACAACAAAUAUGGCAAAACAAAGGAGAUUAAACUAGCGAGUAUUUCCCUUGAACUGAACAUUGGAACUAAAAAGAAGAAACAUGACAUACAAUACAGUGCAUGUAAGAUUGUAGGUGUCACCAAUAGGUUAGUACAACGUACUUUAACGAUGAUGAUUUAAGUUGAACUAUUACUGUCUUAUUUUUACUACGUACUAUGUAGGGAAUUUCGAACAAAAGGGAGGUAAAAGCUGGACACGAAACAAGUAUUUGCACAAAUACCUUAAGAGGAAUCUAGUAUUGAUCUGCUCUGCUUCUUGUAAGUUUGGACACUUCAAUAUCAGCACCUUUAUUUUUGACACUGCCUUUGCACCACCAAUUGAAACUAGGUCUGGAAAAUCCGAAAUCACCAAUUCCUCAAGUGAUGCAAGGUUACUGCACCAAAUGUGACCUGGAAUGGAUGUUAUACGGUUGCAUCCACCCAUGUUCAAUGCGACGAGGGAUGUGAGGUUCUGUAGGCAGCUGGGAACACAUGGAGAUAUAUCACCACAUCUCGUUAAGCGGAGACUUUGGAGAGAUGAAGGCAACACCAGCCCCCUUUGCCAGUUGAGGCUUGGACACACAGUGACCACCAGACGUUUUAGAUCAGUAAAACUCACAAACCUUUCACCGGGCAGGGACAAUAAAUUGCGACAAUAUUUGACGUUAAUUUCCUCAAUGGCAGGUAGAUAGUUUUGUGAUAGGAGGUCAUCGAGUGUUGACAUGUCACCACAUAUAACUGAUAGGACUCUAAGGGACGAGAAUGCGCCAACGCUUCCUGCAAUAGAUGUAAGAUGCCUACAUAGAACGCACAACUGCCAUAGAGAUGGAAGACUCCACGUAUCUAGUUGGAUGGACGUGACAAAAUCACAUGACAAAUCAAAGUAGGUAAGUGAGCAGCAGUCAAUAUUGGAAAAGAGACCAGAUUCAUGCAAACUGAGCUUCUUAAGGGACGAUGAUACCAAUCUUUGGGAGCAGAUGUUUGGACACUUGGCCACCUCCACUUCUUCGAGGAAAUGCAAAUCCCCAAACUUUUCAGUUGGUAUUGAUUUUAAGAUCUUGCAAUCUUUAAUUCUUAUUUUCUUGAUGGCUGGUACAUACUCUGGAUGCAGAAAAUGUUCGAGGCUUGAUAACAUGUAGCACCCAUCAAUGGUUAGGUCUGUCAGGGACAUGAAAAUACCAACUUCAGGUAUCUUAUUUAAGUUUAUGCUUUGUGAGAGCAUGUGAGAUGAUAUGCUCUCAAAUCCAACACAACCUACAAAAGUAAGUGAUUUUAAGCUUGGCAACUUUUGUGGCUGAAACCAGCUUGGGAGCGAGACACCGAUAUAAUUCUGGAGGAACAGAGACUUAAGACAGGUAGGAGGUUGCAGAACUUCAAGCAGUUCUCUCUCGUUGUUUAUGGAAAAACUGGGGAAGCCUAUAUAAUCAUGCUCGCGCAUAUUCAGUUCCAACCCACCAAGAUAUUUCUUAUUCUUUAGUUCUACUUCUGCUGCUUGAUCCUUACUUAGCAAGCGAACAUGAGUUAUCCCCAAGGAGCCACGAAAUUGAUUCAGAUUCUUCAACCUACUUCCUCUCCACCCAUCAGGUGAACCACAAAGAUACAUACGAUACCCAUCAUAAGAUUUUACUUCACGUGAUUCAAAUUUCCAUAAACUGGUCAGCUUACCAAAGUCACUGGGCAAGCUUUCUAGACUGCAGUUCUUGGCAUAUAAAAUCUGCAGAUGAUAAAGCCAACAAAAGGUUGAAGGGAUCCUCUUCAAAAGGCAAGCUCUGGAGAUUUCAAAGUACCGAAGAUGCUUCCAAUUGCCAAUACUAUCUGGUAACUCAUCUGUGGUGGCACAAGAAAUCACGCGCAUACGCGGAAGUUUGGUACACCAUUGUCCCAUUACAGAACAUGCUUUUUUCCUUAAAUCCUUCUUGCAAAUAAGGGUGCGCAACUUUGUGUACUUGCAUAACCCCAGCAAGCUGGAAUGGUCAAUGUCACUACUAGGGAGUACAUACAGAUGACGAACAUUCUGGGGAACUUUAUCAAAGUCACUCUUACUUCUUAAGAUGCAACACUCGUGUUUUGAAACCAUUUGUGCCAUGUCAUGUAACAAGUCAUGGAUAACAUAUCUACUGGCGGCUUUUUGAAAGAAGGACCGUGUUACAAGGUCUUCAAAAUACUGACAACCAAUGUCUUGAAUAGGAACACUGCCUUGAGGAUCCACAAAGCCUUCUGCUGCCCAAAUUUCAGCUAAGCGUGCCUUCUCAAACUUGUAAUCUUUGGGAUACAGAGCACAAAAUGCAAAGCAUUUUUUCAAAUAGAAUGGUAAAUACAUGAAGCUCAAUCGAAGGGCAGGCAAAAUGUCAGUCUCCUCUUGUUUCAACUGCCACAGUUCACUCUCAAGUAUAGAAUUCCAGUGCGAUGCUUGAAGGUCCAUUCUUAACAUGCGCCCCAAAGUUUUGGCAGCCAAAGGAGAACCCUUCAGUUUAGGAAGUAUACUUCUACCAAUGUGCUCUAACCCAGGAUCAAUGUUAGAAUCAUCAGAUCCAAAUGCGCACCAUUUGAAGAAAUUCCAAAAGACAUCGUCUUUCAGUCCUUCAACUAUAAUGGGUUCCAUUGUGUGCACCCCUUCAGUAACGUUUGGACAUCUAGUGGUGACCAACAUCAUACUUCCCUCUUGGACACUUCUGAAAGGUGCACAAAAUCUCUUCCAACACUGCCCAUUUUCCUUCAGAGCAUCAUCCCACAUGUCAUCAAGGACAAUCAAUAACCUUUUGUUAUUCACACGGUUAAAGAGGGAACGCUGAAGAGAAUCCAAAUUAUCGAUUGUUGUCUCUUUUCCGGUACAGGAUUCAAUCACCUCUUUUGUUAGCCUCUUCACAUCAAAGUCAUCGGAGACACAAAUCCAAACUAUGAGGUCAAAGUGAGAUUUCACUCGUUGAUGGCUGCAAAUAUGUUGGGCCAAAGUAGUCUUUCCAACACCACCAAUUCCAACAAUCGGCAAGACGUGGAGACUAAAUAUUCUUGAUUCGUCACUUGCAUGGUUGCUUGCUGAUUUGCUCGUUGAUGCUUUGGCUGAACUAGUUGCCCUCUUGCGUUUUGGAAAUGUAGGUACAUUGAGAAACCCCAAUAGCUGCUUUAGUUCCUUGUCACGACCAAAUAUUUUCAUUUCAUUAGGAAAAGAUGUGAUCUCGGGCCUGACUAAUUUGUCAAAGCAUAGUGUAACUCCACGUGGCACUGUAUUCUCUAGCUGACUUGAAAGAUGAUUCAACCUCAAUUGGACAUCAUUAAGUCUGUUAAAGCUGCCUUCGAUGACUGCAUGAAAGAAAUCAGUGAAAGGAGAUUGGCUUGCAUUUCCCUCCAGUUGCAUCUUUUUCUCAUACCAGCUGAACUCAUCAACAAGGUCCUCAGCCUCAGCCACGGCAUCCUUGAGAUUAGGAAGGAGUUUGCCCACACCAUGUUCGUGGCUUCUCCACUCUGCUCUAUUAACGAGAUCGUACAUUGCAGGAAGAGUAUCCCUGAGACCUUGUAGGCCACUCUCCAACUGCAACACGUGAUCCUGGAGACUUUGCUCCUGUAAUCCACUCCAUCGGGAGUGCAGAGAUGAAAUAGCAGACUUGGCCCAUUGAAAGAAAGUGACACAUUCGUUGAUAGCCCCAACGAGCCCAAUGGCUGAUACGCUCAUGGUGGCUGGUAUUUGGGCGUUCAUUUCUGUCAUGCAAGCAAGCAAAAUUAGCAUCAUGGAACUAAUUUUUGUAGUCAAAUUCUUUAACAAGUCGACUGUUGAUAUGCCAGAUACGUUUGCACCCAAAAAAUCCCAUCAAAACUAGUUUCAACAGAUACUCCAAAAAGUUAAGAGAAACAUCAUGAAAUGAAAAUAAAGCUAUGAAGUUAUAGUAAUAUGUCUUAGCAAUGAUUAACAAAGAUACUUGUACGUGAACCAUACACUGGGAUAUUCAACUAAAAUUUAUGCACACAUUUUAUGAAAUGAUGAGACUCUGGAAGCAGUACAUGAAGGACCAAAUUGUCUUAACCACAUCAUCAUAACAUAAUUUUCAAAGCUAAAAUAGAUUUCUGGAAGGAACGCAUAAGAAUAAAUGAAUCCGUAGAAGAUAUCAAGGGGCCGUGCUCACCUGAGCUGGAUCCAAGCGUCCUGCUUGCCGCCGACGAGAGCAGCAGCAGGAGCGGAGGGGAGCCAAAUAACAAUCUCUUUGGAAAGAUUCAAGCCUCACACUCACAGCUUCUGGGCGGAAGAACCAACCAUAUGGUAACGGCGGGCUCAUAGGUUUGUCCGCCCGCGGAAAAAACGAGGUGAGGUUCUAUGAUAUCAUCAUGGUACCUUGAGCUUACGAUGCUAGCUGCUCUUUCAGUCUUUGUUGCAUGGUCCGUCUCGCUCCUUAUUGUUGCUGACGGAUGUAUCCAGGAAAACAUGUUCAGCUUGUAAACUACCUACUACUCCCUCCGUUCUUAAAUAUAAGACCUCAUAGAGAUUUCAUUAUAGACUACAUAAAGAGCAAAAUGAGUGAAUCCAGUGGCGGAGACAGCACCCGGCGGGGCUGCUGCCCGGGCUCCCAUGGGGCAUGUGAAUGGAGCUCUAGUAGUGAAACAUGGUUUACUUCAUAGUUUUUUGGGCAAAAUCUAAUUAACUUGGCAUCAUGUAUAUCUUGCCCAGGCUAUAAAUUUGAGCUGGCUCCGCCACUGAGUGAAUCUAUACUUUAAAAUAUGUCUAUAUACAUCCAUAUGUAGUCCAUAUUAGAAUGACUAUAAAGUCUUAUAUUUUGAAAUAGAGGAGGUAGUAUAUAUCGAUCAUUUAAACCUCCAACACUACACGGAACGAUCUAUCCAUGUGCGCUGUGAAUAAUUAGUUAUUGUGAAAUUUAAAUAUUAUUUUAUAGUUUACGCAUCCGUUUUUUUUAACGAGGCAAAAGAUUUGCCUUCCCUAUUAAUUAAGAAAAUAAAUUAUUCAGUUAACUAAUAAAAAACCGGACAAAAACCAAUACAACUCAAACGACACUCAACUGCGACUAGACAUCAUCCCACAAAUGACGGAGAGAAGACGCCAUGACUACUAUGAGGAGGUGCUUGUGUUGAGGUAAAGGGUCCGUUUAAACCCAUAGCCUCCAUUCAGAGAUCGGAGCACGAAGACUAUGUGUCCUCGUGACUUCGCUAGCAACCAUGAUGGCCCUCAAAACGCGCACCCAUCUGCCCUUCGUCGGCAGCGCGUUCACCAUGCUCACCCCUCCCUCCUGUGGCUCACCAUUCUGGAUGCUUGUCGGUGAAUCGUUGGAGUAUACGACAAGGGGCUUCCCUCUCCGUGCUCUGAUACCCCUAUCUCGUCCAUUGGCCCGUCGGAGAUCCGCCUCUAGGACUUCGUGUCCCAGGCUCUCGCUCGCCCAUCGCCUUUCCCCCAUCACCGCUCAUCGUUCGCACACGGGGCACAUCCCCAUUACCUGCUCCUGCCAUGAUCAACUAGGGUGGUUUUGCCAGCGCUGUGUUCAGAUCUGGAGUGCCCAGAACCACGAUGCUUUCCCUCCGCUUCCCUAACACUCCCAUGCACGUCUUCCGCUGGUGACAUCGCAUGUCUCCCAUCCCUUGUUGUCAGGAGUGUGUGUUGGCUCGAUGGUGGUGCAUAUCUCCCAUCGACGCUGGCGGUGCGUGCAUUCUAGGGCAGAAACGUGUUGACCGUGGUCUGGACCGAGCCAUGGCCCAUCCUACGCUCAUGGGCCCGUGUGGCAACCCUAGGCCCACACCAGAGAUUGGUGGCCUGGUUGGCCCACCCUUUCACCCAUCUUCUGGCCUACCACCUCUCCCGUGCAGAUCCAACCUUCCGCACCGUUCGUCUCUCAUCGGAGGACCCGCCCUGGUUUCACGCACUCCUGUCCCACUCCGCCCAAUGGUAUAUAACUGGUAGUGGUUUCCUAAGAAAACCCUAAUCCUCCCUUCUCUGACGUUGUUUCCCUUCCCAUUCCACCUCCAUGGAUCGCAACCGCUCGACUGGCCACACCGUCAGUAGUGCAGAAAAGCCUAGCUAUGGCGUGGCAAUAAUGGACUUCCUGACGUGGACACCCGACGCCAUCAAUAUGGCGUUAGAACUUAAUGGUGGCGUCGGAGAUGACGCCGACAGUAUUUUCAAUACCUAUGGCGUUGGACAAAGUUGCAUGCCGACAUUUUCAUAUUUAGCUAAUUAAAAAAAUACAUAGCAGUGGAAACUUAUUACAUAUCUGUAGCAGUAUAAACAUAUAUACUAAUUUUCACCAAAAUGUUAGUACUGAUGAACUACCUUAUUCGCAAACUAAACGUUUCAGCAAUUCACAAAUGAUACUACCAACUUCACGAACUAAAAACAUUUCACCAAUUGACAAAGGAAACUACCAACUUCACAAUGGAUAGAUCUGCCCCUCUCAACACCUUAUCUGGACAAACUUCAUCUCAUGGACCUUAUUCCUAUGGAUGUGCCCCUCCAUGAUGUAAUGGGCUUUAUCCGUCUUCAGUUGAGUCCUCUGGGACUUCAAGACUUGUAUGUGUCAUGGUAACGAUUCCGACAAUAGAAAGGGGGUAGGAUAAAGGAGCAUGAUCUAUCGAGAUGCACAUGGGUGACAUGGUGGUUUUAGCGAGUUUCGGCCUCUCACAGUGGAGAUAACAACACUACGUCUCGUGCUCCGGAGAGGCUUUGUUUUAUCUGUCAUGGACAUGAGUUACAUGGUAUAGAGAGAGCCAGAGAGCCAGGGAAAGAAUGAGCCCGCAGGGGGAGAAGAAGAUGGCCCUUAGCUGUGUGGAGGGGGUGGCUUAUAUAGAGUGCGCCACCCCUUCACCUCUUAUGUUACAAGAUGGGGCAUUGAUGUCAUAAUGUCAGCCCACUACAUAACCUCCUCUAUGCUUCAACUGCCUUGCCGACUGUUGGUAUUUGCAUAUCCGAGUGAGUCAUACGGCCGAGUGGUGGACUGUCAUCCGAGUGGAUCCGUAUCGAGUGGAUUAGAUGUUGUCGCGAUCAAGCCAGGAUUUCCCUUGUAGUCCUAAUAAUGAGGCGCCCUUUCCCUUUGGUAGGACAUAUAGGUCAGGCCUAUGACCCUACCCUAGGGUUGUAUCCCCGUCAUUAGUCCCCGAAUGGAUCAGGGUCAGAGUGGUGAAGGUGUCGAUGUAAAUCUUGUAGCAGCAGACCGAACUUGAACGUGCUACAGGGCCUUACAGAAUUGUUCGUCGAUUGAAGUAUCCAUCAUUCGCCCUAAUCGAUUCCGCUGAGUAGUACGUCCGAGUGAACUUGAGAAUUGAAGUAGAUCCUUACAGAAUUGUGCGUCGAUUGAAGUCUCCAUCAUCCGUCCUAAUCGAUUCCGCUCAGUAGUACGUCUGAGUGAACUUGAGAAUUGAAGUAGAUCCGAGUGACGAACAGGAUCUUGAGACUCUGACUGAUUGCUUGUAAUGCCCCAAAGUGUAACUUGCCAUAUUUGGAACCUUCAUGUGUGGGUCCAUGAUGUCAUUGCCUUGUGAGUUAUAUGCAUGUGUUAUUUCAUGUGAUCAUACCUUGUCUCCCCUUUGCAUUCAUGCAUCCAUAUCAUUCAUGCCUUCAUUGUGUUUGUUGUUGUUGUGGAUCCUUGGAUGUGGUAUGUGCUGUUGAUGUGCCAUGUGAUGAUGAAGUGGUGUUUGAGAAUUGGGUUGCAACUAUGUUAGCUUUCAACUAGGUUUCAAAACCCCCCUUCUCUAUUUUCUCAUGCUCAAGUUUUACUUGCUCUAACCCUGGUUCAAAAAUGUUUACAUUUUAGAGUGUUUUGUGGUGGAUGUGGUGCUAGGCCUAAUGUGUUUUGAAACUAUGUUUGAGAGGGGUGUUUAUUCACAAAACAAAUUAUUUAAUUCUGUUUUGUAAAUAUUUAAGUGCCCCAAAAAUCCUCUUUGCAUUUUAUUUAUUUGGGGCAUAAUUCCCUUAUGCCCAGGGAGAUGUUGUUUUAUAUUUAGGUUCAUAGGUUUUCCCUAGGAGUUUAUUUGUUUGCUGGCCUUGUUUUAAAUAGAAAAACCCAGUGGGUUUUUCCUUUCUUACCUGGCGCCUCCGAGUGGGCCUCCUCCUCCUCGCAGGCCUAGUAACCUCCUCGCACGACAUCCCUCUCCUGUUGACGCCGUCUUCCUCUUCCCCCUCCUUUCCGUCAGACUUUCAGAGAAAGCGAGACAGAGAGGUCGACGCCGUGGCUCACGGACGUCGAAGCGACCUCCCUCGCCCCCUAUUUAUUCCUUGGCGUCCGGGUUGUGUGCUAGGGUUCCUCCAAGUGUCGCCACCUCCUUUCCCUUCUUCCUCCUCCCUCUCCCUCGUUAACAAAAGGUAGGCGAGCUCCUCCUCCGCCAUGGCCGAUCCUUGAUGAGCUCGUCACCAUCGACAGCGCGUUCCUCCUUCCUCUCCAAGCAGUCCAGGAGCACGCGGGACCUCAGGGGAGCCCGUUCCCGUAGCUGAUCGAAGACGAACGCCCCUGCUUCCACUACUUCGACGAGGACCCCUUUUGCUCCGACGACCACCUCCGCAACGGCUUCUUCUUCGACGUCUCCUUCUUCCCCUCCGACAGGCAUGACCUCCUCGUCCAGUGGGUGAGCAGAAGCACUCCUCCCCCUUCCCCCUGUCGCAGAUCGCGCGUAGAGCCGUAGCAGCGCCACUGUGUUUCUCUCUGUCGCCGGCGCCGCCGCGUGCUCGUGGAGCAGUAGUGGUAGUGCGUCUCACGCCGUGUUUAGUGGUGGAUUGGAACCGUGAGAGUCCCCUCUUCCUUCCAGCAACGAGCCCGUGUCCAAUUUGUAGAGGAUCACCGGCGGUGUUCCUCCCCUGUUCCGGCCACCGUCGGGCUAUAGCAGAUCUAGAGGGGGUUGCUCAAAAGAGCAAAGCCCCUCUCUCUGUUAACAAUCGAACGCGCAACACAGUGGUAGGUGGGGUUUUGCAGAUCGACAGGUCGUGGGUUCGAAACCCAGUGGCACCCCUUUUGCUUAUUUGUUUUCUGUGACACAGUAGCAACAGAGUGAAGCAUAUCUUGCUUCUUCUCCCCUAUUUGUUGAGCCAAGAGGUGCAGCGCAGUGGUAGAGUUGUUUGUGCUGUGCACAUGAGGGCAUGUGUUCGAAUCCCCUCUGUCCCCCUUAUUAUUUUUAUUUCUUUUUGUGUUGCUUGUUGAUGUUUCAAUCUAGCUGCUUCAUAUCUUGCUUGAGCAGCAAGUUGAGGUGAUCAUACCUCAUAUCGAGUAGGUUUGCAAGUUUGUUUAUUUUGCUAGUGUGUUGGUAGGUGUAUGUCCAUGUGUUGAUGUAGAUGUGAGUAUGUAUGUGGUGUGUGUGUAUGUGUGCUUGUGCAUUGUGCACUAGUGCAUGUGUAGGAGUAGUGUGUUAUUGUGGUUGCAAGCACACCCAUGUGUGUGUGUGUGUUUGUGUGGAUGGCCUUGUGAGAGUGAACUCAUAAGCAUGUGAAGUUGUGUAUGUGUUAGAAAUAGCAUGUGUAGGUGCUAGUGUGUGCAUGCUUGUUUGUAUGUGAGUGUGUAUGGUGAUCGGUUGUGGCACACAUACAUGAGGUCCAUCCCUCAUGUUCACCUUUGGAGUUGUGAGUGUGUGCAAGUGCAUGUGUAGGUGAUGAACUAGUGAGUAUCACAUAUGAUAUGGCACUAUUUAUGACUAUGUGAUUCCAUGUAGUUUUUCCUUUCAACUUUGUGCCUACAUGUUGUAUGCAAGUACCUAGGUAUUAUAUAUGUUUUUGGGGUAGAAUCAUCCCAGGAAUCCAUUGGUGAAAUCAGAUUUCCCUUUGGAACACUUUCUGGAAAUGCCAUUUUUCUGUUUUGAUCUAUGUUUAGAGCUUGGUGCCAUGUGGUGUGAUGAGCCUAAGAGGAUGAUUCCUUGAUGUGGCAGUAGUGGCUGAAAUCCUCUACAGCAUGGUGGUUUUGUUUCAUGCUUAAGAGUUUAUAUGUGCAAGUUGUGUCUUGUCAAAGUAGGCAUGUGGCUGAAAUUGACAGCUUGGUGAAAAUCUAUGAUUUUCACUAAGUCUCAGAAACUGUUGUUAUUUUCUUCCCUUGUAGUUGUGGUUGCAAAAGUUCAUGUGUUGGGAAUCAGCCCUUGCAAUCAACUAAAGAGUUGGAGAUUUUAUGUUUGUCUAGCUCUCUGUUAAUUUUCAUGCACUUUCACUUCCUGUAGAUAUUGUUUUGGAGGCUGUCAAAAUGCUUCAGAGCAUAAACAGCUGGUGAGAAUCUGAGAUUUUCACUAAGUCCCUGAAAUCUGUUAUUUUUAUGCAAGUUAGCACCUGUAGAUCUUUCUGUGUGUAACUCCUUUGUAUUAUCUUCUUGCUCAUGCUUGUAGAGCUUUUGAAUAGCUUUUGCCACAUAUCUUGUUUGGCACAUUUGGGUGGUUGUAGGUGCUUUGCAUGUUGCUCUCAAACUGCUAUGAUGCUGUUUAGGACAGAAUGCAUAGUUUUGUUGUUUUAAAGCUUGUGAGUGCAUAGUUGGUGGUGUGGUGAGUUUCUUUGCACCACCCCACCUAUACUUGUUUGUUUGAUCAUGUGGCAACCUGGGAAUACCAGAAGUGUGCCAUUGGAGUGUGCUUGUGGUGGAUUUGAUCCGUAGAACUCCAUAUUUUGUUUCGUAGUUUUCGGUUGAUCUAUAGCUCCGUUCUCAACAUUCUUUAUAUGUUUUUGCAUCUUUUCUCGUGAUGCACCUGUUCAUGUCAUCUUCAUGCAUGUCAAGAUAGCUUAGAGUGAAGUUCUGUCCAGAAGUUUGUCUUUUCUUCUCAUGCAUAUGCAAGUGACUAGAUUAGAGAUGCAUGCUUCAUUCUCAUCUCAUGCAUCAUGUGUUUGUUGCAUCAUGUUGUGUUGUUGUUCAUUGGCUGUUGUUUUUAUAUUGGGUAGCACCGGGAUCGGAGAGCGAGUACGUGGAUUCGGGAGAGUACGUGCAGGACGAACAAGAGUAGUUCCAAGUUGAAGACAUCACAGGCAAGAUGAUCGUGACCUUGAUACCGUAUCUAGCUUUGUUAUGCAUAGAUUCACGUUUCCUUCGAUUAUGCUCGCUGCCUACCACCUGAUAUAAUUGCCUCCUAAUAUUGCCAUGAAACCCAAACACCUUCCCCUCCUAACUAAUGUUGUUUGGCUAAGUAGGCAUGCUCAGCUUCUAAUGUUAGCGUUGCUAGUUGCAGGUGUCAGCUGUCUCAUGUGAUAACAUGAGUUUUGAUAUCAUUAUGUUUUAAACUGCUAUUUAAUUAAUGCACCUAUAUACUUGGUAAAUGACGAAAGGCCUAGCCCUUUGCCGGGUGAUUUGUUCCGUUAUUGCCGCCUUAGUUUCCGGCUACAGGUGUUUGAUUCCAUAACUGAUCGUUCCUAACACGUUCGGGGUUGUUAUGGGGACCCCCUUGAUAAAUCGUGUAGUGCUAAGACUUGUCCAGCAGGACCCAACAUUGGUUUUAAUUUGCUAACCACCUAAUAAUAAUUUGCAUAGGGAAUAGCUACCCCGAGGAUUUAAUCAACAACCCGGGCCAGUGCUCCUCAUGAGUGUUGGUCCCACCUGAGCGAUGUCCGGGCCCCCCUGGUCACCCAGAGGUUUAGCCAUCUCGAUGUCUAGCUCAUCCGUCGUGUUCUGAGACUGAGAUACCCGACUCUUAUCGGGGUCGUCGACACGACGGGAGGUCCUGCUAGUCUUGUCUUACCUUAGCGAUAUAUCUUGCGUAUAGGAAUCCCGGUGAAGCUUUGGUUCUCCCCAGAGUUGAGGUUUUCCUCUAAGGAAUCGACGAGAUCACGAGAUUCGUGAUAGAGGAUUACUUUGCGGCCCGUGACCGUUUUUGAUGGACUAGUUGGAGCACCCAUGCAGGGUUUAAUCUUCCGAAAAGCCGUGCCCACGGUUAUGUGGCAACUUGGAUUAUUUGUUAACACCCGGUGAUAGAUAACAUGAAUUAACUCUAAUAAAACUGACAACCGUGUGCGUAACCGUGAAUGUCCCCUUCGAAGACCUCUCUUCGAUCGGGAACACGGUGGGGUUAUGUUUGACGUAGGUAGGCGUUCAGGAUCACUUAGUGAUCACCUAGUCUUCGACCGCUCGCGUAGACCACCACAUUUAUAACUUGUUGUACAUAAGUUAUCCACCAUAAAUGCUUAGGAUGCUGCAACCUAAACACUGAACCUUCCUCACCUAAUAACUUGACUAGUUUCGGUACCAAGGUCAUAGAUUGUUGAGUCCCCGUGGCUCACAGAUUACUUCAACACCCCAACAGGUACAGGUACGCCCGACACAGGUGAUCCAGAUGGCACGCAGCUGGCGUGGCAAUACGAUGAGGAGAACGACCGCCUGUACGUGAACUAUCCAGAAGACUGAGGCGUGGUCGUGAUCGCAAGCAUGCGGGAUAGCAUAGCCUUUUCUUAUAUUAUGUAGUCCAUAGCGGAACUACCUUGUUUGAAUAAAUGCAUGGAUGUAAACUCUGAUAUUAUCUAUGUGAGAUGGCAAAUGAUUCCCUAUUUGUCAUUCUUUAAUUAUGCAUGUGCUAUGUUUAUCUUGCUUGCGAAACGCAUAGAUGCGCUUCUUUCCAUUUUGGGGCAUCACCCCCUAAAUAGGAAAGGAACGCAUCUUAGUCGUUACAUUGUUGGUAGUCGGUUGGAGUCUGUUGAAUCUGUUGAACUUGAAUGUUGUUGCUGGACCUGACCAAGCAGAAUGUUUCUUUUUGUAUUUCUCUUCCAGUGGGGGCACGCUCAGUGCACCCACUGGGUGUAGUCCCCGAGCCUCUGUCGGACUAGAUGAGUCCGGCAGAGGGUUUAAGUCUUCAGUGCUCGUCAUGUUGAAUGUUUGUUGAAUCUGCAUUAUAUGAUUUCUGGAUCAAAGUUGUUGAUGACGUGGCUGAACUUGUUGGAGAGGCCACGCAGCAUGUUGGAGAUGAGGCCGCGGUCAGUGACUGCCAUGUUGCAGUCGCUGAGGGUGUCGGCCAGGGUUUGAAGACGGGUGAAAUAGUCCAUGAUGGAGAGGUAUUCCUGACGAAGGCUGUGGAAUUCCUCGAGAGCAAUGAGACCGCGUUGGUUGCGGUUGUCAAGAAAGAGGCUGGAGAUGGCCGUCCAGAGGGUGAGGGCAUUGAGUCGGUUCUGGGGAACCAUACCUUGGAGCUCUGCGGAGAUCGUGGCGUAGAGCCAACACACGAUGCAGUGGUCGACCUGAGUCCAAGCGACAUCGUGGUGGCAUUUGUUGGCAUCGACUGUGCCGUCGAUGUGAUUGUAGAUGCCAUAUGACAUGAACAAAGAAUAGAGGAAAGAGCUCCAGAGGUUGAAGUUGGGGUGGGGAAGGAGUGAGAGUGACAGGGAUCUGACCAUGGAUGUUAAGCGUGAGGAUGGUGCUGAGAGGGAUGGCGAGAAGGCUGGCCGGCGAGGCAGCAAACGGGUUGCUGUCGCUCGAGCCGGCAGAGGCCAGAUCGGAGAAAUCCAUCGGAGCAGGCGGAAGCGAGAAAGGUGGAUCGAAGAUGGACUAGAUAUCUGAUACCAUGUAGAGUGAACAAACGAAGAAUGGAGCAAUCACACUGUAUUCAUUCACAAAGAGUUACAUAUAUACAGUACAAGUCAUAUCGUGCGCACACCCACUAACUAACUAACCACGUCCCUAUAAGCAAGCUGCAUGCGGUCAGAUAGGGGGGAGGAACGCAUGCAGGUAGUUACAGAGGGACUAGAUCACGUCAGAGUUGGUUCAGCUGCAUGUGCGGGAGCAUCGCUCCAACAAAUAUGUGCCACUAGUGUAUGUGGAGUCCCUUUAGUCCCGAUUCGUGACACAACCGGAACUAAAAAUGUGUGUUGAGAGGGGGGGGGGGGGGNNNNNNNNNNNNNNNNNNNNNNNNNNNNNNNNNNNNNNNNNNNNNNNNNNNNNNNNNNNNNNNNNNNNNNNNNNNNNNNNNNNNNNNNNNNNNNNNNNNNNNNNNNNNNNNNNNNNNNNNNNNNNNNNNNNNNNNGGGGGGGGGGGAGGGGUGCUUUAAUCCCAAUUGCUUUGUCCCGGUUGCACAACCGAGGCUAAAGACCCUUACAAACCGGGGCUAAAACUCUGUUUUCUACUAGUGUGUACUUCAAUGAUACUUAAGACCCUGCACCCAUUCUCCUUGGUUCGAGAGGGUGACCAAUCACAUUUGAGGGAUUUAAAACUUUUUUAGAGGUCUGCUAGCUGGUGGUUAUUUCCACAAAUCAAAACAAAAAAUCUCCUCAAAUAUGACUUUUGAGCGAUCUGCGAGAGAUGCUCUGAGCUAUCUAUCAUUAGCCAUCAGGCUUCGACCACGUACAACAUAUAUAAGUUUAUAUACUUCACACUUUCCACAAGUUUUAUUUUUCAGUUGAAUAUACUUUGCCCAGGCAAGGACAACUUGCUAGAGAAGUUUUUUUUUGGUGUUGCAUUAACAGCUAGCGACUUUUUAAAAGAAAAAAAAUUAAGAGCUACGAUGCAUUUCAAAUUGGACGAAAUCAUUAUUCUGAUCUUCUUAACGAUCUUUGUCACAAACUGAAUUCAACAUGAAAAUAUUUCACAACCAGGCCCUUUUGGCAACACCAUAGCCCGUGGCGUUACAGUCCAACAUAUAAACGCCGAGCUAGAUAGCGUUUCUAUCAUUGCCCACUGCCAGGCCAAGCAUGCGCACGUGACAGGUCAGAAACACCGAACUAGAUCCCGUUUCUAGAAACGCANNNNNNNNNNNNNNNNNNNNNNNNNNNNNNNNNNNNNNNNNNNNNNNNNNNNNNNNNNNNNNNNNNNNNNNNNNNNNNNNNNNNNNNNNNNNNNNNNNNNNNNNNNNNNNNNNNNNNNNNNCGUUUCUAGAAACGCAGCUGACACUAGCGUUUCUCUAUAGAGCAGCAACGCCAAAUGCCUAUGUUGUUUUGAAACGUCAAGGCCUUUGGCGUUGCUGCCCUACGUACAUAGAAACGUCAGGGUCAGUGACGUUUUCAGAAACAGGAUCAAGUUCGUCGUUUCUGGCCUGACACGUAUGCUUGUUCGGCCUGGCACUGGAUAAAGGCAAAAACACUAUUUACCUCGGUGUUUCUAUGUGACAGUAACGUCACGGCUUAUGGCGUUUUUAAAAUGAUCAGGUCGUGAAAUAUUUUCAUAUCGAAUUCAUUUUGUGACAAAGAUUACUGAAAAGGUCAAAAAAUUGAUUUCAGAACCAAGAUAUAUUUGCUUUCAAACUUCAAUCUAGCUGUGUGGCUGAUGCGGUGAUGACAUAUACUAACAGGCAUGCUCCUCGAUCUCAACCACUCUGAAUAGUUUUGCCAAGUGCGGCACCCAUCAUGCGUCCAAGCCUAACCAGAAUGAGCGGUAAACCAAAUGACUAAUCCACUGAGCUUGAAAAAUAAAAAUUAUGACCAACCCCACCGAGACUUGUUGACAACGUACACUGCACGGUCGAGAGCAAAUACGUUGGCGCCUUGGGACUGGUUACCCAGACCAUCCUAUCUCCGAAAAUCUAAUCCCAGAGCUACUCCAAGUCCUUCGGUGAGGCCGGCCAUCUCUCUGGCGAUCACGUCUUCCCCGUUGACGGGCGGCUCAAUAUCAUCAGGUACGGCGGCGGUGCAAUCUUUGUUACUCGCUACUGGGUUCUUCCUUGUGCUAACAUUUUCUUAAUUAAUUACAGUUUCCGCCAUGGAUCCUGCAGUUCUCUUCUUCCUCGGGCUUGCAGCUAGAGCACCGUUGUUACUCCUGGCGGCACAGACCUUGGGGGGCUAUUCCAUGGCAAAACCAUCAACAAUUUGGAUCAACAACGAUGGUUUCUUUGAAAGUCACAACCGCUACAGCCGUGACAUCGUCGCCAUAGCACAAUCACAAGCUCACUCUGGCAUUGCAUCUUAUAUUGCCGCAGGGUUCUUUUGUGUCUCCUCUUCCAUGUUCCCGUGCGAGAAGUUCCUCUUUGCGGUAUCCAUUGCGGCACCCAUCGACACCAUCAGCAGCAUUCAUAGUUCGCAGAUAGUCUGGUCGGCGAACCAGGCUUGCCCUGUCAGGGAGAAUGCCACCCUUGAGUUUACAUCGGGUGGAAAUUUGGUCCUCCGUGAUGCUGACGGUAGCCACGUCUGGUCAAGCAAUAGCUCCGACCGAUCUGUAGCUCGGAUGGUGAUAACCAAGUUUGGCAAUCUGGUGUUGAUUAAUCACAUGAAUGCAAUUGUGUGGCAAUCAUUUGAUCAUCCUACAGACACAUUGCUCCUUGGGCAGUCGCUUGUCAAAGGUAUGAGGCUCACAGCAAACACUUCUGCAACAAAUACUAUCUCGAGAGGGACUCAGUUAUAUAUCACUGUACUCACAGAUGGAUUAUAUGCUUAUGUUGGAUCCACGCCACCACAACUCUACUUUUCAUAUAGUUAUUUGUCUCUGGUUGACCACAUGAAAGAAAAUGAUCCAGAGAAGGUUACGUUCAUGAAUGGAAACCUCAGCAUGUCAAAUAUGAAUGGUACUAUUUCAUUGCCAGCAGCAAAAUCCACCCAGUACUUGAGAUUAGAUCCAGAUGGACACAUGAGGCUGUAUGAGUAUGAAUUGUAUGAUGAAAAAUGGAGUGUCGUGCAUGAUGUAAUGCAAAUCAAUGAUUGUGCUUACCCAACAGUCUGCGGGGAAUAUGGUAUAUGUACGAGGGGACAAUGUGGUUGUCCUGUUGAUAAUAAUUCAAGUUCAAGGUACUUUAAGCUGGUGGAUGAAUGGACGCCAAACCUCGGUUGUGCACCGAUAACUGCAAUAUCUUGUCAAGAAAUAGAAAACCAUCAAUUAUUGACCAUUCCCAACAUUUCUUACUUCGAUCAAAACCCCACAAUUGUGAAUGCAACAAGCAUCGAUGACUGUAAGCAAGCCUGCUUGAAGAACUGCUCAUGCAUGGCCGUUCUGUUCAGAGAAGGAGAAUGUGUGUGGGUAACGAAGGUCUUCUCCUUGCAAUCAGUACAACCUACAAAUGCUCUUUACAACUCCUCGGCUUACCUCAAGGUGCAACUUAGCCCGUCCAGAGAAAACAAAAUGAAGGCGCUGUUAAGUGCUACACUUGGUGCCAUUACUGCUCUAAUAUUAAUUUUCAUUCUUGUCACUCUUUACCAACAAAGGAGGAGAAAGCAUGAAGACAAAGACGAGGAAUUUGAUCUCAAUCAAUUAUCUGGAAUGCCGACGAGGUUUUCUCUUGAGACAUUAAGGGAAUGCACAGAAGGAUUCAGUAAGAAGCUUGGAGAAGGUGGGUUUGGGUCAGUUUUCGAAGGGAAAUUAGGUGAAAUAAGAGUUGCAGUGAAACGUUUGGAAGGUGCUAGACAAGGAAAGAAAGAAUUUUUGGCAGAGGUCGAGACUAUUGGCACCAUCGAACACAUCAAUAUUGUCAGCCUGAUUGGGUUUUGUGUUGAGAAGUCUGAGAGGCUUCUGGUUUACGAAUAUAUGUCAAGAGGAUCGCUUGAUAAGUGGAUUUUUAAUUCCCAUAACAAUGCCCCUCUUGAUUGGUCCACUCGGUGUAGGAUAAUUAUGGAUAUUGCCAAGGGCCUAUGCUAUCUUCACGAGGCAUGUAGGCAAAAAAUUGCUCAUUUGGACAUCAAGCCACAAAAUAUUCUCCUCGAUGAAAACUUUAAUGCCAAAGUGGCUGAUUUUGGACUAUGUAAGUUAAUAAAUAGAGACCAAAGCAAGGUAGUGACUGUGAUGAGAGGAACACCUGGAUAUCUAGCACCCGAAUGGUUGACGUCGCGGAUUACUGAAAAAGUUGAUGUCUAUAGCUUUGGAGUUGUUAUCAUGGAAAUAGUAAGUGGAAGAAAAAAUAUUGACAACUCUCAACCUGAGGAGGAUGUUCAGCUUAUAAAUCUAUUGCGAGAAAAGGCUAAGAACGAGCAAUUUAUUGAUUUGAUUGACACACAUAGUGGUGAUAUGAUUUCAUUCCAGGAGGAAGUGGUUCAAAUGAUGAAGCUCGCAAUAUGGUGCCUGCAACAUGAUAGCAUUCAAAGGCCAUCAAUGUCAAUCGUGGUUAAGGUAUUGGAAGGUACUAAUGGCAUUGAAACUUUUGAUGCAAAUUCACUCUUGUUUGUUCAAGAUAAUCCAUCAACAUACUCAAUUCCAUCUCAAGCAUCCAUAUUAUCUGGCCCAAGGUGAAACAAGUGGAUAACGAGGAGAAGAAAUUCAAAGUAUGCAGUUUUGCUUUUGUAUCCUAUCCUAUUUGUACUAUGGACUAUGUUUGAAAUGGCACCAAAAAGACUUUUGAGGCAAUACAUAUAAUUGAUUGUUUGGUGAACUUGUACCUCAUGGUCUUGUACCUUCAAAAAUGACAAAAUCGGCAACCUUAAUGAACAAUUACAUGGCGGUUCAUUCUUCAACAGGCUUGUUCGGCGUACGAGAACAUCAAGCCUUACUCAUGCAAGUUGCAACCCCUCCUAGACCUACCAUAUGAUACUGUGGGGGUGGUAUAGCAUCUAAUACCUCCGUCCCUAAAUAUAAGACAUUUUGCAGAUUCUGCUAUGGACUACAUACAUAGCAAAAUGAGUGAAUUUACAUUUCAAAAUAUGUCUAUAUACAUUCGUAUGUAAUCCAUAGUGGAAUCUCUAGAAGGUCAUAUAUUUAGGAACGCAAGGAGUAGUACAUGAACAAAGCGGCAUAAGUAAUUACAAUAGAAUAAUAGUGAACAAUAAUGAAAUAAAUGGUUAGUUUCAUUUACUGAAAGUCAUGUCAAUUGUUCAUCACAAUUACAGAUAUCAAAGAGAUGGUUUUCAUUCAUCGAGCAAUAACUUGCAUUUAACAAGGCCAAGGGGCAAGGGAAGAAACUCAUUACUGAUCAGUUACAUUUAGAGGAAAUAUGAAGCCUCUAUUGAUUCUUUGCAAAAGUAUCAAGUUGAUAUUCCACAAUAGAGUUUCAGUAAAUGAACUGGGAAGCAGAAGAAACUCUUCACUGAACAUGUACAUGAGUACAUGAUGGAAUUGGAAAAGAGAAACUGAAGUUAUGACCCCCUUCACGAUGUACAUAAAUGUGCCAUGCGUGAGCUAUAUAUGCCGCGUAAUGUUUGAAUAAAGAACAUUCACUUUUUAUGAUUGCAGAAUUUAUUCUUGGGCGCACCGUCCGGAGAGAGUUGACAGUUCGGCUAAUGUCCGGAGAGAGUUGACAGUUCGGCUAAUAAGAUUAAACAUUUCAGGAUCAACAUCCAUUCGGUCCAUCCUGCAAGUGGGCCAUCAUUCAACAAGUUAACGCGCUCCAGCUUCCUACUGGCAAUAAGUAAGGUCUUGCUUUUCCAUGAUGACAACAUAUGGUGGUGCACUCAACAAGUGGGAGAUAUUUAAUCAUGACAAUACACAUAAUCAAUUUGGCCAAUUGGCCAAAAAAAAAAAAAGCAACCCUAAAGCGAAUUCUCUCGCGCGUCAAUCAAACCAUCCUUUACCCAUGCGGUUGUCAACGUCAGGUCCACAAUUGCUACAUAAAAUGUAAUCACAAGCACUUGCCAAAAUUGACGCAUCUGACAAUUUUUUCACUGUUAACAAAACCUCGCAGGUUCGUAGACAGCUUAUCAAACCUGUCUUUGAUGAAAAUAUCUAGUAGAUAUCACAUUAUGGUGACAUGUCCACGGGAACUAACAAGACAAGUAAGGACAACUUGCUACUAGAAGCAUAUUUCUUGUUUCGCGAUGCCUCUCUAACUAAAUCUAGGCAUCUCUCGGGCCAGGCCAGGUUUCGGGCCAGGCCGGGUUUCGGGCCGGGCUCUUAAAAGCCGAUGCUGCAAUGUGAAGCCCGAGCCCGGGAAAAGCCCAACAAUGUUUUAGAUUUUAAAGCCCGAGCCCGGCCCAGCUGAAAAGCCCGAAGCCCGGCUGCAUAUAUAUUCCAACAAACAGCAGCACAUAUACGCAUGAAAUCUUCACAAAAUAGCACCAUAAAUUCUUCAAAGAUAGCAAAAGACAAGUCUGUUACAUCAUUGCAUAACAACAGCAUAGGUAGUCCGUUACAAAAUACAUAAUAGCAAGUCCAUACUCCAUAUUCCAUAACAUAGUCCGACAAGUUCAUUACAUAACAUCAUAUCAAAUAUGAAAGACACAACCUGAUGACUAUUUUGACAGAUUUGACUCCAUCUCUUCUUUGUUCCAUCAAGCUAUAACAACUCAAUCAUUUUACUGAAACAAAGCAAGAGAGAAAUGGUAUGAACUAACAAGAUAUAAACCGAAGGUGGAAAUGAUAUAAGUGAAUAACAAAGUAAGAAAGAAAGAAUGAGCACAAACUAAAUCUGAAGAUAACUCCUCCACAUGAGAACUUUAAGGUCCCCCUCCCGUAGUGCUCAUUUCUACAAAGCAAACAACACUACAAUCAAUGAUAGCAUGAGUAACCGUGAUGUCAAAUAUGCAACAAAGCACACAAGAUUGUAUCUUCAUUAUGAGACAUCUUCCAACGAUACCAAUCUUGGAGACACAUUAAAGCCUCAAUGGUUUUAGGCUUAAGUGAAGCUCGGUUAGGUGUUAUAACUUUCCGGCUCAUGCUAAAGGCCUGCUCCGAAGCAACACUAGAAAUGGGGACAGCAAGAACAUCCUGAGCCAUUGAUGCAAGUUGAGGAUAUUGCAUAGACGAGUUGCUCCAAAAUUCCAAGACAUCCAACUCGUCAUUCAAUUUUCUAGGUGUUUCUUCCAAGUAAAGAUCCAAUUGAGACCUCUCUACAUUUGGUCGUUGAGAUUGUAUGUAAUUCUCAUAGUCAUUGAACAUAUCAACACCAUCUCCCCUAUUUCCCCAGCUGUUUGUACCACCAUCUGAUGGUGUUUCACUAACAGCAACACCACUAUAUUCAACAAACAAAUUCACCAAUGUUUUCUUAAAUUCACCAAGCAAUUGUAGCCCCAUCAUACAGUGGAUUCAGCUUUUUAAACCAUAUUAUCCUUUCGUUCAGUCUCCAAUAAUCAUCAACAUAAUGACAAGUAAUACAAAUAUAACUAAACUUUGUCACCUCGGAUUUCCAAUUGUCCGUAGUGAAGCUAACUCUACCAAGGCUAUUGGUGAUGAUUUCUCUCAAUUCAGCCCUCUCCCUUUCAAACAUUGCCAGGAUAUCCUUUCUAAUUGUGUACCGACUAACAACCUUAAAUUGAGGACAAGCUGCACCCAUCAUUUUUUUGAACCCUUGUUCUUCUAUCACAGUAAAUGCAUGCGACCCCCCAACUAGAAGCAUAGCGACCGUAGCCCUAAUAGUUUCCAUAUCCAACUUUGUGUUCCUAACUGAAUGUGAGCCAUCCGCAUUCUUUUCAGUUUUCAGAAAAUAGCUGUUCACUUCAUUUGUAUUAUGUGGAUGCACAUUUGCAGUAUGCCUUAACAAAUAGGAUGUUCCAUUUUUUGAAUGAGCUCUAAGUAUGUCAUGAAAAAUAUUGCACUGAACCAAUACUACAUCCGGAUCAGGUUGUUCAACCAAAGUAAAGUUAUUCCAUGCUUUUGACCUUAAUUUUGGUGCAGGAUCAACCUUUCAUUCUGGUGGUGGUGGCGGUGGCGGUGGCGGCUGACUUGCUUCAGCUUCAUCGACUAGCUCAUUAGUUUUUGCAUGGCGUCUGCGUCCAGCUGGAGCCUCUUGGUUCAACCUUGUACGCUUCCCGCGAGUGUGAGACAAGGGCGGACCUACAUUGAGGUGAGUGGGGGCCAGGCCCCCACUCAAAAUUUAAAAUUCUAGUAAUAUUUGCUUGUGCUUUUUGAAAAAUAUGCUAAAUUUCUUUGAAUUUUGAACGAAUAUGCCCCCACUCGAAUACUUUGCCCCCAGUCAAAAUACUUUCUAGGUCCGCCACUAGUGUGAGAUGCCGUAGUAGCAGCUGAUGGGGCAGCCUGGCGACAUGGAGGAGCAGCCACAACGAUCUGGUCCGCCCUUGCACUUGUAGCAGUAUUCUCCUCUUCAACGUUAGGAUCAUAAUGUUGAGAUGAGCUUGUAGAGUAGAAGCAAGAUGGCACAUUCGCCACACCUGAUGAUAUUGAGCAGGAAUCAAUGUUGAAGAUGUUAUCACCAAACUAGAUGACCGGCCAGACUCACCGAGGGACUUGGAGUUGUUCUCGGAUUGGAUUUUCAGUGGUAGGGUUGUCUGGCUAGCAAGUCCCAAAACGCCACACAGCCAGUAGAUGUGCCCUUGACGCUUGUGCCUGUCCAGUUUCCAUGCUAGUUGCUCGAGACCAUGGAGUGUACGUCGUUAGCAAGUCUCAGUGGGUUGGUCAUUUGGUUUAUGUUCACUGUUGUUAGGCUUUGGAAGCAUGAUGGGUUCUGCAUUUCGCAAAAGUAUUCAUAUGACCAAACUGGAAAAGAAAACCUGUUAUAUGCCAUCAGUCACAGAUGCGUAAAGUUUGAAGGCAUAUAUAAAGUUUGGUUAGUUAGAGUCUCUUAUGUGCUUUAAAAUAAUAACGGUCAAGGCUUAAAUAAAUACGAAAUAAAACAAGCGUUUAAUUAGUCAAAUACAAAAUUUAAAAUAAUUAGGCUCAUCUAUGUGCACCAACAACUUAUUAUAAGCAAGAUAAACAACUAAUCGAUAGCAAGAUAUAUAACAUGAAACAAUAUGACUAUCACAGAAUAAAGUGCAAAAGUAAAAGGUUCGGGUAAGAGAUAACCAAGACACAAGGAGACGAUGAUUUAUCCCGAAGUUCACACAUUAGCGGAUACUAAUCUUCGUUUGAAACGGUGUGGAGGUACAAUGCUUUCGAAAAAGCCACUAGGGCCACCGUAAUCUCCUCGCGUCCUCGCACAAUACAAGAUAUCAUGAUUCCACUAAUGAUGCCCACGAUGCGUUAUGGUGCCCACGAUGUAUCGCGCAAGCUAUAUUCCCCUGACAUUGCAUACAUGGACUUGGUUUGACUACCUACAGGCACAGAAGGCCGCUUGAACACAAACAGCCAGGUCCCCUUGGAAACCAACCAUGGGGCCAGGCCAUUGGAGAACACGAAAGAUACUGGUUUGCCCUACUUCAUUCAUCCGCAGACCGCAGUUGUUCAGCAAUUCAGAGGUUUACACACACACACAAGAGAUAAAAAGCAAAAAAGGACAAGUCAGUUGACAUAUCUGAACAAGCUGUGGGAUCCUGGCUUGGUCUCCUUCCGUGCCCUGCCAAGCAUCGCAGAGGCCUCGGACAGGCUUCCAGGCAUCCGGGAGUAGGCAAUCAACGCUUCCUCCUAGACUUCCGUGAUGUUGGCUUGGCGCGGCGGCCGGGUGCUCCCUCUGCCGCGGCCAUGCCUCGAUCAAUUCUGUCCAGGCCGCUCAUGAGGACCUCAUAGUACCAUUCAUCCUCACAUGCACGACGCGCUUGGCCAAAGAGCUUAUCAUGUACUUCCUUCGUUCUAAAAUUCUUAUCUUAAAUUUGUGUAUAUAUGAAUGUAUCUAGUCACGUUUUAGUAUUUUGAUACAUCUAUUUCUAGACAAAUCUAAGACAAAAAAUUUAGGACGAAAGGAGUAGCACGGAGUGCAUGCAUUGCUGGCACGUGUCGACCUGUGGACUGUGGUUCGCCGCGGCAGUGCAUCUGGCACUGCAGCGGCUUGGUUGUCCAGCGUGGCAUGACGUGUAGCCUUGGUAUCUCACUCACCCCAGGUGGAUCAUCACCUAAAAAAAAUCGAAGUCUUAAGGUCUUGCAGUUUGUAUGUACAUAUGGCAGCUAAAGUUGCAAGAUCAGGAUUCUGCAGUAGCAAUGGAUGGAAGAUAACCGUUACCUUGACGGCAUGGCAGCAGAGCAUCCCUGUGUGCUCAAAUUGCUUGCACACGCACAUGAACGCCUCACCGUCUUCUCUAACAUUGACCUCAUAUUCCACCCUAGACCAUUUCUCCCUGGUUUCACUGCUGGGAAGUCGUGCUAUGUGUUGGGUUUAGUCCCACAUCAGUUGUGUUGGGUUUAGUCCCACCGUAAUCCUUUGCCCUGCCAAGGACAUGCCUUGCACCAUCUGUGUGUGGUGGACGGCGGUACCUCCAACACGGCUUCCUGAUUGCCUCACAGCGAUCUACAGGAUCGAUUUUAAACAAAACAAGUUAGAUGGCUGCGCUGCUGAAAAGUACUAUUGGGUAGGGAAAUGGGUGUACGAAAGUAAUCUUACCGGUCAGUAUAGUUCGGGGGUAUUUUCCACCCAUUAACUGGAAGAAUUCACUCAACACCCCACUACAGGAAAAAACUUAUAAGCCGAGUGCCCGAAACACUCGGCUUACGACGGAUUACACUCGGCUUAUAUAUAAGCCGGGUGUUUUCCCCGGCUUAUAACACACGCCUUACUAAGGACCGGCUUAUCCAAUGUAAGCCGAGAGCAACAGUUAAACUACUCGGCUUACAUAUAAGCCGAGUGCACCCGCGUAACCCGAGUGCCAACGGACACACGAUUUACACAUAACGGCAACGUGGUUCUAACGCAAGCCCCGUGACGGUUCAUAUAAGCCGAGGGCCUACCGCCACACGGUUUACAUAUAAGUCGAGGGCCUACCGUCACACGGUUUAUAUAUAAGCCGAGGGUCGAGACCGGGCGCACGGGUUACAUAUAAACCGAGCGUCAAAUCUGACACACGGGUUAUAUAUAGGCCGGGUGCUAUUAUCUGGGACACACGACUUAUAGCCCCCAGCGCCUGGGACAAACGGCCUAUAAGCCGGGUGCUGUUAUCUGGGACACACGGCUUAUAGCCCCCAGCGCCUGGGACAAACAGGCUAUAAGCCGGGUGCUGUUAUCUGGGACACACGGCUUAUAGCCCCCAGCGUCUGGGACAAACAGGCUAUAAGCCGGGUGCCAGAGCCUGAGGCACACGGCUUACAGACAGUACCAACAGCAAUAUAUUACAUAUCCAAUAGAUCACAACAAUAUAUUACAUAUCCAAUAGAUCAAAACAAUAUAUUACAUAUCCAAUAGAACACAACAACAAUAUAAUUUCACAAAAACAUGCGUACGCGUACAUAUGCAACAAGAACACAAAUGCAAUGGUCAUGCAUACAUAUCCAAUAUAUUAUAAGUUCACAACAAUAACAAUCCGAUGAUGAGUUCCAAGUCCACACACGCAUACAUAUCCAAUACAGUUCCACAAAAGCACACAUACAUAUUCAAGGAGGGAUCACAACAACAUGCAUACAUAUGCAAGAAGAGUUCACAAACGAAAGCAUGAGGUCAACCUACAAUAUGCAAUGAACUUCCACCACAACAUGUAUGCCCACCGUCGACGGUAUCCGUGAUCGAUGCAAACCUAUAAGUUCAAUAGCACACGCAUGAGUUUCCAAAAUUAAACAUGAACAUAUAAGUUUCAAUAAACAUGAACAUAUAAGUUUCAACUUGAAGAUAAGGCACAAGAGUCAAUAAACAUGAACAUAUAAGUUUCAAUUUGAGGUCAAACCUAUAAGUUCAAUAGCACACGCAUGGGCUCUACUAGCAGCAAUGCAAAGUUCUGAGUUGAGAGGCACAACCAACGACAAGACACAAGCAUGAAUAAUGUACAAGCAUAGACAAGUACCUCGAGUGAUCAUUGUGGCAUGGAGGUCAAAGCAUCUUCAGCCGCAGUGCGUGUCAUUGGGCUUGCUUGCGUAGGUGUAGAUCCAGCAACCACAAAGUCAUUGAAGUGUUCUCCUGACUAUGGAUAGUUCAAGCAUGAUAGUAAGAUGGUAAGAGGAUUUAAGAAUGAUGGUAAGAUGCAUGGUUGAAAAGUUGAAGACUUACAAGGCUGAAUGUAGGAAGAGGCGGAACAGGAGGAAGAUCCAGCAAAGUUGAACACUGCAUGUUAUUACUGAACCGAGCAAACGUCUCCUGCAGGGCUGCCUGUUGUUUAGCCAUGAAUUCCUGCUGCUGAAUUAGGGUUUGCUGCAUUUUCAUGGCUUGCUCUUGUUGAAGUAGGGCAUUGGCCUGAGCUUCCUGUCGUAGCCUGCUUUCUUCCUCUAGGCGGACCUACAAUAUGCCAGCACAACAAGUUCACCAUCGUUGCAAUGCAAAGAUAAAAUCAGAAGGAAGAUCAGUGAAGUAAAACAUACAUGGAACUGAUGCAGCAUGUCCAUCCCAGGUUGUGGGCGACGCUCAAUAGCAGGACCUGAGCUCGAUGUGGUAGCACGAAGGUGGGCGAGUUUUGGAAUGUUCUUCUUACGAAUGGAACCGUCACCAACAUAUAACCGGCCACGCUUCUUGCCUUCUCCCGACUUGAGGGAAACCAUAACGUCAAUGUCUUGUGAGGCCGGAUCAGAGUCGGGCCCGUUGCACUCCUUGAACUUCCCACUAUAUGCAUUAAUCCUAAAGCCAGCCCCUAGGUUGACCCACCCUCCUUCCGGUUUCUUUGACUUACGUGAGAGACAUAAUCCCGUGAAGGUAUUGAGAAGCUCUUCACCCUCACCUCUCUCCCUAUUCUGCAAUAGAAGCAAUAAUAUCCAUAAGGGCACAAGUUGAGAAGUUCAUAAGCCAAAUGAUAUUAUUACCUUCUUCUGCACGUAAGCAUGGAGGUUGAGGUUGCCUUGAAGGUGUACCGGACCACCCAUCAAGGCACGCCGCUCCGAAGCCGCUGUGUGUGUGGCCCUCCACUCCGGGUUUAUCCACCUAGAUAUGAUUUGCUGGUAGCAAGGAAUCUUGUUGUUGCACCACGGAGGAACCGCCUGAAACAUGUCAAAUGAAACUAAGUUGUUUUAAUCCAGGCAACUAAGUUGUUUUAAUCCAGGCAAUCACAGCUAAAUGAAAACUACCUUCAUGUACAUGGAACGGGUGAGAUGCACUCUACGGGCUAGCGCCUUUGGGAGAAGCAUCUUGCGUUCAUAGGCGAAAUACUUCACCACGGAAUUGACACGAGCAUGGUAAGGCAUGUCUUGGACAACCUUCUUGGCAAUCUCCUCCACAAUAUCAUUAGCUUCAUCCUCCAUACCCUCAACGCAAGUAAAGAAGUCCUACGAAAGUACAUCAAUUCGCAUAAAACAGUUAACGAUGCAAUGAUUUUGAAUAUUGCUAAAGAAAUAACUAUGAAAACUGACUAAGAAUUUUACCCAAUGCUCCCAAGACCAAGCUGGCUCCUCCUCACCGUCUCCUAUGGAAACCAGGCCAGAGUAAUGAUGCCUGCAAAGACAGCCAAUGAUGGUGCUUGGCUGGCGUGGCAGGAUUGUGGAAAACGAAGCCAGCCUACACAUCAUCGGGCUGUCCGUGGAAAACGCUGGACAAUUCGAAAGAGUUACGGUUAUAAAUAUGCAAAGAGUUGCAUAUUUAUAAAUAAUGUAACUUUUUCGAACGGGAGACGCAUAGGUAAUGCGACUAGCUAGCUACAUGAUUUACAUAUAUAUAAAUCCUUUGAGGCAAAUUAUUCUUACCCUCGAAGUGUGCUCGGCAAUGGUUGUCCCUCCAGCAAAAAGCCUUGCCACGACCCUUCCAAUGUCAAAUUGAUGUGUGUCCUACAAUAAAGUGAAAACUAGAAUCAAACAUAAUUCACAUGCACAAACCAAAACACAACAUAUUCUACAGUUCCUUAAUAAGUCGUUCUUCGUUUAUUUGCCACCCGACAUGUUUGAUAAUUAUCCAUGUUCCUCGUGUUAUAUCAUCCAUAGUUACUAUUACUUCAAAAUUAAACUAACCCAAGAAAUUAUUAGCAAGACCAAAUUCCAAAUGGCUUUCUUUGAUGUAAUUCUCAAACAAAUCAGAUUUUCUGUUGUUUUCUGUUGCACCACCUUUCAAACACCUUUCUCAAACUAUAAUGUAAGAAUCUACAACCUUUCAAACAUUUCAGGUUGUUUUCUAUUGCACCACCAACAAACAAAUGAAUCUCUGAUUUUAAAUCACCUAAAACUUGACACCACUUCAUAGCAUAUCUGCAUAUCCACCUUAGCUACAUAGAUACAUGCACCACCUAAAAUGAACCUUCCACCUCAAAUAAUGCUAGGAGGAGCACCUUGCUGCUGGAGGAAAAUCUUCUAGCACCUUGCUGCUGGNNNNNNNNNNNNNNNNNNNNNNNNNNNNNNNNNNNNNNNNNNNNNNNNNNNNNNNNNNNNNNNNNNNNNNNNNNNNNNNNNNNNNNNNNNNNNNNNNNNNNNNNNNNNNNNNNNNNNNNNNNNNNNNNNNNNNNNNNNNNNNNNNNNNNNNNNNNNNNNNNNNNNNNNNNNNNNNNNNNNNNNNNNNNNNNNNNNNNNNNNNNNNNNNNNNNNNNNNNNNNNNNNNNNNNNNNNNNNNNNNNNNNNNNNNNNNNNNNNNNNNNNNNNNNNNNNNNNNNNNNNNNNNNNNNNNNNNNNNNNNNNNNNNNNNNNNNNNNNNNNNNNNNNNNNNNNNNNNNNNNNNNNNNNNNNNNNNNNNNNNNNNNNNNNNNNNNNNNNNNNNNNNNNNNNNNNNNNNNNNNNNNNNNNNNNNNNNNNNNNNNNNNNNNNNNNNNNNNNNNNNNNNNNNNNNNNNNNNNNNNNNNNNNNNNNNNNNNNNNNNNNNNNNNNNNNNNNNNNNNNNNNNNNNNNNNNNNNNNNNNNNNNNNNNNNNNNNNNNNNNNNNNNNNNNNNNNNNNNNNNNNNNNNNNNNNNNNNNNNNNNNNNNNNNNNNNNNNNNNNNNNNNNNNNNNNNNNNNNNNNNNNNNNNNNNNNNNNNNNNNNNNNNNNNNNNNNNNNNNNNNNNNNNNNNNNNNNNNNNNNNNNNNNNNNNNNNNNNNNNNNNNNNNNNNNNNNNNNNNNNNNNNNNNNNNNNNNNNNNNNNNNNNNNNNNNNNNNNNNNNNNNNNNNNNNNNNNNNNNNNNNNNNNNNNNNNNNNNNNNNNNNNNNNNNNNNNNNNNNNNNNNNNNNNNNNNNNNNNNNNNNNNNNNNNNNNNNNNNNNNNNNNNNNNNNNNNNNNNNNNNNNNNNNNNNNNNNNNNNNNNNNNNNNNNNNNNNNNNNNNNNNNNNNNNNNNNNNNNNNNNNNNNNNNNNNNNNNNNNNNNNNNNNNNNNNNNNNNNNNNNNNNNNNNNNNNNNNNNNNNNNNNNNNNNNNNNNNNNNNNNNNNNNNNNNNNNNNNNNNNNNNNNNNNNNNNNNNNNNNNNNNNNNNNNNNNNNNNNNNNNNNNNNNNNNNNNNNNNNNNNNNNNNNNNNNNNNNNNNNNNNNNNNNNNNNNNNNNNNNNNNNNNNNNNNNNNNNNNNNNNNNNNNNNNNNNNNNNNNNNNNNNNNNNNNNNNNNNNNNNNNNNNNNNNNNNNNNNNNNNNNNNNNNNNNNNNNNNNNNNNNNNNNNNNNNNNNNNNNNNNNNNNNNNNNNNNNNNNNNNNNNNNNNNNNNNNNNNNNNNNNNNNNNNNNNNNNNNNNNNNNNNNNNNNNNNNNNNNNNNNNNNNNNNNNNNNNNNNNNNNNNNNNNNNNNNNNNNNNNNNNNNNNNNNNNNNNNNNNNNNNNNNNNNNNNNNNNNNNNNNNNNNNNNNNNNNNNNNNNNNNNNNNNNNNNNNNNNNNNNNNNNNNNNNNNNNNNNNNNNNNNNNNNNNNNNNNNNNNNNNNNNNNNNNNNNNNNNNNNNNNNNNNNNNNNNNNNNNNNNNNNNNNNNNNNNNNNNNNNNNNNNNNNNNNNNNNNNNNNNNNNNNNNNNNNNNNNNNNNNNNNNNNNNNNNNNNNNNNNNNNNNNNNNNNNNNNNNNNNNNNNNNNNNNNNNNNNNNNNNNNNNNNNNNNNNNNNNNNNNNNNNNNNNNNNNNNNNNNNNNNNNNNNNNNNNNNNNNNNNNNNNNNNNNNNNNNNNNNNNNNNNNNNNNNNNNNNNNNNNNNNNNNNNNNNNNNNNNNNNNNNNNNNNNNNNNNNNNNNNNNNNNNNNNNNNNNNNNNNNNNNNNNNNNNNNNNNNNNNNNNNNNNNNNNNNNNNNNNNNNNNNNNNNNNNNNNNNNNNNNNNNNNNNNNNNNNNNNNNNNNNNNNNNNNNNNNNNNNNNNNNNNNNNNNNNNNNNNNNNNNNNNNNNNNNNNNNNNNNNNNNNNNNNNNNNNNNNNNNNNNNNNNNNNNNNNNNNNNNNNNNNNNNNNNNNNNNNNNNNNNNNNNNNNNNNNNNNNNNNNNNNNNNNNNNNNNNNNNNNNNNNNNNNNNNNNNNNNNNNNNNNNNNNNNNNNNNNNNNNNNNNNNNNNNNNNNNNNNNNNNNNNNNNNNNNNNNNNNNNNNNNNNNNNNNNNNNNNNNNNNNNNNNNNNNNNNNNNNNNNNNNNNNNNNNNNNNNNNNNNNNNNNNNNNNNNNNNNNNNNNNNNNNNNNNNNNNNNNNNNNNNNNNNNNNNNNNNNNNNNNNNNNNNNNNNNNNNNNNNNNNNNNNNNNNNNNNNNNNNNNNNNNNNNNNNNNNNNNNNNNNNNNNNNNNNNNNNNNNNNNNNNNNNNNNNNNNNNNNNNNNNNNNNNNNNNNNNNNNNNNNNNNNNNNNNNNNNNNNNNNNNNNNNNNNNNNNNNNNNNNNNNNNNNNNNNNNNNNNNNNNNNNNNNNNNNNNNNNNNNNNNNNNNNNNNNNNNNNNNNNNNNNNNNNNNNNNNNNNNNNNNNNNNNNNNNNNNNNNNNNNNNNNNNNNNNNNNNNNNNNNNNNNNNNNNNNNNNNNNNNNNNNNNNNNNNNNNNNNNNNNNNNNNNNNNNNNNNNNNNNNNNNNNNNNNNNNNNNNNNNNNNNNNNNNNNNNNNNNNNNNNNNNNNNNNNNNNNNNNNNNNNNNNNNNNNNNNNNNNNNNNNNNNNNNNNNNNNNNNNNNNNNNNNNNNNNNNNNNNNNNNNNNNNNNNNNNNNNNNNNNNNNNNNNNNNNNNNNNNNNNNNNNNNNNNNNNNNNNNNNNNNNNNNNNNNNNNNNNNNNNNNNNNNNNNNNNNNNNNNNNNNNNNNNNNNNNNNNNNNNNNNNNNNNNNNNNUGUUGGUCAUGUUGCUCCGUUGGCAUCGAAACUCCUCGUGCUCUCAGAGGAGGCCAUCGAAUGACACGUGUCAGGCCCGUGCAUUUUUCUGACCCGACUACAAUAUUUGAGACAUUUAUUGCAAUUCUAGGGUUUCAGUGUCGGAAAUUGCAGAUCUGCAAGGCGACACAUGAAAUCAUGCCCAGAAGAAGCAUGGAAAAUCCUAUGUGAUGUAUUUNNNNNNNNNNNNNNNNNNNNNNNNNNNNNNNNNNNNNNNNNNNNNNNNNNNNNNNNNNNNNNNNNNNNNNNNNNNNNNNNNNNNNNNNNNNNNNNNNNNNNNNNNNNNNNNNNNNNNNNNNNNNNNNNNNNNNNNNNNNNNNNNGUAUUUGUGACAUGGGUAUGCCUUGUGCAGGCGUGGGAGGGGCAACCCCAACCAUCGGGGGUACGAAAUCACUUGGGUGACAUGCCUCAUCAAACCGUUUGAAGCCUCGGAAAAUGAUACGAUGCCAGAAAUCCUUAGGAUCAGGCACGACGUCAUCACAUGCCCCUUGUAGGGUGUCAUAAAAGUUUGGGCACGUUCCGGGUGGGCUCACAACUAUUUGAGACAUUUAGUGCAUUUCUAGGGUUUUGGUGAUCUUUCUACCCCCCCUCACACGGUCUAUAGCCGACAUGAGAGACAUUCCUGUGGUAAAAUGAAUAAAUAAAUAACAUUCAGGGAUUAAAGAUAAAUACACGGGAAAUCACUUUAGAACUUUUUUAAAUUUGAAAAUCUAUAAAAAAUAAACCGAGUGCUUUCUUCAUAUAAAUGUGUAAGCCGUGUUCACUUACCAAGCACACGGCGUAUACUAUGUGUAAACCGUGUGUUCUUGUCAAGCACACGGCUUAUAGUGUUUCUAAGCCGUGUGUACUUGUCAAGCACACGGCUUAUAGUUCAAGCCGUGACGGCGCCGUCAAACACCGUUGUUGUAGACACGUGGCACAUACCUUUACCGGGUGACACGCUAUAAACCGAGUGCUUUCUUCAUAUAUACCGUGUGAAAACUGUAAGCCGAGAGCUUUUUCUGGACACUCGGCUUAUAUGAUAGCAUAAGCCGAGUGCGUUGUUUUUACCGGGUGUUUUUUCUUGUGUACACGGCUUAUAUUCAAAUAAGCCGAGUACCCGAAAAAAAGAACACGAUUUAUAGCUUGCCACACGGUAAAACGGAAUUUUCCUGUAGUGCCCAUUUGAAGCUCUCUGUUUUCUUGUUUAUCAUCAGCACGCCACCAAGCACUAUGGUCUCGAAGUUGUUGUUGACUCCAACAAAAAGACCGAACGGUGUUCCAUACACGUCCGAUCUGUAGGUUGUGUCAAAGAUAAUCACAUCACCAAAGUAUUGGUACUGAAUCCUCUGGCCGCUGGUCCUAGAGUAGUGGCUGUUGGCGCCGCCUCCUUGCCGGCGCCGCUUCUUCUUCUACCUACACGCAACUCUUACUCCUCAUGAAUAAAGACACACACUGUCAAGGAACUCACACGCACACACACAUGUACCAGGGAGGCACAAGGAUUUGCCGAGGCACUCUUUCCUGACACCCAACGCAAAGGCUACAUUAUGUUUUUCCCACUAACUAACCGAUGCAUGCAUUUGACUUGAGCUAAACACAAAAUACUAUUGUAGCUUGCAUGCACACACAUGAACACGUCCCUAUGUGUCCACACUGCCGCAGCUACUGCUACAUGCAUUACUUACAAACAAAUAUGCAGAUACAUCAUGACAAGAGUAGUGCUAACAGUGGCCUUAUUACUCUGCAGUUACUAUCAACCUGCAAACCAGUAUAAUCAAAUGUUGGAUCCUUUGCUUUGAUCCUAGCAAAGGUUUCCAUGGUCUUUCUGAGAUCCUCGGACAGCAAAUCCUUCGCUUCAUUAUCAGCAACGUGUGGCACAUUGUUUUCCCAUAGUUGGCGAAUCAAGUCCCUUGUGUUCUUGUUGAUACUACUGUGAGACUGCCAGGAUGACCUCUGCGCACACAUCUUAGAAAGUGGAUGGUUAUGCCCAACUUGAUGUUGCACACACACCAUCUACCGUGUCUGGAUCUCAGCAAAAGAACCGAUGCCGUGCAUUCACAUCGACGAAAUGAGUUGAUGUCGUCCUUACUUGGUUUCCCCUGUAGAACAUAACAUUUUCCAAGCAUUGGUACUGGGUUGAGAUCAACAACACAAAAAACAUAAGUAGUACCUUAACUACAAGGGGAGGAUGAGUGCCAGGGCCGGGCCGGCAAAAUAUGAGGCCCUAUGCGAAACUAAAAAAAAGGAGGCCCUAUCUUACUUAAAAAACGAACAAUCAAGAAAAUAUAAUGUAUGUGAUAUAAUGUCUUACAUAACAAUGUGAUAUAUAAUUAAUCAUACAUGUUCAACUCCCGGUUUCAUAACAUUUGUUUGAACAACCUCAUUCUUGUAGUAUUCUUUGAAAUGAAAUCGUCAAUGAUAUCCUCGUAAUCAAUCUUCCCCAACCACUCUCAAGUGCUAUUUUGGUCAAAUCAUUGAGUCUUUGUUGUGUUGUAAUAGUAUGCAUAUGGGACUUCGAUAGCUUUAAUUUAGAAAAGUUUAGAUUUAUCGAUGAAACUAUCACAGAAAUGGUUAACGGAACUUUGACUCAACGAACAAACCAUUGGCAUCAAUAUGAAAUUUAUAAGAUUUUUAAAAUCAAUUAUGUUCUCUUUCAUUUCUUUUGCGCUUCUGAACGAGGCUGAUAUUUUCUCAUGAUUACUCAAAUAUUUUUUAUUGAAACACAAGAUACAUAAGAUGACUAAAAUAAAAUUGAAAUUAUAUGUCAGCAGAUGUUAAUUUGAAAUUUCGCGUCAAUAUCUGGCAAUUGAACAAACAGUCUAACUCACCUAGUCGUGUGUUAUGUCUGAUUAAACAGGUAUACUGUAAUCUUUAAUCAAGGAGCCAAGCAUGCAGGAACCUAUCUUUCCAAUUAUCCGUGCAAAAAGUUAAUUAGGAAAUAAAAAAUAGAAGAAUAGGAGUAAAAUUAGAAGUACAAGCCAGCCAUAUUCCUCUCUUACUCUAUGAGAACCCGAGAUGACGAAAGGGAUAAUUGAUGGAUGGGAAGUUGCGAAAUAAUGGGGACUUCACUGUAACGUUCAGUUUCCAAGAGAAUGUGAGAACCCAUCCUAUAUGUAGAGUGAUUUGGGUAGUAGUAGUCGGAAGGAAGGAACAAACAUGUGCAUCACAUGAAAUCAGCGGCUAGGAGGAGCAACGAAAGUGACGAGACCGCAAUAGUGGAACCACUGUUUUUCUUUUUAAGGAUUUAAUGGAAUCACAGUUAAAAUGCAGGCUAGCAGCGCACCGGCCUGGGACGCUCGAGGCCUGCCUGAGCCUGGCUCACGCCACCGGAGUUAGUGGGCAGCGGCCCAGCUCCUUGCGCGGUCCAACCCUUAUUUCAGAAAAUAUAUAUGCAUAGGCAUGCAAAAAAUUCAAGGCCCCCAAAUAUAUGGGCCCUGUGCGGGCUGCACAUCCAGCACAACUAUGGGCCCGGCCCUGAUGAGCGCAAUACCUCACACGCGCAAACAAAUUGCUGUAUGCAUUUAGUUCCAUGAGGAUCCACACUACUCGGUCCAUAGCUGACUCCGAACCCAGAUUCCCAGGAAUAUAUGUUGUAGAAUUCAUAGGCCUCGUCAAGAGAAACAAAGACAGUCCCCACGGUUGGACUGACAACAGCCUCAGUUUCCCUCUCCGCAAACCCUGCAAUCGCCUUCUCCAGUGCCCUUACACGAUACAGAGAAGCAGAUCCAUGUUCAUCUCCCAGCCGCAUCCUACAAAAUUUAGUUUCAGAAACUAUUCACAUACAGAAAGAUGGGCAGCAAGUUGAUGAAUGGGAGUACAAUUUUUGCACCAGCCGGCACACAACAGAGCAUCCAUCUGAAUAUAACAUUCACAAAGUAGUGAAGCAUCCAUAUCCAUAUGUUUCUCGUAUCUGAAUUUCAAUAUCGGGACUACAAUUAGCAAAUGUAAAACUGUAGCAUAGCAACACAACCAGGCUUGGAAUGGAUUAGGUCGCAAUCAUCCAGAUGCAGCCAACCUCCACGGUCCCCAACAGGGACACACUCAGAAGAAGAAAACUGAACAGCAGAGGACCGCCAAGCGCCAUGGGCGAGCGGGUGCGGCGCCUCCUUCUCCUUCUCCUUCAUCUCGACCCUGUACAAACGAAACGAACCGCCUGCGGUUAACUACUUGGCGGGCCGCGCCGGAGCGCCGGAGUUGAACAAGGAAGUGGUAGGAGAAUGGAUAUGUAUACCGGCUGCUCCUUCCCCGGCGGCGUGACCUCCGCGGCCGUCUCUGUCGCCGGCGGCCGUUGGGAUUUACGUUGCAGGAAGAAGAAUAUAUAUUUCUUUUUAUGGCUUGAGUGAAUCACACUUUGCACCACGUAGGCUCUCGAUUUUCUUUGACCGUCACUUCAUCCGUCCUAUCUUUCCCUAAUCUCUCCGUCCGUCGUGGUUGUUUUGUAGAAAACUCUUUGAAGUUUUCCGAAAUCAACCCGUAGUCCGGAUUUAAGUGAGAAACAAUAAAGAUCUUAAGUAAUGAUUAUUAGGUUAAGACGUGUUGUAUGGUUUGCUUCCGUUGCAACGCACGGACUCUUUUGUUAUAAUAAUAAAGAAGCUACCGCUUCUGUCGUCCGUUGCGGACUUUGCCCCUAGACUUCGCAGGAAUUACGCCCCUAUGCCACCGGUGAGUGGAAAAAACGAUUUGUUUUCCUCUUUUUUUGAAGUCAGGCGUUCGUCCAUUCGCCAUUUAAAAUAAUACCUGAACAAAUCACAGUUCCACGCGCAUCCCACUGGUCUGAGUCAUGCUCUUUCAUCCGGGAUACCUGAGUUCGAUCCCUGUUGCUGCCUUUCUUAAAUUAUUAUUUUUGCUUUUUAAUUUCAGUAUCUCCUUUACCUCUUUUUUUUUCUGGAUUGUAUUACAUUUCAGGUUUUGGUGUCUAAAAAUUUCAGUACAAAACAAAAUCUGACAGUAUAUGCCAUUUAGAGGAGUAUUGCUGUCAACAUAAACUUUUUGUUUUGUCCCUCAAGUUUUCCUGUUUUCUUCUAGAUUUGAAUAUGUUGUUGGUAGUUUGCAUUCAUAGAUUUUUCGUAGCAACUGACAGAAUAUAUUAUUAUCAAAUCCAUAACUAUACCAUAAUAGUAAAUUCCACCAAGAGCUCGGGCGAGCAGACUGUCACCGGGUCACAUAUCCUCAUUUUUCUCCAUCAAGUUUCAUUGGAUGAAAAUGUAGACGUUGCAAUAUUUAGAUUUAUUGUGUGUGUCGACUCUAGAUAAUUCGCUGAUUCAAGAAAAAUAUUUUUAAAAUGUUCACAUUUUAAGAAUAUAUAUUUGCAAAUAGUCUAAAAUGUUCAUGAAUGCAAAAAAUAUAUUCCUGAUUUUAGAAAAUGUUCGCGAACUUGAAUUUUUAUCACAAUUUCAAAUAUUUUUCAAAAAUAUGAUUUCACAAAAAUGAAAGUGAUAAUGUAUUUCGGUGAUGUAGCAAAAUAUGGUUAUCGCCGUUGAAAAUUAUGAUGUUUUUUCUUCCGUUGCAACGCACGGGCCAUUCUGCUAGUACUAUAAAAACGUUUUCCAUACUACGUACUAGUAUCAUAUAAAAAACUUAUUAUAUAUUAUCAUAUUUUUAAUUGACUAACACAUACAUGAACAAAUUCACUGUUCUAACCCACAUUCUAUAAAUAAUUCAUAAAAUGAACUCGUCCCGAAAAUAUUUCAUGAUCUAACCCUUUUUGAAACGCCAUAAGCCAUGGCGUUGCUGUCCUAUUAUGCAACGCCAGUCAACUAUGACGUUGCUGUCCUACAGUGAAACACCGGUCGUGUGUUGCGUUUAUUCCUCCUUACAACACCAGUUUAAUUUUGGGUUGCUGCCCCACAGUAAAAACGCCAAUAGAUCUGGCAUUGUUGUCUGAGUUGGAGCAGUGGGCAUGUGAGGUCGGGAACUCGGGAUCACUGCCUUGUAACUGUGGCUGCACGGGGUCGCUGUAUUUCACAGAGGCUAGACGGAUGUGACAGGAGCUGUAUCUAUCUGUGUUUGCAUAUGAAAAUAUCUCCUCUCUCUCUCACUAGUCAAUUACUCAACCUCUCUAGCAUCCUGUCCACGACAAGCAGGACAGGUUCUUGUUGGAAUGUGACAGUGCCCCCGCUGGUCAUGCAGGACAGGUCCUUGUUUAAGUGUGACAACAGAGAAAAGAGGAGACAUCCAGACAUGCAUGGCCCUGCGUGCCCUCCUUAAAUGCUAACUAGCUCACACACACACUCGGGGGCAGGCAGGCUAGCUACGUACUACUACCUCCGUCUUGCGUGCCAUUGGCCCUGUUUGGAUCCAUACGCUAGAGUUAGUUUGAGCUAGUUGGGGCUCAAAUAGCACUAAAGUAUUCAAACAUGAGGAUUAGAUUGGAGCUAGUUGUAUCUAACUCAUCCAAAAAAACUCGUCCACCCAAGUGAUGCUAAUUGGAGCUAGUUUUUAUGGGACCUGCUAAAAAGUCACUUUUCUCUCUCUAUCCACUAGGUAAUAGGUGUUAAUUGGAGCUAGUUCUGAAGGGACCCACUAAAAAAAUCACUUUCUUCUCUCCAUCAAGUACAACUAUUGUCAACCUAACCCUAUCAUCCAAACACCUUUUUGGCUAGAGUUAGUUUAGAGUUAGUCAUGAGCUAGAAAUUAACUCUAACCUCUAGCUAAGUUAGAGUAUCCAAACAAGGCCAUUAAUGGCAUUGCAUUGCGCACUCUCUCAGGCGUGGGGCAGCCACAUGUGGCUGUGAUAGAGUACGUCAUGGGGACAUGUCGUCAGCCGGCCGGGGCAAAAUUGACAAAAAUGACCCCGGGGGAAAGAACUCAGAGAGUGACCCCUCGGGGAAAAUAUGUCACCCGGCUGACCCUUUUGUGUGGCGUCCGACACCUAGGCGCCACAGGUCACUGUGUGACGCCUAGACGUUCGGCGCCACACCCCCGAUCACCUGGCAGAGAGGGCCCACCCCCCAGGCCGUGUGACGCCUAAGCCUCAGGCGUCACACAUUGUAAUGUGUGGCGCCGAACGCUUAGGCGCCACACAUUGACUUAAACAGGCACGGGCCAGCCCCCCUCCCCACCUCCUCCUCAUUCCCCUCCCCCAGCCCCCUCUCUCAGCCACGGGCCCCUCUUCAAAUCCUUCUCCAAAUCACCAAAUCUGAAGGUUUGGACCGGACAUUUGUUGUCCAAUCACUCCCCUAAGGUAAUCCCCACCUCUCCCCUCAUUCUCAUCCAAAGAGUGUUUUUUUUUGCAAAUUUGAAGAAACCCUAGUUUUUCAUGAAAUGUGCGAUGUAUAUGAUAUUGUUGUAUUUGUUUGUAUGUUAUGAUAAGGGGUAUGAUGGUGUUAGGAUUAGGGUUGUUUGGAUGUUUGCAUUAUGGUUGUUUUAGGGUUAGGCUAGGGUUAGGGAUGUUUGGUUCUGUUAGUUUUAUGAUGGGUGUUAGGGUUAUGGAUGUUUGGAAGUUAGUAAGUAGAUAUUGUAGUUGUAUGAUUGCUUAUAAAAAAAGUUCUAUGUUUUGUUGUUUAGAGAUGGGAAGAACAUGUGUUUAUGUUCAUCACGUGGACAAGGAUGCCUUUUUAAAAGGCAAUAUUGAUACAGACCCAGAUGAGCUUGACAUGGUGUUCGAUUUGUGUCCUAGCUAUGGUGAAUUGUUGGAACAAGUCCGAAAGGAUUUGAAUUGGAUGGACCCUAGUGAUGUAGUUGAGUUUGAUGGUAGGCAUAAUGUGGGAUUCGGAAUGCACAUUCGUUGGAAGACCAUGCGUGUCAACUCCGAACAACGUUGGCUUGCAUACAAGGAUACGGUGGCCGAAUCACUAGACAAGGCUCUAGAGUUAUUUGCCAUCAAAACAAAUGUUCCUAACUUGUUGGAUUUGAACCGGGUUGCCUCUUCGAUUGUUGAAGCUAUUCCUGCACCCAUCAACGAAGAGGCCAACAUUGAACCUCUUUCUUGUGUCGAUGAGGCCAACGAAGAGGUCAACAUUGAACAUGAACCAUUGGUAGAGGCUAAUGAUGAGCACGAUGAUGAUGAGAAUGAUGGUAAUGUUCUUCAUGACAACAAUCUUGGUGAUUUGGACAAAUAUAAUUUGCAAGAGACAAUGGACCAUUCUAUUCCGUACUCACGUGGCUAUGCCUCUGAGUCUGACGAUGAGGGUCCCGAUGAAGAAGUUGAUGAGGAAGGGUUCACGGCAAAGGAGGCUAAAGCUUUCACGAAGGUAUUAAAGCGUGAUCACCGGACACCAUUGUUCGAGGAUCUUAGCCUUGCGAAUGAAGCCGUGGUUGACGGAGCCGAAGGCAUAUUGUUUGGAGAGUUAGGCCACCUUCUCAUCGGGACACACAUGGGAAGAAUAUUAUUUUGCCGGGGUCAAAGUUCGAAACAUUCUUUGAACUGAAGAUGUGGUUGGAUGAAUAUUCUGUUACGCAUUAUAGGCCACACAAAGUUGUUCAUUCAAACAUGAAGCUGCGUUACACGGUUGCAUGUGAGGAUAGAGGGUGUCCUUGGAUUGUCCGUGCAAGACCAUGGAAAGGAGGGCCAGGAUGGAACAUUGUCAGUUGUAUGCCUCACAUGUGUCGAGGCAAGAGGGUCGAUGGUGCCCUUUCGUCGCAAAGCCAUAAACAACUCACCUCCGAGUUCAUCGCUUAUAGGCUUUCCAACUCCAUCUCCUCUCUUCCUACAAUGAGCAUAAAAAGCGUACAAGACCUUGUGAAAGCCCUCUUUCACUACGAGGUGAAAUAUGGUAAGGCAUGGAAAGCAAAGCAAGCCGCAUUCAAGAUGUUGUAUGGUGAUUGGGAGCAAGCAUACAACCGCAUACCUAGGUUGUUGGGAGAUAUUGCCCACGCUAACCGGGGCAUGGUUCAUGUGGUCGAGCCGUAUGGGGAGAAAACAAGGAUUCUCAAUGGAAAUAGGGUCCGCGUAUUUGGCCGUGCAUUUUGGGCAUUUGAGCAAUGUGUGAGGGCUUUUCAGCACUGUCGUCCUGUCAUCUCCAUCGAUGGCACGUUUUUGACCGGACAAUUCAAGGGCACUUUGUUGGUUGCAAUAGCAAGUGAUGCCAAUAACCAGUUGAUGCCUUUGGCUUUUGCUUUGGUUGAGGCAGAGAACAAUGUUAACUGGGAAUGGUUCUUGCAUAUUUUGAGAACCAAAGUAUUACCGUUUGAGAGGAAAAUAUGUGUCAUAUCGGAUCGCCAUCAAGGCAUACUUAACGCGGUUGACAUUGUCAUUCCCGGCCAUGCUCCUUUGCAUCAUCGAUGGUGCAUGAGGCAUUUAUGUGCAAACUUCUACCGGGCAUGUGGUAGCAAGGAGUUGGCGGAUGAUCUUCAAGAUUGUUGUCAAGCAUUUUCGGACAAACGAUUUGCAAGAUUGUACAACGCUUUGCUUGUAAGCAAAAAACUUGAUGCAGGUGGGCUUGAGUUUCUCAACAGGCACAUUGAACUUCGGGCCAAGUGGGCACGAGCUUAUGACGAAGAUGGCCAAAGAUAUGGUCAAAUGACAAGUAACAUGGCAGAAUGCUUCAACCGGGUGCUGAAGGGUGUCUGUGCGUUGCCGAUGACGGCAAUAGUUCAAUACACAUUCGACAAGUUGAGAGCAUACUUUCUAAAGUACUCGCAAGAAACAGAUGAUCAGAUUGCAGGAGAGAACAAGAAAAAGUACAAGUACCAGUUUCCACCAAAGGUUGACAAAUGGAUGGUAUUUCAAUCACGGAAGGCUGACUCCCAAACGGCUACCCUGUACAACAGCGAGGAUUGGACAUACCAAGUGAAUGAGCCCGGAGGAACGACAAACGAUGGCCAGCAACACGGAAACAGGGCGUUCAAGGUAUCUUUAUCCUUGUGUGAUUGCUCUUGAGGGAGGCCAAGGUUGCUUCAUCUCGCAUGCUCGCAUUUGUACACGGCAGCUCGUAGUAGGAAUGUGGACGUCAACCAUCCACUAACCGUGAGGGAGUGCGAGUUCUCGAUCAUGACCACGAAGCAUACAUGGGCUCCUAGAUUUGAACCAUACUUUGACCAAUCACAAUGACCGGAGUAUCAUGGAGUACAACUAUGGCCCGACCCAGAGUGGAAGGUUGUGAAACUGGGAAGACGAAAGACAAAGCGUUUUAGAGGAGACAUGGAUGGAUGGGGCCAUGGUGGUGGCAGAGAAAUGGGGAACAACCAAUUCCAAGAGCCUACUGAGAGAUCACAUUGUGGAGAGUGCGGUGUAACAGGGCACAACACAAGAAGGUGUACGAAGCGAAAGAAGAAGUCCAAAAACAAUGAUUCCAGGUCAAGCCAACCAAGUCCUAGCCAACCAAGUCCUAGCCAACCAAGUCCUAGCCAACCAAGUUCAAGCCAACAAGGGACGGGUCAAGGAAGCACGAGCCAACAAGGGACGGGUCAAGCAAGCACAACCCAACAAGUUCCUACUCAACAUGUUCCUAGCCGACUUGGGCUUACUAGAGGACAUGGUGCUAGAGGCAGUGGUGGUGCUAGAGGGAGGGGUGGUGCUAGAGGCAGGGGUGGGAUAGGUCGUGGUGGUGCUAGAGGAAGGGGUGGGAUAGGUGGUGGUGGUGCUAGAGGCAGUGGUGGGAUAUGUGGUGGACUUACUAGGAUUGGUAUGCGUGGAUACCUACGAGGACCAUUUCCGUAUGUCACAUAUUUGACUUAUCUUUAUCAUGUUGUUUUUCAUGCUCCUUUGUGUGUUAUUUUACUAACUAUGAGCUUUGAUGCAUGUUUUGUAGGUAUGGCCGCUUCUCAACCCAACAAGGCAAAAGCGGAGUGGGGGGAGGAGAAGGAUGCAGCCAGUGAGGAGCAGCGGUUGAUGGAGAGGGCUGCAAAGAAGUUGAGAGAAACAGAGUAACAGAGAACUUGGCUACUCUUUUGAUGAGUAAUGAUCAUCCUUAUCUUAGUUUCACUUUGUUUCUCAUUUCAUCAAGACUAUGUUUCUCAUUUCAUCAAGACUAUGUUGAUGAGGAUAUGUCUUGCACUUUGUUUCUCAUUUCAUCAAGACUAUGUUUCUCAUUUCAUCUAGACUAUGUUGAUGAGUAAUGUUCAUCCUUAUCUUAGUCUUCUCAAGUGCUUUGCCAUGACUCACACACAUUAUUUUGGUUGAGCCUAUCUUAAGAUUACAAACAAAGUAAGAUACAACGUGCUGAUACAACUUGCUGAAAUUAAGAUACAACUUGGUGAAAUUAAGAUACAACUUGCUGAUACAACUUCCUGAAAUGAAGAUACAACUUGCUGAAAUUAAGAUACAACUUGCUCAUACAACUUCGUGAAAUCUACUGAGUCCAACGUGGAUAUUUUCCUUUUCCAUCAUUGGCUUCUUCUGCUGCCUUGGCCGCACGAGCUCUUUCUCUCUUUCUCUCCCUCUCAGUUUCACGGGCUUGUUCCCGCUAUCUGUAAACCUCCUCCAGCCGUAGUUUCUCUUCUUGGUUUUUCCUUAUCAUCUCAUCAAGAAAAGCCAUGUGCUCCACACAGUACUCUUCCCACUCUUUCUUCUGCGCUGCUUUCUCCUCUGCUUCAGCCUUCUCGCGGCGCUUUUCCAAGUCCCAGCUAACCCAUGCACGGCGACCUCUUUCACGAAUCUCGGUCACCGCCCAGUCCGGCAUUUCCGUGUCAAUCCAACGAUAGUACAUGCAGAGAGGAGGAGGAGACUACCGGAUGGAUCAGAUUCAAGUAAACAAUAAUAUCAAGUAAACAAUAAUCUGAUGACUUGAGCAUACCGGAGGCCUGAUGUACGCCGAAAUAGAUUCGGGUGGAUCAGAUUCAUAAUUGGCGCACAUGAAAAACUUCAUGCCCAACCAAUCUGAAAAAUCCUCCACCUCCUUCACCUUGCAAAGAUCACCGCACCAACAUCGAACUGCUUCCACCCCCCGAGGCAAACUCGCACUCUUCAUUUUCUUAGGCCUGAUGCUUUGAUCCGAGCAAGGCAAACUCAUAUUGACUAAAGCGGUGGUAGUGUUCUCAAGUGAAGCUGGAUGACGGAGGAAGGCAGUCCAAUGCCUCCUUUUAUAGACCGGAAAGGAGACGUCGAAAAUUUGUCGGGAACGAAGGAGGGAAAGGUGGCGGGAAAGGAGACGUGGAAAUAUUGGCGGGAACGGAGGAGGGAAAGGUGGCGGGAAAAAGACAUGGAAAUAUUGGCGGGAACGGAGGAGGGAAAGGUGGCGGGAAAGGGUGUGCUCAAAAUUUGGGUGGGAUCGGAGGAGGGAAAGGUGGCGGGAAAGGGUGUGCUCAAAAUUUGGGGGGAACGGAGGAGGGAAAGGUGGCGGGAAAGAGUGUGCUCAAAGGUUCCAGCAGGUUUUCACAUGUGUGGCGCCUAAGGCUUAGGCGUUGCACAUGUGUGGCGCCUAAGGCUUAGGCGCCACACAUGUGAAAACCUGCUGGAAGCUGAAUUUUGACAGCAAUAUAGCAUUUUAACAACAUAUAUUUUGACAGAAAUUUAAAACAUAUGUGAAACACCAACAAAUGCAAAUGAUUGUUCACAAGUGCAACACCAACACCAACAACACAAGUUCACAACUCCUAAUGGUUCACAACACAAGUGCAACACCAAGUAAAUGGUUCACAACUCCAAAUGGUUCACAACAAAAGUAAAAUGGUUCACAACACAAGUGCAACACCAACAAGUGCAAAUGAUUGAAAACUCCAAAUGGCUCUGGUUCACAUCUUGGCGCCUCGUCCCCUCUUAGAAACUAGCUUCUUUCUUCUCGAAACUACAAAUUGCUCCGGGUCAUCCGACUCAUCGUCAUCGUCAUCCUCAUCCUCAUCGUCCAUGCUUCUCAUCCUUGACAAACGAGAGCCCCCGUCGACCGGGUUCUUUCCUUUCGCAUAAUCAUCCGGUGAGUACCGCCUAAAUUCCUUCCUAGGCUUCAACAUGUAAGCGGAGCGUUGGAAAGCCUUCAACACCAUCCCGUCCGCAACCUAAUACAUAUGAAGGUUGAAAGUUCAAAGUUGAAGGUUGAAAGUUGAAGGUUGAAAGUGCACAAUGUUUUAUGGCUAUGUCAUACCACAGGAGUGUCAACAUCAUCCUCUACAGUAUUUCUUUGGGUAUUAGCUGCCGAGGUAAUGUCACCAUCGUCCAUACGAGCGCCCGAAGAAGCUGAAUCAUCUAGAGUAUUUCUUUGGGAUGAACCGGAUCUCGAAGGUGAAACAUAUUCAGGGUCACGACAACCUAAAAUGUUGGAUAGGCGCCGCAACUUCUUGCCUUGUUCCUGUUAGAUUCAAAUAUAAAUGACAUAUAUAAGGUACCGCAUGUUGCAUUCGUGGACAAAAUAAUAAUAAUGACACAACACCUUUAUGAAAAGACGAAGUGCAGAUUCUCCCUUUUUUUCCUCCAGGUGUCUUCUCUAGAAUAUCUUCGGACUCAUCAGCUUGUUUCUUGACCUCUUUGCGCUAUGAUCACAAGACAAUGACAUGCAAGUGAAUAGGUGUACUAGCAUUCAUACUUAACAUAGGUGAGCACACUUACCACAAAGUUCGGGACAGGGGCGAAGGAAGUUUGGUACCCUUCGCGAAUUAACUUGUUGUAAUCGCCUUGGGAAAGUGCAUCAUACUCAGUGGGUUCUUCCAAUAUGUCCUCCUCGUAAGCCGGCGGACAAAUCUCGACACGAGUACUCUCCUGAAACCAUCUUAGGUAGUUGUUGAACGCAAGCGGACAAUGCUGGCGGUGCUGGGUUUGUUGCGCACUCGAAGCUGCCUGCACACUUUGCUCGAACAUAAUGACAUAGUUCUUAUGAUGCUUAUGCCAAUCCUUGAUCUUUCGCUGCCUCCUCCUAUCCAACCUGCUUUUAACAAAACCCAUCAGAAGCUCGCUCAACACUAAAAACAAAACUCAUCAGUACUUCUUUAUUGUGCAUGAUUUUGUUACCUGUGAAGUUGUGUGUCCGUGUCCACCCACUCCGGCGGGUGUGGCUGAAACAACCCAAAUUGAUGCAUCACACGAUGCGGGAGAUGAAACUCAACCGCCCAAUUGCAUAUAAGGGGACAACGCAUUAGCCAAGGAUGUUUUUCCUGCAGGCAUAGUGGAUUGAGUCAAACGUGUGUGCAUCACCAAAGUUUGGCCCGGCACCAUAUGGCUGCCAUUCCACCUACAACACAACAUAAAAGGCACAAUUCAUUUUACUCACAACAUAAAAGCUGGAAGUCAACUCUGAAACCAUCUUACCUGCUUGGGGGUAAGCGAAUACAUCUCGUUGGUGUGUUGCUUGUACAAUAGGUUCACUUCGCUUGCCACCUACGAUACCAAGUCCCACUUGUAAGCCCAUGUAGGAAGCCGUAUAGGGUUGCCGUGGUCAUCCCAGGUAUUCCACUUUGAGCUUUUAGGGCGUCCAACAGGUAGGCGUUCCCAGCUCCAUACUGAAAGUAGAGCAUACAACCACCAACUCCACCGUCCUUUGUGGUCCUGCGACAACCAUCGUCCAACUACAAGUAACAACAAACAUGCAUCAGUUUAGCAGAAAAAGAUAACAGAGAGUACUUAAUAUUAACAAUUUAUUACCUGCCGAUACAAGUAAGCCAGUGCGGCCGAGCCCCAACUGAACUUGUUGUCGAAAACAGUCAACACCUUCAGCCACAUCCAUGGAGCAUUCUUGCCAGUGCCGUCAGCAAAGAUAGUCCUAGGGAUGACGUACCACAUGUACACGCGAGCAUACCUCUGGAUCACCUCGUCAUCUACGUCCUCAGGACAAUGAGCAAAGUUCGCGGCAAUCCAAGUGAAAGGAGCGCCGACCGGGACUCUAUCUUUCUUCCCUCCAUCUUCUACCUCCGGCUCCUGCGGCGACAUACCAAUAAGGGCCUCCAUUUGUUGCCACCAUCCCUCGAAAUCAGUGCUCAUACAAAGAGGCUUCCCCUCGAUCGGAAGUGUGGUGAUCAUGGAAACAUCUUCAAGAGUAACUGUCAUCUCUCCGGUCCGGAGGUGAAAACUAUGUGUCUCCGGCCUCCAACGAUCAAUAAGUGCUGUGACUGCCGCAGCGUUCAGAUUCGGCGUUGACCGACUCACAAGGUGAAUGAAUGGAAGGAGUCCUGUCAUCUCGAUGUAUGGGGUGUACCGCUCAUCGUACUGCAUUAUAGACGAUGCCCCAUAAGACCGGAUCUUCAAGGGCGUAAGCUCCUGCAAACAGAUAGGAGUAAGUGAUAUCAUUACAUUUUCAAGUGCUUAUUAAAUACAUGAUUUUUUUUAUCAUAUGAUCUACUUACCAUUUUCUUCUCCGACAUGAAAUAGGCCCGGUGUUCAACGUCAUAAACAUCAUUCAGAAGCCACACCAUCCUACAAAUCACAAAAAAAUACUCAUAUUCAAAAAAUUACUCAUCUACUAAUCCACUCAUCUACAUAUUAUUCAAAUCCUAAGAACUNNNNNNNNNNNNNNNNNNNNNNNNNNNNNNNNNNNNNNNNNNNNNNNNNNNNNNNNNNNNNNNNNNNNNNNNNNNNNNNNNNNNNNNNNNNNNNNNNNNNNNNNNNNNNNNNNNNNNNNNNNNNNNNNNNNNNNNNNNNNNNNNNNNNNNNNNNNNNNNNNNNNNNNNNNNNNNNNNNNNNNNNNNNNNNNNNNNNNNNNNNNNNNNNNNNNNNNNAUCCUAAGAACUCAUACGAAUGUACUCAUAUCCUAACUACUAAAAUCCUAAGAACUAAUAUCCUAACUACUCAUAUCAAUCUAGUCAUAUACUAACUAUUAAUACUAACUACUAAUAUGAAUCUACUCAUAUCCUAACCACUCAAAUCCUAAGAACUCAUAUCCUAACUAGUCAAAUCCUAAGAACUCAUAUCCUAACUACUCAAAUCAAUCUACUCAACAAAAACCUAUUCCACUUGGAUAGAAGGAUGGGAAACGGAAGAGAUUACCUAGUAGCCAACCUUGGGGGAUCAAUCCAAGGAAGAAAUCACCAGAUCUGAAGGAGAUGGUGGAGGGGAUUAGGGAUUGGAAGAGAGCCAGCCGCCGCCGUUCAUGUUUCUGUUUGAAUGAGGGAGGGGAAUGGGGAGGGGGUGGGGAGGAGGGCUGGCCCGUGGCUGUAUAAGUCAUUGUGUGGCGCCUAAGCGUUCGGCGCCACACAUUACAAUGUGUGACGCCUGAGGCUUAGGCGUCACACGACCUGGGGGGUGGGCCCUUUCUGCCAGGUGGUCGGGGGGGUGUGGCGCCGAACGGCUAGGCGUCACACAGUACAGUGUGGCGCCUAGGUGUCGGGUGCCACACAAAAGGGUCAGUCGGGUGACAUAUUUUUCCCGAGGGGUCACUCUGUGAGUUCUUUUCCCCCAGGGGUCAUUUUUGUCAAUUUUGCCGUCGGACGGGCUGUGCAGUGCUGCAGGUGCAUACUAUCGAUGCUGCACCACGCACAUACGUAGGUGUACGUUGCUUGCACGUUUUACCUUGGUGUGACUGAUUGACCAGUUGGGCGAAGAGCUCGAGGUAAAAACGCCAUGGUUCAUGGCGUUUGUCGUCUGGGCAGCAAUGCCAACGUCAUUGGUGUUUCUAUGUGGGCUACAACGCUGGCUAGUUCGGUGUUUGAAUGUGGAGCAAAAACGCUAUGGUGGACUGACGUUUCUACAUGCAGCAGCAACGUCAUGGAUUCUGGCGUUUCUAAAAGGAUCAGAUCGUGAAAUAUUUUCAGAUCGAAUUCACUUUGUGAUAUACUUUACAAAAAAGUCAGAACAGUGGUUUUAUCCCACAUACAUGAUUUAUAAUUUUGACAUAUUAACUAUCGUUCACAAUAAAUACUACUCCCUCUGUAAACUAAUAUNNNNNNNNNNNNNNNNNNNNNNNNNNNNNNNNNNNNNNNNNNNNNNNNNNNNNNNNNNNNNNNNNNNNNNNNNNNNNNNNNNNNNNNNNNNNNNNNNNNNNNNNNNNNNNNNNNNNNNNNNNNNNNNNNNNNNNNNNNNNNNNNNNNNNNNNNNNNNNNNNNNNNNNNNNNNNNNNNNNNNNNNNAUAUUAGUUUACAGAGAGAGUACUAAACUUCCGUGCGUCUAAAAUACCUAAUUUUAUUAUAUAACUUAAUUAAACAUGUCAUGCAAAAUACACAGUUCAACUAAAUUUGUACAGUCAAGUGAGCGUAGCUCAGAUGGUUAGAUUAUUUGUGAUGGAACCAGUGCUUUGAAUUUAUUUUUAAUUGUUCGGCGAUGCUUUUAGUCUUUUCAGCAAUGCUCGUUCAGUGUGAGCUGUCUACGACGAGGCGUUUACCGUAACUUUGUUAUUUUAAGAUGUUAUGUCGGCUCAAUAUCUUAAAAUGUGCAUGUGGAUAGGGUGUGUGUGCGAACCUGCAUUCAUAGAAUUCAAUCUAUAUGCACUUAUUUGAGCAUAUGCGAUUGGACUAUGUUAAAACGAACUAAAUUUAUAGUAAAUGUGAUUAAAUUUCUGUACAGAGGGAGUACAUACUAAUGAGAACUACGAAUUAAUUGUUUCAUUUAGGGGGCAUUGCCUUUCUUUCCUUUUUUGUUUCAUGAAAAUCUUUUAGAUAUGAGUAAAAGGGACAGGAACAAAACCAUAAACUUUAAUAAAACAAUUACCACUAAUAUGAACUGCAAAUAUUUACUAUUUUGUGUGUCUACAUCGUUGCGAAGAGUUAUAAUGUUUGUUGCGAUGGAAAGAGAAUUUGAUUGAAGUUUACAAAAUGCAUCCUUGCGUAUUUAUUAGUUCAUUUGAGGAUACGAAGACCCUAGCAAGGUCCGAUAUGCUUUGGGAAAAGAAAAAGCUAGCAAAAAAGUUCAUUGAUUCUCAAAAGUUUGCUAUGCACAAAUUUCCACCUAGGAUUUUCAUUGCUGGGAAUUCAUUAGAUUAGAUCAAUAUAAUUGAAAAAAAUCACCAGUAAGCCCACUUUUUAGGUUUGCCCCAGGCCUCGGCCCUGUGACCGGUGACCAAGCUGCGUCGUAAUGGAAUAUGAAUCCUUUAUAUUUUAGUAGUAAAAAAGGAAAUUCAUCUGCAGAUGUAAUCCUUGUCAAAAGAGAAACUAAUCCAAUUUAGUUUGUAAGCACUAGUUGCUUCUAGCUCGUACUCUGAACAUGGAAGUGCUAAAAUAAUCUUCAUUCUAUGGAUUCUAUGGAUGUGUGUAUUCAAUUUUCAUUCGCCAGGUUCUAAAAAUAGACUACGACUUAGUUCCUAAGGCAUAUAAUGUCCAUAUAUUCAUCGUUGAUACAACAUCACAUCUUGCGUCCAGCGGCAUCCGUAUUAAUUAGGCUAUGAAUCAGGAUACGAGGUUAUUGGAUACUCGCCGGCAACGUGAGGCUAUGGAUUAGGAGACAAGGUUAAUAGAUACUCGUGCAUGAAAUUGAAAUAAGGUGGUGUCUAAUACUUCCUCCGUCCGAAAUUACUAAUUACAAAAUGGAUAGAAAUGAAUGUCUCUAGAACUAAAUUAUAUCUAGAUACAACCAUUUUUUCGACAAGUAUUUUCGGACGAAGGAGAUAUAUGUGAAUUAGUUCGUAAGAUAAUUGAAUCAAGGAUGUCAGUUGAUCUCCCGUCGAUCAGGCGGUGGUGACGGCAGCGACGGAGAAUGCAAGUUGUGGUACAACACAGAGGUGGUGGUGACGGCAGCGACGGAGAAUGCAAGUUGUGGUACAACACAGAGGUUGUGGAAAAUUGCAUUCGAUUAGCUCCAGCCUCCAGAUGAUGUAUAUAUGUGUCUAUACUGUGACCAGUGUGUUUCAUUCACUGAAAAUUAACUACGUCUGGUAGAUUUACGGUGAAAUCAAUGUACACUGAUCUGAUUAAUUUUGAAACACUUUCGAGAUCUUUACGUAUUUGAAAGAUCAAGGUGCUUUUCAGAAUUAAGAUUUUCAUGUGGUUUAUAUACAAGGGGUUGUGUUAACUAAAGAAAACUUGAUAAGACGAUGAUGGAUAGACAAUCCUAAGUGUUGCUAUUAUGAUCAAAAUGAAACAGUGAAACACCUCUUUCCUGAUUGUCCUUUGGCUAAACUUUUAUGACGCACUCUACAUAUAGCUUUUAACAUUACUCAACGAGCAAGAAAUAACACACUAUUUGGCACGUGGCUCAACGGUGUGAAUGUAACUAUGGCGAAUUACAUUAGAAUUAGAAUAAGUGCACUAUUUUGGGCUAUAUGGAACACGAGAAAUGAUCUGAUUUUUAAUGGCAAAAGUAUUCACAAUUUUUUUUGUAGAUUAUUUAUAGAGCUACAACUUAGAUCCAUACGUGGUCAUUACUUAGCCAUGUGGACUCCAGGAAGCUUAUGGGUACUAGGUGCAACUGGUGGGAGACGGUAGCAUGGGCUAUCUUCAACCAGUUUGGAUGACGAGCUACUAAUAGGCUAGGUGUAUAGCUAAUUUUUUUUAAUAUUGUAUUUUUUAUUCUUUUUGAAAAAUAAUGCACAGAUUCAAAAAAAUUCAAAAAUAAGCCUGCCUCGGCUUAGGCGUGGCCGAUAGGGACUAAUCGGCCUAGCCAAGACCAAUUAGUCCCAGUCGGCCUUGGCUAGGCCGACAGGCGUGUCAACCUGCCAAUUGGUGGAUGACAGGGACUAAUUGGCCUUGGCUAGGCCAAUUAGUUCCUGUCGUCCUAGCCAAGACCAAUAAGUCCCUGCCAGGACUAAUUGGUCUUGGCUAAGCCAAUAGGUGCAUUUCCCGCCCAUAUUCCCCCAAUCGGCCACGCCAUUUCGUUCCCUCCUCCGUUGCCGCCAAUAUUUCCACGUCUCCAUUCCCGCCAAAAUUUUCGCACCACCUUUCCCGCCAAAUUUUGCCCGUUUCUAUUCCCGCCACCUUUCCCGCCAACUUUUUACCCUCUUAUUUCCCGUCAAAUUUUUCCCGCCUCAUUUCCCUCCUCGUUUUCCCGCCAUCUUCCUGGUCAUCUAAGUCUAUAAAAGGAGGCAUUGAACUGCCUUCCUCCAUCAUCCAACCUCACUUGAGAACACUAGCACUGCCUUCCUCCAUCAUCCAGUCAAUAUAAGUUUGCCUUGCUCGGAUCAGAGCAUCAGGCCUAAGAAAAUGCAGAGAGCGAGUUUGCCUCGGGGUGUGGAAGCAGUUCGAUGUUGGUGCGGUGAUCUCUGCAAGAUGAAGGAGGUGAUGGAUUUUUCAGAUUGGUUGGGCAUGAAGUUUUUCAUGUGCGCCAAUUAUGAAUCUGAUCCGCCCGAAUCUAUUUCUGCGUACAUCAGGCCUCCGGUAUGCCCAAGUUAUCCAGAGUAAAUAUGUUGUUGAUAUUAUUGUUUACUUGAUAUUUAUAUAUAUAUUUUAUAGUCUCCUCCUCCUCUCUGCAUGUACUAUCGUUGGAUUGACAUGGAAAUGUCGAACUGGGCGGUGACCAAGAUUCGUGAAAGAGGUUGGCGUGCAAGGCUAGCUUGGACUUGGAAGAGCGCCGCGAGAAGGGUGAAGCAGAGGAGAAAGCAGCGCAGAAGAAAGAGUGGGAAGAGUACUGUGUGGAGCAGAGGGCUUUUAUUGAUGAGAUGAAAAGUAAAAAACCAAGAAGAGAAACUUUGGUUGGAGGAGGUUUACAGACAGCGGGAACAGGCCCAUGAAGCUGAGAGGGAGAGAAAGAGAGAAGGGUUCGUGCGGCCAAGGCAGCAGAAGAAGCCGGUGAUGAGAAAGGAAAAUAUCCACGCUGGACUCAGUAGAUUUAUUUUAAUUUCAGCAAGUUGUAUCUUAAUUUCAGCAAGUUGUGUCAGCACGUUGUAUCUUAAUUUCAGCAAAUUGUAUUUUAAUUCGGGCAAGGUGUAUCUUACUUUGUCUGUAAUCUCAAGUUAUUGAUAGUAUAUGUGUUAUUCACGAAGAACCAACUGAGCAUAUUUUCCUGCCAUUUCCUAUAAGUCUCUCUUUCCCGCCAUAUUUUCCUGCCUAUAGCUUUCCCGCCAUUUUGUUCCCGCCUUGCUUUCCCGCCAUUUAUUUCCCGCCUCGCUUUCCCGCCAUUUAUUUCCCGCCAUUAGGUUUUCGCCUCGCUCUUCGGCACCUAUAAAACCCUCUCCAUAGCAAGGUUGGUAAGGAGUGUGCUCAGAAUGUCUCAUUAUCCUUUCGAUCGUAGUUUUCACACUGGUAUGUCCGAGUGUCUUCUAUGCUUGGCUAGCAAUUUCAAGAUAGACAAUAGAAUAGUUUCAUGGGACGAACUCAUCAGUAGUGACACGCUACUGAAUGAGGUUGCUCAUGCAUUAGCUAGGAAGGGGUGGCCUGCAAGGACAUAUGAGGAGAUUCGGAAGGAACUUCUACGAUUGAAUGAAAGAUGGAAGAAGAAAGACGAGCACAUACGCGGUGGAGGUGGAGUAAAACAUCCUUUUUUAUGGAUCGACGAUAGCGAGGGCAGCAUCAACGAGUGCCAAGAGUACCGCUUCGUCGAAGGGCCAGAGCUCUGCAUCAUCGAAGGACGACGACGACUUUAUGUAGUUUUUGUAUGAACUCUGCAUCUUAAUGUAUCUUAUUUCAUGUAUCUUAUUUUAUGUAUCUCCGAAAUCUUACUUUGUUUGUAAUCUCAAGUUAUUGGUAGUAUAUGUGUUAUCCACGAUGAACCAACUGAGCAUAGAAAUAGAUAGGAAUAUGUCUCUUAGAUAAAAUACACAUAAGUCUCAUAGAUAAAAUACACAUAAGUCUCAUACAUAAAAUACACAUAAGUCUCUUACAUAAAAUACACAUAAGUCUGAAGUGAUACAUAUAAGGGCAAAGAGUCUGCUUCACUCACGACGUCUCGGUUGGCGCUCUGGGGGUGUGGGAGUGUACUCCAUCCCCACCUAUGGGGGGCCCUAAUGUUACGAGGAGAAAUCUCGGAUCCACCCUCGUCAUACUGUGUAUCCUGUGUGGGCCACGGUGGAGGAGUCGAAAACAUGUCCAACCACAUGUUUUGCUGCGAUGGUGGCUCUUCUGGUUCACUCCCUAACCCGGAUCCGGACACUGACACAUCAUGAUAUGCAGGAGGGACCAUACAUGUUGGAUGUGGAUGAAACAUGAAACCAGGAGUUGGAUUGUGAUGUUGCGGAGUUGGCUGAAACAUGAAGCUGGAUGACGAAGCGUGGUGCUGUGGCUGAUGCCACGCCGAACUGCCAGGCUGGUCAUGUGGGGGUGGAUGUGGCGUCGGUUCCACUCCUUGUAGACGUGGACGCGGCUGAUGUCGAUGCACGGAGUGACGCGGCACCGGCGUAGGUUGCGGCUGGUCAUGCACAACAUCCGAAGUGUGCGUGCACGUGAUAGCUUUAUAGAUAUCUCUUUUCCUCUGCUCGAGCCUCUUGACCCAUGGUUGAAUCUGAGACCGAGGUACCAUAAGAGGUGCAGAUGACAAUUGUCAAUCAAAGUUCAUCACGUUAGUAUGAAGACUGUAUGCCAACUCAUCCUGAAAUUGUCAUUAAGAAUAAUAAGUACCGAUGAUGAAGCAAGUAACAACAACUUAAAUGACGUAAAGAGAAUAAAUAUUACCGCAUACUGCCUGGAGCCAUAAGUAUCAUACGUCGGGUACGUAUCAGACGUAUGCAGGCCCGGAAUCUUAUCUGUAUUGGAGUGCUGAACAAUGCGUAAUCGUGUUCCUCUCAUGUACCCCUCCAAAUAUGCAUUGUAUGCAGCGAGAUCAAAUGUUUGUUGUUCAUGCCACCUACGUUCAGUGGCAGUUUCUCAUUCUAAAACGUACUCUUCAAGCCUUUGUAGCCACUGAGCCCGUGUCCUAUUUGUUCCCUUCCUUGUCAUCCUGUAAUUUAUGAUGAUGUUUAACCAUAGGCCAUAGAGAAACAAAAUGUAAUAUAUAGUUAGUAUAACAUAUAUGUGGACUACUACUGAAAGCAGGUUCUCUGUGUUGGGCGGAGGAGUCAGCUGCCGAAGACCGAACUGUCUCAUAAUGCGCUGUUGCGCCAUCUCCUCAACAAAGUCAUCCAGUAACCCCGAUCUCUCGUUCAUAGCACAGAAAUACCACCGGGAUAUCUAGAAAUUCUGGCUGAUUCCGUGUACGGUUGGCAAAUAACUCCCGUGUACGUAGCAAACUGCUCAUUUAGUGCAGUGUAGGCUUGCCUAGUCUGUUCACUAGCAUGCCGUCUCUGCGCAAGACAUAAGUUAGUUUCAACCAUAGUGUAAACUAAGAAGGUGGAUAACAUUAUACCAGGGGACAUACCUUGCGACGCGUCCAACACAGGCCGAAAGUUGGCAAGUCGAUGUCAUCACCAUCAAGCAUGUUGCCCACAUGAUAACUGUGGUCCACAUCUAUGUUUGGUCGUCCAAUAGAGAAUCUCUCCCAGGACCACAGUUGUAAAAACAGCGGGCAACCAAGAAUGGCCGACUUGGCCGUGGAAAGCUGACAACCGUUGCACAUACCUCGGUAUGUAGCAGCUAAUACCGCAGAUCCCCAACUCCUCGGUGUGAUCUGUUCAGCCGACUCAGCAGUCGCGAUUUCAAGUGCAAUGGGGAUGUAACGCGCACUCAAAGUAGUGACAUGGUUCUCUGUGAACAUGACCUUCCCGAGAAGCCACAGUAGGUACGCCUCCAGGCUACGAGUAAUCUAUAUAGUACUCAAAGGGACUUGUGAAUAACCUGAAAAUCUCUCGAUCUGCAAUCAUGUAAGGAGAAAGGGACUUGUGAAUAACCUGGAAAUAUCAUAACUUGAAGCAUUUACUUUUGAAAGAUAUGCGAGGUAGGGACUAACCCUGAAAUGUUGUAACCAGUCAUACUUAGGUCCGUGCGCCUCUGACGCCAGUACUGGAGCCCCAUCAUAUAUAUUGAAGAAACGUGCUGCCAAAGUUCGUUGCCAAUCUGGCGGGUCCUCCAACAGUCCUAUCGCAUUUCCCGCCAACAGAAGUCCGAGCAACAUUGAGACAUCUUCCAGAGUAGGAGCCAUCUCACCCCAUCUGAAGUGGAACGUGUGGGUCUCAGGCCUCCAUCGGUCCACUAAGCAAGUGAGCAAAGAAGAGUCAAUGCUGAGGUGCCUCGACGUCUCAGUGGCCUCAACUAGACGUGCGAACGGUAAAAGCCCGGCCCAUUUGAGUCUGCAUAUCCACCAAUCAUAAAAUUUAUGUUACUUACAAUGCAUAUUUAAUACAAUGAUUAAAGUUUAAGAUAAAAACAUUUACCUUUCAACCCACAGCGGAUGUAUACUCCAGUCCACCUUAGCAGUACGAGUGACUAGUGGUACGAGCUUCUGCUCAGUUAAUAGCGAAGCACGAUGCUUACUAUCAACGUUCGGAUUAAGAAGAUGCAUUCCCUCCAUUGCUAUACAAUACAAAACGUAGUGCAACACAUAGUAUAAAAUUAAAACAUAGUGUUAAUACAAACUAAAAACAUAGUGGUAGUCCAAACUUAAAACAUAGUGAUAGUACAAACUUAAAACGUAGUGCUAGUCCAAACUUAAAACAUAAUGCUAGUGAAAACUUAAAUGUAGUGCUAUUACAUAAAUUUUAAACUCUUCCUCCUCCUCUUGCCCUCCCUCUUCCUCCUCUUCUUCCUCGGCUGCCUCGUCCACGCCUAGUGCCCCUUGCAGUGACGAAGGUGGGACAAUCACGAUCCCUAUGCCCAAAUUCAUUACAUAGAAUGCAUUGUACGGUGCGCCAGCCGGCCUGAGAUUCAUCCAUGUCAUUCCAGAUGCGUUGACUCUGCCGCCUCCCUCUACUUGUACACAUAUGCGCAGGAUGUGGAAUGUAUCGCCUUUGAGCAGGCUCGACAAUGUUGAAGUUACCCAUUGAUCGGAAACCCAUCAACUCACCUGUCCAGGUAUUGAGGACAACCUCUUUCAGAAAAUACGGUGACACAAAAGAGAUUGCGUCAAGACCUAUGAGCCCGCAAGCAGCAAGUACAUGCGAGCAAGGUAGGUGAAGCAAAUUUGGUUUGUUGCAUGUGCAUUCGCACGUUGGCCACAAUUCAUUUCAAAUUUUCACCUCGUGUGUUCUCAUCUCAGUUGCACAUCCGAAUUUGUUGUUAGCUAAGCGAACCUCGAACCUUCGCUCUAGAUUUUCAAUGGCGACAACACUGUGUGACCGGGCUUUCUUCAUCUUUUCAUCCAUGUACUUCAUAACCCUUUUCAUGGUAACGUGUGUUCGGAUUGUUUGUCAUAUGCUCCGCAGCAAUUUGACGUCUUUCCCUGAAAUACUUCACUGUGCUAUAGAAAAUGCCCUCAACGAUCGCUAUAAGUGGCAAAGCUCUGUUUCCUCUGAGGACAAAAUUAUAUGUUUUAGCCAGGUUGGUAGUCAUGACACCGUACUUGGCUCCAUGUGUGUCAUGCAACAGAGACCACCUCUCCAAUGGCUCAUGCUCUAUCCACUGAUCAAAGGUUUUAAUCGUCCUCGCUAGCCUUCUCCUUCUACCAGGAGGGUCAAAUUCUGGCAAGUCACAAAGCCCAACCGGCUCUUCCUCCACGGUAGCAGAUCCAGUUGCUAAUUGUGCAACUACUGCUUCAACAUGUGCCCUGACAACAGCAUCUCUUGCAGCUCCCCUGUCCCUAACAUGUCUCUGUGUGCAAACAUUUAGUCUGUUACGUAUCAACUCAUAUUUCCAUUGUUGGUUCUGCUUGCAUAGUUUCUUGAAUAGAUUCAUGAGGUUCUUAUUUCUAAACUGCGAGAAGAAAUUUGCCCCUAGAUGGCGCAUGCACCAACGACUCUGAAUGUCCUGCCAAGGAGUUUGUUCACCGGGAGCAGGUUUUGACAAUGUCUUGAUCGCGCUGAGUAUACCUGCAUGCCUAUCAUGAAGGAUGCACACAUUCUGCUUAUCUUGCACAACAACUAUUUUCAACUGUCUGAAGAACCAUGUCCAACUCUCGAUGUUCUCACUCUCCACAAAAGCAAAUGCAAGUGGGACGACUUGAUUUUGCCCAUCUUGACCUAUGGCUGUGAGGAUCUGACCAUUGUACUUGCCAGUGAGAAAUGUGCCAUCAACACAUAUCACCGGUCGAUAAUGUCUGAAAGCUUCGAUGCAGGCACCGAAAGAGAAGAACAACCGAUGCAACACCCUAACCGUUGGGAACUCUGGCAGGUACAACUCUUGGAUGUCAACAUACGUGCCAGGAUUCCGGUUCUGCAGUGUCUGCACGAGUCGAACAACAGAGUCAUAUGCAUCAAAAUAUGAACCAAAUCUGGUCUCUAGUGCCUUCUGCUUAGCCCUCCAAGCCUUGCCAUAUGAUAUGUUGUACUUUAACCUGACGAAGACUUUUUUCUGGAUAGCCUUCACUUCCAUCGCCUUGCACUCCACAAUCUCGCUGUAAAGCAAGCGAGCAAUCACAGUGGAAGUAAGGUUGGGAUGAUCUUGAGGGAUGCAUGGAAUAACACAGUUAUGACUAACUAGGUCACUUAUGACCCAGCUUGUCUCGUACUUAGAGAGAUAUCCAUGCACCCUUGCGGGACAACCCUGAUUUCUGCAAACCAUUGUCAACUUAUCCGGACAAGAAACUUGAGCUACAAAUACCCUUUGAGUGGACAUUGCCCAAUUAAGGAUGGCAUCCUUCAGAGCUUGUUUGUUCGGGUAGAGGGCACCUGUUGCAAUGUUGUUCUGGUGAUACUGCCAGGCAGAAUCAUGACCGUCGUUCACCAACAUUGCAGAUGAGAAAUCCUGAUUCCAUCAUGCAGGAAUAGGCACUUCAUGUGUGUGCUCUUCUCCAUCUAAUUCGGCGGAUUCAUCGGAAAUAUCACCCGCUAUAUCUUCUUCAUGCAUCUCAUUUUGCAUGUGCCCAUAUAUCUCGUCGGCAUCCGCCUCACCGCUGAGAUAAUCAUCUGCAUCUCCCCCUUCUGCCUGACUACUCUGGCCUGCUUCGUAAACAUCAUCCCCAGCAUGGGACGCAUGAAUUGUCUGUGAAUCAUGCAUCCCUACACUGCUCUCACCAUAUUCAUAGCUACGUUCCACUUCAGGUUCAGUCACCGGCUUUAGCACGGGGAGCAGUAAGGCCACGGGAUGACAUCCCCUACGCUCGCAAGACUGUAACAAGCGCACCCACUGGUCGUCCCGCUCUAUAUGCUUCAAAUACCAGAAAAUAUUAGCACUGGACCAGGUCCAUAAUGCAUGAACACCGACGGUGUGUGUUUCAGUAUUGAACCCUAAACAUCGCGCAAGACAUUCUGUCAACUGACUAACAGACCAUGUUUUAGGGGAGGACACCUGCACCUUUGUGUACUGAAAUUCACUAAGAUUAGCUCCCAUCUCAUUUGUUUGAACGGUACCAGGACCAUAGUGCAAACAUAACGUCACUAAAUCAGACAUCUCUGCUGACCUAACAUAUUAUUCAACAAGGAAAAAAAUUAGAAGAACGACAAACCGAAAUAUAUUUUCCAAAUCUAUCGGAGAACCUAAAAAUAAUUAAACUACUUCAUUCACUAAACUAAAUUUAUACUAAUUUACCGGACCACCUAAAACUAGUUAAACAACUAAAUUUAUACUAAUCUACCGGACCACCUAAAACUAGUUAAACAACUAAAUUUAUACUAAUCUACUCGAGCACCUAAAAGUUUAUAAACUACUUAAUACACUAAUCUACACAAAAAUUACCCUUGAAGCGUGCGCAGAAACGACGAACGACUCUUGACGAACACCGAGAAUAAUCACGAACGAGCAACCGCCACCACCACCUCCAACUCCACCAAAACAACCAACUUCACCCACACCACCACCACCACCACCACCANNNNNNNNNNNNNNNNNNNNNNNNNNNNNNNNNNNNNNNNNNNNNNNNNNNNNNNNNNNNNNNNNNNNNNNNNNNNNNNNNNNNNNNNNNNNNNNNNNNNNNNNNNNNNNNNNNNNNNNNNNNNNNNNNNNNNNNNNNNNNNNNNNNNNNNNNNNNNNNNNNNNNNNNNNNNNNNNNNNNNNNNNNNNNNNNNNNNNNNNNNNNNNNCCACCACCACCACCAAAAAUAGCUUCAAAACAAGCACCACAAACUACCCCAUCGCGAGUGAGACGGAUAGUUUGGAUGCCCUCCUCCUUACACAAUAAAAGUACGGUUCAAAACGUGGAAAUGGAAGACUUUUUGUGGGGGGGGAGAAGGAAGGAGGAGAAAGAGAGAAAGGAGAUAAGGUACAAUGGGAGAAGGGAGAAGGAAGAAAGAGGAAGGAGGAAGAAGGAGAGGGGGAAGGGGCUGGCUCGGGCUGGCUCGUGGCCACUAAUCGGCCACGGCUAGGCUGAUAGCCUUAUCGGCUUCGCCCAGGCCGACAGGUAGAGCCGACUGGGCAAUCGCCGUGGCCUGGCCACUAGUCGGCCGCCACUAAUCGGCCGGGCCUAGGCCAACUGCUUCCCGUCGGCCGCGCCAGAGCUCAUAGCCUCCAAUCGGCUUCGCCAGGGCUGAGGCAGGCUUAUUUUUGAAAAUUUUCGAAUCUGUGCAUUAUUUUUCAAAAAGAAUAAAAAAAUGCAAUAUUAAAAAAAUUAGCACAUGUAUAGGCAUCAUAGUCUAUUUGUUUGUUUUCGCCGGAUGUGGCAGUUAUUUUCCACUUGUAAGCGGUUUUAUCCAAGUUUUGAUCUGUACUUCAGAACUUAAGAUUAUGUUUGCUUUUUUUCUUAAUAAAAUGGCUAAAUGCAUCGAUUGAUGCAGAGGUCGGCGGCUUGAUCCUCCUUUUACAAAAAAGGGAUAAAGCCUUACUGCUCAUAUAAUUUCUGUGUUAAAAAACAAUUGCUCAUAUAAUUUUAAGGAAAACUCUUACCUCCUACUGGCCGGUCUGUGCAACUGUCCCGCCGGCUCGAUGGCCGUUGAUAUUGUGUUGAUCUAACGGGCGAGAUUGUGUUGACGCCCGUUGGAGCCGCGGCCGUUUCCUGAAACAUACGGUUUGUUUGAGGACAACAUUCCUGCAGCUAGAAGCACUCAUCCCCGCAGCAGCGUGUGCUCGCGGGGCCGGAAAGGCGACGACGAAACCCACCGUCGUGACGACGACGACAUCUUCCAGGGUGGCAACGGCCGACAACAAUCCAGCUCGCGGUGGAAAGCCCCCCGGCGGUGCUUGGAGUUGAGAAAGAUGGUCGCGCCCGUUCUCCAAGCAGGGGUCCUCGGUGAGCUCAGAUCCCAUCAUCUGGCGCGAGAUGUGGUGUGCCAUGGAGGUCCCCACGCCAGUGGUGGCUGAUUUUGCGGUGGUUGUGGGCGGCGCCGCGCUGGCGCAGGUCUAUUUGGAUCGGAACAAAGCGCUGGUUUCUGCAACUCGAUCGUUGUUUCAGGAAUUAAUGAGGGGGGAGGCGACCGAGCUGUGUACCAGGAGAUCAAUCAUACAACUACGUGCGGGUAGAUCGAACGACCAUUGAGGUGGCAGACGUACCGCGCGGAUCAUCCGCUGGACGUGUAGGCAGUCCCCUAACCUCAAUUGUUUUAAGAUAAUAUAAAUGUUUGGACAAAAAGAAAAGGGUCAAUCAUAUCACAAGUGUGUGAACUUGUCUAAAAAAGUCACUUUGAUGCUCAUAGUGAUAUUUAAUUGUUUCUUUAGAGAAAAAAUUGAGAGGCUUUAUCGUGAGAAAAGUAAAAUUCCUAUAGGGUUUUUGCAAAAAAAACCAUGGCACAAGCCCUCGCCCAGAUCAUCUAGUCACUAACAUUGGAUCCCACGCCAUGUUGGCGCGCCUCAUCAUUACUCUGUGUAUAUACAAACGUGAUUAGCACUAUAGAUGAAUGCACAAGCCAAGUUUUAUCAACGGUUUAAUUAAUCUAUGCCACAAGUUUUAGCAUCAAAUUAACUUUUCUCGCCAAGUUCACACACCUUUGAUGUAAUUGACUCAAAAGAAAAGCUUUACAAGUUUUUAAAAAGGGGUGUACGAAAGCAAAUGCUUGCAUUGAUAAAAGAUGAAAGUAAUCAUAAAUCAAUUUCUUCUUUUUCUGGCUCUUGCUUCUGUAUAUAACGCCAUCGCUUUGUCCAUGACCUUGGCAUCCAAUAAAAGCUGCGUUCUUUUCUUGCUGCAAGGAUGAGUAGAGAUGUACUCUUUCAACGAUGAUGAAUUCCCACCGACCUUUCCUAGCUUCUCGUAGACGGCAGGGGCUAUGCGUGGAUCAAAACCAGCGGCAGCAAGCAGCAGGAUUCCAAUGUGAUCCGCCUCUAUCUCCAUCCUACAUAGCUGCAUAUAUUAGGCAACAUAUGUAUCGAUCAUGCAUGUAGAACAACUUCUACUUACGAGGAAAUAGUUGUAAAUAGUCAGCAUGAAUGAUAUGAGAUGAGAAAUUAGUAUAUGCAGAAGAAGGUAGCUAGCUAGCUAGCAGAGGCAGGUUGGUAUAUACUUACUUUCGUGAGAAAGGCAGCCUGAGGAGGUAUUCGGUGAGAUUAUCAAUCAGCUUUGGCGCAUCGAUAAAGAUCUGGAGGAAAACCGCGAGCAUCAAAAUCCACAUGUUCUUGGUGAGCCCCUCUGCGGCGUGCCUUGCAACGGCGUGCGCAACCUAGAAACAAAAUUAAACAAGAGGUGCAACAGGCAGCCCAUUAAGUUAGAACAGAAUCCGCCGUACGAUAUAUAUAUAUAUAUAUAUAUAUAUAUACUAUAUAUNAUACACACACACACACACACACAUAUAGAAAGUCUAUUCAUCAUCCAGGAUGCAGAAUAAGUUAUUCUUCAUCCAAGAUAAUUUUACGGUUGUUUUAUAAAUAAAUUACAUUAAAAUACAAAUAGUUAUAUUUAUAUUGAUUCAUUACAUAUAGGGUCGCGUUAUUCGUCACCCUGGAUGAGGAAUAGUUAUUCAUCACCCCCUCUAUUUCCACAUCAAUACACCGUAAUUUUACGUCUCGUAAAUUUUAAUAUAAUCUCAUAUGUAAAAAUAGAUCGUAAGAAAGUACAUAGUCACCGUAAAUAUAAGACUUUUUAAAGAUUCUAUUACGAACUACAUACGAAUAAAGAUUCAUUCAUUUUGCUACGUAUCUAGUCUAUAAUAAAAUAUUUAAAAGGUCUUGUAUUUAAGAAAGGAGGGAGUAUAAGAAAAGAUUAGAAAAACACCCAAAGUAAGGUAAGGUACCUCGUGCCCUAGCACCGUGGCGAUCUCAGCGUCGGUGUUAAACUUUUGGAGCAGUCCGGUGUAGACUAUGAUCUUGCCACCGGGCAUGCACAUGGCGUUCACUUGCUUGUUGUCGACGAGGAUGACCUCCCACUUGAACCCGUCGAGAUGCUUGGUCAUCGGCUGUGGAGCCGGGCACGGCGGCGCGUUGCCGACCCAUGUUUCGAGGUGCUUAUCGUCGCCUUGGCCGGUGGCAAGGGUGCGGCAUGCGGCGCGGAUGAUCUUGGUGGCAACGGCAUUGACACGGACGUAGUCAGGGUGGGACUGAGGGAGGACCUUGUCUCCCAGCUUCUUCUUCUCGUCGUCGAACUGCGAUUCGCCGAGCGUGAGCUCUCCGUUGUGCGUGAGGACGACGAAGUGGCGGCGGUUGGUGUAGGGCACGGUCUCGAAGGUGCCGUAGCAGAUGGUGGCCACCCCGCCGCCGACGAUGACGACCCCCGCGAGACCGAUUUGGAAUUUCACGGAGGAGGGACUUCUCGGUCGCCUGGAGGAGUAGCACCGUGGGCGUGGGAGCGACGGCUGCGGUUGUCGACGGACGAGAGAGUCGGAGUCACGGCGGAAGAAGCGGCCAAGGCCGGGCGGUUGCGGGGCCUCGUGAGAUCGCCGCGUUAACGGCGAGUGGUAGCAGCGGCUGGCGGUCGGCGGCGGCGGAACAGGCGUUCGGACGGCCGGCUUGGACCGGAGCAGCGCGGGGCGCAGAUUCCUGAGCAAGGCGCUCAUCUUCUCUCAGUUAGAUUGGAUCCGUGUCGUAAUAUCGUCUACGUCGAUUUGACAGGUUGCCGUGAUGAUUUAUUAGGGUUGCGCCGAUACGUGUAGCCAUGUCUCCAUCGGUCUCGUUCAAGUCUGCCAUCGCCGUUACCUUGUCAUCUCAUCCAUGGCUUGCUUAUUACUCCCUCGGUUCCUAAAUACUCCUAUAAGUCUUUCUAGAGAUUCUACUAGUAACUAUAUACGGAUGUAUAUAGACAUAUUUUAGAGUGUAGAUUCAUUCAUUUUGCUUCGUAUGUAGACUCCUAAUAAAAUCUUUUAAAAGACUUAUAUUUAGGAACGGAGGGAGUAUUAGGUUUUAUUUAAUGUGGUAGUACAUGAAUCCGAGGGUUAUAGGGUCUCCUCCUCCGAUUCUAGUACCAACAGAGGAAUAGAAAUUUCAACCAAAAAUCUGAAAUUCCUUGAUCGGUGUCAAAAUAUUCGUAGCCUUGGAAUUUUGAGAAGUAAUUUCAGCCCAAAUUCAAAUUCAUUUAAAUUAAGUGCUUUCAAUAGAUGGAAUCCCCCCAAAAAUAAAUCUCUGAAAUUUCAAAUGUUAGGUGAGGUUCGAUUUUUUUUCUAACUUGAUUUUUCAACCUUCACUAUGGCAAAAAUGUUAUAUGCUGAGUGCACCGCAGUUUGCCGAGUUCUUUUCCUAUGGCUCCACGUCCAUGACGACGGUGAUCGACGAUUUUGUUUUGGGAGGGUUAAUCCCUCUUGGGCCGGUAGUUGAUUUUGACGAUGAGAUACAAAUUAUGAAUAAUGACUUGACACAGAGGGAUGGUUGUGCAGUGGCGAUGGUCACAUCACAUGUAACUACUGAGAAUUAGGAAAAGUGGUGGCGAGCAAGCGCCUGACGAGGCGGGGCUUGAUGCGGCACCUGACAUCGUCCGCAGCAUGGGACGAGUGGCGCCAGACGGACCUGGAUACCCCGACUCAAUGGGCCCGACAGUUACUAUUGAAGAAUCCUGUGUCCAUGUGAUGUCAUAAGAUUGUUGGAGCGGAUAUGAUUAUUGUUGUAGUUUGCUCACCACACACCAAAUUGCUUUGGGAUUUUUUCUCGUCUACACGUAGUUUUGGUUUUAUAUGACUUUACUACUUGCUGGUGUGUUCUCGUAUGUCGUGUGAGUUAGUGUUUGUUGCGUGCAUCCCAGCUAUACAGAGGCCAGAUGUAUGCUUAUUGUGUUAGUAUGUACUCUACCAAGGGAGUAUCUUGUUGAUGCUUUAUUUUAAGCCAAUAAAUUCACUUUUUAUCAAAAUCAACGGUUCAAACGUCUGUCUGGAAAAUCAACGGUUUGAAAGUCUACCUCACAAUGGAUAUGUCCCCCAUCAUGACACAUUCGAAGAUUAAUUAAUUCAUCAUUUAUUGGAGUGGACGACUCAAGUGGCUCUUCAGAAAGAUGCAGGUUUGCAAACCAACCUAUGAUUAGAUCCUCUCCCNNNNNNNNNNNNNNNNNNNNNNNNNNNNNNNNNNNNNNNNNNNNNNNNNNNNNNNNNNNNNNNNNNNNNNNNNNNNNNNNNNNNNNNNNNNNNNNNNNNNUACCUCAAUAUAGAAUUUCACGCAGAUGAAACUGAGACUCUCGGUACUAGCGGUGCUUUUGAUCUCGGAAUCGAAAAUCUCCCCAGCCUCGUAAAAAUCAGUUGUGACGUAUGCGGGGGUAGCAGUAGAGUUGAGGCUGAAAAGGCCGCCAUUCGGGAAGCAGCCAACGCACAUCCCAACCGCCCUACUCUAUCUUUCAGCUUAUAAUGCGUUGCCGGAAUCGAGGUACAAACUUUUUCUCCCAUGAAAGAGCAUGUACUUUUAAUGCACAAAAUGUAUAUAUCUCUCUCAUUGCCUCACAUGAUCGUUCGUCUGUCUUUUUCAGCUCNNNNNNNNNNAUGUAGAGUAUGGGGGGAUGAUAGCAGCAGAGUUGAGGCUGAAAAGGUCGCCAUUCGGGAAGCAGCCAACGCACAUCCCAACCGCCCUACUCUAUACCUCCGCUGAUAAUACGUUGCCGGAAUGGAG